CCUUUUGACGACGAAGAGAGAUCCUUCAACAUCCUUACGACUCCAUUGGCCGUGAUUAGGAUCUCCUCAAUGAACGGAUCGAUUCGCUGAAGAACCGUCAGGUUUAGGAGUUUUGUGCUCUGCUGGUCCAGUUUAGGCAUCAAUUUUCCGUUCUGCGACAUUUUUUAUAGUCGUUUUGGGCUCUGCCCCGACCACUAGCCCUCAGGUUUUUCUGUGAGCUCUCUUUUGUAAAUAAAGUGUUUGAUGAGAUAGCCGAGAGAGAGUGAAAGAGUUGAACAGCCAAACAAGGUGAGGUGAACAGUUUCGGACUGAGACUCGAGAUUGGUCAAGCUUUAACUUCUUUCAAACAUUUGGGAAAUAGCAUUUAUUUCUUUCAAUUUCUCUAGGGAAAUUUACCAAAUUAGCCAUUAAAAUUUUGUAUUUUUCACUUUUAACCCCACUAACUUAUUUAUAUCAAUAUUAGCCAAACAACAAACUUUUGGACCAUAAUACCCUUACAAUCUCACCCAAAGCUCACCAAAGCUUGAACUCACCCACACUUCUCACCAAACGGAAGCACCAUAGAGAGCCAAAUCGGAGACCAUCAUCGGCGGCAAUCUCACCGGAAUCCCGUUCAACAACACUAAUUCCACCAAAAUCACGUAUAAUAGCAAUCAAAAUCUCCAAGAUAAUAGUUGAAGUUCAAAAACCCUAGGUUAGCAAUUUCAAACACAUGCUUUAUAUUGUUCUUGUGUUGUGUUGUGAUUGUGUGUUGUUGUGACGGUGUUUGUGGUGUUUGGUGGUGGUUGGUAGUGGUUGGUGGUCUAUUGUCGGACUAUGUUGGAGGCAAUACGUUGCAAUGGCUGUUGACCAAUUCGUGAAAAUUCGAAAUUUUUGUGCGACAGGUUUCCGUCGCACAAAAUUUUGUGCGACUGCCUUUCUGUCGCACAAAAAAUCUGAUUACACAAUCUGAAAUUUUGUGCGACAGGUUCCCGUCGCACUAAAUUUUGUGCAACUGUCUUUCUGUCGACCUUCGCAAGAAAAAUGUGUGGAUUUAUGACUCGUUGGUGGCAAUUCGUGAUGAUAAAACGUACAAGGAUAAGUUCAAGCCACUUGAAGUCGUCUUUCCUCGAUGGUUAGAAGAUGUCGGAUUUUACAACGUCCGACAUGACUUACGGAAUGCCGAACCUUGGAAUGUCAAAAUAUGUAAGGGUGUGCCGCAACAAGAGCAUGGUAGUGGCGACUGCGGCGUUUUUAUGUUGAUGAUCACGAUGUAUUUAAUGUUUGGGCUAAGACUUAAUUUUACUUGUGGCCACGGGCAAUACUUUAGGAAGAAAAUUGCCGUAGACAUAUUUAAUGGUAAUAUCGGCCUUUAGGAUAUUGUAGCGCCGAUAUAUAAUGAUGAAAUUGGAUUUUAGACGAUUGUAUUUAUAAUUAUUAUUGGUGUCUAACUUUUUUUUUCAUAUAAUUCAAAUAAUAAAUUUGCAAUAUAAUAAAAAUUAAAUAGGUUGUUAUAUAUAAUGGUGCAAUAAAUAAAAAUCCGUUCUCAAAAUACAUAACAAUUUAAAAUGAUACAAUUAGCUUCGUGUCGACGCAAUGGGAUUUUUGCACUUUUUUCGGUUAUGACCCACUUCAUUGCACCGGCCACAUCUUAUAGUUCUCCUGUCAACAUCCUCACCAACAGAGGGUAUUUUGAGCUCUAGACGACGGGCGGACGAUGGUGCUUCUAUUGGUGGGUUAACUUUCAUUGCUUGAAUUUCCUCAGCAUCUGUUGCACAAAAUUUGGUGCGACGGGAACCUGUCGCACAAAAUUUCAGAUUGUGUAAUCAGAUUUUUUGUGCGACAGAAAGGCAGUCGCACAUAAUUUGGUGCGACGGGAACCUGUCGCACAAAAUUUCAGAUUGUGUAAUAUGAAUUUUUGUGCGACAGGUUUCCGUCGCACAAAAUUUUGUGCGACGGGAACCUGUCACACAAAAAUUUUGAAUUUUCACGAAUUGGUCAACAGCCAUUGCAACGUAUUGCCUCCAACACAGUCCGACAAUAGACCACCAACCACCACCAAACACCACAAACACCAUCACAACAACACACAAUCACAACACAACACAAGAACAAUAUAAAGCAUGUGUUUGAAAUUGCUAACCUAGGGUUUUUGAACUUCAACUAUUAUCUUGGAGAUUUUGAUUGCUAUUAUACGUGAUUUUGGUGGAAUUAGUGUUGCUGAACGGGAUUCCGGUGAGAUUGCCGCCAAUGAUGGUCUCCGAUUUGGCUCUCUAUGGUGCUUCCGUUUGGUGAGAAGUGUGGGUGAGUUCAAGCUUUGGUGAGCUUUGGGUGAGAUUGUAAGGGUAUUAUGGUCCAAAAGUUUGUUGUUUGGCUAAUAUUGAUAGAAAUAAGUUAGUGGGGUUAAAAGUGAAAAAUACAAAUUUUUAAUGGCUAAUUUGGUAAAUUUCCCAUUUCUCUACUGUUUUUUUUUCCUUUAUGUCAUUUAGACCCCAAAAUUAGAUUUAUUAUAAUCAUAUUUUACCCAUUCACUAUUAACCCCUUUUAUUUUUUAUAUUGUCAAUAUUAAUGUAUUAGAAUAAUGUUAGAAAUCUCAAUUAUUAUCUCAAUGUUUCAAUCAUAACUAAUGUGAUAACUCAUCGGUAACUGCAACAUUAACUUAAUUAUUAAUGUUUAUCAUGAAAUGAUGAGAUUAUUAUUCAAGAAAAACUUAGUAAACAUUAAUGACUAAUAUAAUGUGAUAAUUACAGCUGAAUAUUAGUACAAUAAUUAGGAUCCCUAAAGUUAGUGAAUGUAUUAUAAUAUAUGUGUGUUACACCACUUUAUGUCUCUCAAAUUCAAUUAAGUAAUUUUAUAAACCUGACCUUUUAUUACAUUAAUUAAGAAUACAUACAUGAACUAAAGAUGUGCAGUUUUUGUUCUAUUUUUCACUAUUAUUUACCAUUCAUCUAAGUACGUCACUUGAUUUUUUGCGAUUAAUAUGCUUAAAUGGAUCUCUUUGAUAUAAAUAAAAUAAACGAAAAGUCUAAGAGAAAAAAAAAAGGAGGACCGAAAUUAUUACACCUACAACAAAUUUGCCCAGAGAGCAAUAAAUCAAACUUGCUUAGGAAGUUCAACAAUGAUUAGUUAAUAACUAAAAGAGCCUUCACCUAACAUGUUAAAGCUUCUGUCAAGCGAACACCCAUUGAAAGCUGUUUAGGUCCGUUUUAGAUCAUCGGAAAUUUGACAAAAUCAUAAAAACCCUCAUCUUAGAAAUUCCAAGCAUCAGGCAAUAGUCCUACUUUAUUGAUAUUGAGAUUGAGAGUUACACAAUAAAAGUUUCGUACAAAUUUUGCAAACGAAAAGCACAUAAUACACUUAACUAGGAGGAAAAAUUAAAGUGUAUAUAAUACGAACUGCUAACAAUAUACAAUAGUAAAAAUCACUCUUAUGAACUCACAAAUACUAGGCACCAAUAAGAGUAUGAUACAGCCAUUCUAAAUGAAAGUGAAUACAACUGUUUUAUAACUAUGUCACAUCAGGAGAUAUGUUAGCAGGAUUAAUCCAGAUACCUUUGAACCCAAUUAACGAACUCGAGUCAGAAACCAGGGGCCCCUAACUGAACCUUACAAUCUUGAAGGAAGAAGGAGACUUGUGGUCCAGAUAGGUGACUUACUAGAUCUCCUGCCAAAAGAGAAUAUCUAUUGUUUUGAACCUCCAUUGAAAUUUCUUUUUCCCUUUUCCUUGUUGUGACUCUUCCAUUGAAAUUUAAUGGAUCAAUGUAAUCCAAAGAGAACUCUUCCAUUUCAAACAGUGUUAGAAGAUAUUUGCAAAGCCUAAAAAUAAUAUACAAGGACCAAGAUAUACACAGAUGGUUUCUUUAUGGGACUAACGAGCUUUUUUAGAUGUUAAAACUGUUUCAAACUGUUUUUCUUGUUUGGUUUAACUAAGGAAGAGCUUGUGGAAGAUUAAAAAUGAUGUUUCCUAUUCUCUGUAGGAAGCUUUUAGGAGAUAUUUUGGGCUUUUUUAAAAGGUUGAAUUGUCAAAAAUACCUUGAUGUUAUUGUUUGCUAAAAGAUGUUAUGGACAACUAAACAACCAACAACAUUUUGUUAAAAGCUCUAUUAGUGUAAGAUCUACUUAAAGAAGCUAUACCAAACAGACUCUAAGACUGAAUAACUCGAUCUUAAGUUUGUAAAAUUGGCCGAUCAUACCGACAAAGUGAGUGCGCAACAUGAGGUGCUUGACGGGAUGUUUACUUUCGAUGAUACAACUAAAGCUAGCCUCAACAUAUAUCAGGUGCCUGCUUGUUUUUACCUUCUAGAUACUAAUGUUGUUUAGACGUGUAAUCUCUCUCUCCAUUGAACGCUAGACGGCUCGUCUCAAGCCUUCUACGUACUUCAGAGUCCUUCAUUAGCUUUUUAUGUAUAAAGUUUUGAUCUUUUUCCUUCAUUUGCUUGAAGCUCAUUACUGCAGAUUUGUUUUACAGGUUGCUAGUGUAACAUUCGACUUGCUGUUGCUUCUAGUCUUGGGAUCGUAUUUAAUUGUGCUUUUCAGCUUUCUUGUCAUAACAACUUGGGUAUCACUCUUUCUCCAUAUCAAGCUUGAAGUUCUAAAUUUCAGUUUUAUCUUGUAUUUGAUGUUUUAUAAUUUCAUUGCAAACAGAUUAGAAUAGAAACUUCAAAAGUUCCAACUGACUAGUCCCGUGUAACUUUUUCAGGGAAUAUUUUCUCUCAUAACAACUACGAACGUGUUAUGGUUUAGCUCAGUGACACAAAAGGACAGUUUUCAACAAUGGAUCCUAGGAAGAUGCCCAUAGCUUGUUUAGAUGCGAAAAGAUUUUGUUGAGAUUCAUUUUUCAUCCUGAUGUUACAGCUGGCCUUUUUUUUCUUUUUUGGCAGAGAAUAAUGCUUAUGUGAUUUCUGAACUUGGUGAUUGUUGAAAUGAGCUGAAAAUGAGCUGGAAAUGUGUUUGGUUAAUGAGAAAGAGAGCAAGAAAAUGAAAGAAAUCUAUUUCACUUUUUAUUUAUCAGCAUGAUUACAUUCACAAUGAAUCUAAGCUGCUAUUUAUACUUAAAUGACUACACACGAGAAUCUUCUUGCUAGAUACUUCUAGAAACUCUACACGCACACUCACACUGAGCUAGUGGUUACCAAAACCGUUACAACGAUAUUGCCAGCUCAGCAUAACCAACUUAUAACUAACACACUCAGCUGCAGGGGAAACCAUCAAGCUUACUGUGCGUCCUCUGUAAUCAAGCUUCUUUAAGCAUGCUCUGCAGAUCAUACGUCUGAAUUAUCGAAACAAGAUGAAUUAUUUUUUGUUUAUUGCAGCAGGCGAUCAAUGAGCGGAAUUUCUAGCUUGUAUUCAAUUCGCGAACACAGUUUGAGAAGAAUCAGACCAUUAAUUUUCUUUUGAGCCAAUCAACAGAAUGUACAUUUCUUCUAAGAACUUGUAACCGAAACCGCAGUUUUUCAGGUUUGAUGCAUCUGGGAAAUUUGUCAGAUGGAAGAAAACCACCAUGCGCCAAGGUACCAAUGAUGUUUCUUCCAGCUUAUGAGCACUUCAAAUAAACUUAGGUCAUAUUUACACAAGGGCGCACAUGAUAUCAAUCUAAUGGCAAUUAUAUCAUCUAAAAUCCAAAACCAAGAGUCUCCCAUUUUCCCGCCCUCUACUCUGUUCGUAUUAUCAUAACUUGAAGAUUGCAAGGCAGCCGCAAUCUCCCAGAUCUUUGCUCCUUCCUCAUAGCAGUUAGUCAAACGAUAAACAGAGAUAUCCCAUGUCAACAAGAAGGUAAUCAUAAAAGAACAACAGAAUUGUUGCAAUAUAUUCAUAUGAAAUGUAAAACAAUUUUGAGAAAAAAUAUUGGGAAGAUGAUUUUUUUUUUCAUAGAAGUUGCAAUCUUUACGUUAUAUGCUAGUUUGACUAUGCUAUAUAAGGAAGCUAUAUGAAAUUAGAAAAAUAAGCUAUACUAGGAAAGAAUAAAUAUAUGUACAGAAAAUGAGGCUAUAAUCCCUGACUUUCAACAAAUUUAAUAUCAAUUUUCUUCUGGAAGUUGUCUCAAAUGGGGCGCAUCAGUAUUGUAACAUACUGUGAGAUGCUUAAACUCAACAAUAUAAGCAUGGUAAAUUAGAGAAAAAUGAUGCAAUUUUACCUUCCCAUUCAUGUAUGCCAAGGCUUUUUGGGCUUCCUCUUCUGUACUGAAAGUCACAUACCCGUAACCUUUUGAUCUAUUCUUACCUUUAUCCAUUAUUAUUGUAGCUGCAAAAAGAAAAGAACCGGAUAUUACAAAAUAGUGAAAGGGAAGAGGGGUUGAGACUUAAAACAGAAAUAGACCAAACCCUCAGUGACUUGGCCAAAUUGUGAAAAAGCAUCAGCUAACAUCUCUUUAGUGGUCGAGAAAGAUACGCCUGCAAAGAAUGCCAGUUAAUUUUAUCAUAAUUAGAUGGUAAGAUUGCAAAUUCUGCAGCCAAAGGUGGUACGGAACUGAAUGAAGGAAAUCAAAUAUGAACAUGUUUUCAAUCUUAAAAUAUUAAGAGUAGCAUAAGUAACUUGUGAAACAGUUAUAAGUUCAAGGGAAUUAGAUGAUGGCAUGGUUGAAUUUAUAAAUAUUUGAUAUUUUGGACCGAACAGGGCAAACAGAUGGAUCCAGAUAAUCAAGAAAAACAUCAAUUCCAUGCAACCAAAUGAGUGUGGGCAAUGCAAUUGACCAACACUAUAAAAUUAUUCAAAGAAAUCUCUAGGUCAGUAUCCAAAUAUAUGGCUCCGUCCGUUCCACCACCACAACCAAAAAAAUCAGAUCCCCCCAUUUGGAUUCGAUUGAUUAAUUUGAGCAUAUAAAAUCAGGUUUUAAACUUCCCUAAUCAAAAUUUAUAUUCCACAGAAUCAGUUCCUUUAACAUGAUGCAUUACAUAAUAUUUUGUUUGCAAAAUAAAGAAGAAAGAUGACAUAAUAGAAACACUCAGAGAGAGAGAAUACCUUUGACGAAAAGCUUAGAAGUGAAUCCUCUGUAAAAUACGAGUUGAGCUGCUGAAUUUUCGAGUUUGAAUGAGAGACUGCGGCAAUUCUGAAAAUGUUUUUUUCUCAUUAGCGCCGCCAUUUUUGUAAUAGAGGGUAAAGAAAUAAGUAACAGAGUAAGAGGUGAGCAGAAGCGGCCCAAUUUAGUUAUAUGCCAUGCAUGCGAUCAAAAUUGAAUGGUUAAAUGGCAGCCACUAUGUUACAUCUUGUGUAAGUAACAAACCGCCUACAUGGAUCGUUGGAUUUGGGAAUAUGAAAUCCAAUGGAUAAUAUUGAAUUUAACGAAAAAUAGAUUACAGGUUGCAUUAGUCCAAGAUUAUUUCAAACAAACCAGCUGAUGAAAUAGCCGCUAAUCAAAUUUAAAAGGGAAAAAAAAAAUCAAAUUAUAGGUUAUAGAUCUUAUUUCCAUCUUAAAUCUAUGUCUUUCAUGGUGACUCAAUGUGUAUACUAAUUUAUAAUUUGGAUCUAUAUUAGAGCUAAUGCUUCCCUAAAUAACUAAGAAAAUUUUCUUUUCAUUGAUUAAAUAUCUAUUUCCAAUAUCUUGUAUAUUUAGGAUUUGAAAAGAGGAAAAAUAGUAGGGAUGAUAAUGAGAGAAGAUAGAGAUGUCGAUUCUCAAAUCUAAUAUUAAUGCUAUACUUAUAUUCCUAUACUAAAUAAAUUAUCCAAGGUUCGUGGUUAAUGAUACGUUGCGAAUUUUUAAUUUCUAUUUAAAGCUUUGUCUAAUAUGGCUUUUCAUAAAGCUUAGAGAAAAGUAAAGCUUUUACAAAAAAACAUUUAAUUAGAAUUGUGAUAAAUUUUCUUAAAAAAAUUUAAAAAGUACUUUAAUAAAUAAGCUUUUAAAGUUAUAUAUAUUAUGAAAGAAAUGAAAUAAGAUUAUAUAAUAAAUUAAGAGUAUCUUAGAUAAUUGAACUUUAAAAAAAAAACUCGCUAAGAGGUUUAAAAUUUGAGUUUUAAUAGUGGAUACAAAAUAGUUUAUUUAAUUCUCAAAAGCUCUACUCAAAAUAGUUUAUUUAAUUCUCAAAAAAUAAAUCAUGUCUUUACCGAUACUUACAACUGCUGGUUAAAUUCUGUUGUUUCCAAUAAUUUUAUGCUGUAUCUUCUUUAAUAAUAAAGAAAACUUGCAUUAAAAUUAAAAUUAGGGUAAUACCUGAUUUUAUAAAUAGAUUGCAAUGUAAUUUUGAAAAAUAAAACAAUAAUUUACAAAAUGUUUAUAACAUAAUUUUAAUUUUUUUCAAAAAGGAAAAACAACAAAAGUAAGAAAUAGAGAAUAAGGGCUACCAACUUUGUAUCUUAAACGGCCGUUAAAUUAUUUGUAAAUGAAAGCAACGGUCAGAUAUUGGUGGAUUAUGGAAACAUGUAAUCAUAAGGACUACGAGUUUUUUUUGUUACAUUGAUAUAUUACAAUUAAAAUUUUAUUGGUAUUUACAACUAGAAUUUCAUCUGACUAUCUUUGAUAAUUCUAAACUAGUACAGCCCAAAUUCUUAUUCUCAUAUAAUAUCAAAGAUAGAUAUAUAUUCUUUUCCUCCAUUAAUAACGAGACAUUUUUACUUCUAUCCAAUUUAAAUAGAACAAGAAUUAAGUCAUUUUAAUAGUUAGGACUCAGAACUCAUACACGCUAGUUUGAGAGUGUGGGGUGUGACAAUGGGCCAAGAGACCAUUGACAAGUACAAAAGAGUGGUAGAAAUUAAUUCAAACCGCUACACACGCUAUUGCAACCAAAUUGAGGGCCCAUUUUUGUUUAUUUCGUUGAAAAGUAGUCUGUAAAAUUAACUCAAACCGCUACAUACGCUAUUGCAACCCAAUUGAGGGCCCAUUUUUGUUUAUUUUGUUGAAAAGCAGUUUGCGCAAUUAAUUCAAACUGCUACACACGCUAUUGCAUCUUUUGAAAAAGAAAAAUGGAAUAGUUUUUCAAAAUUAGUUUAGAGAAUAAGAUUUACUAAUAAUGAUGUUAGAAAUCUUAAUAUUUGAAUCUUAAUAUUAUCUAUCACUCGUUUAUUAAAUAAUAGAUUUCAUAGUUUGUAAAAUUACUUAACCACUUGAUAAAUGUUAUAUUUGUUGGGACUAGAUUGGGACUUAAAUAUUGGAAUAUCUAGUAUUGCAUAAAAAAAAAAAACUUAACAAUUUAUCUUCACACGACUAAUUGUUUUUACAUCACAACUAACCUUAAUUAUUUUAAAAGUUAUAGUAUUAUUAAAUUGCCCUAACUAGUUAUCAAAAGGUGAAAGCAUGUUUAAAAAAGAAAUUACUAAGAAACAUUUGUUUAAACGAAGGUUAAGGUUAUGAUCAAUUAAUUAAGAAGAAACUUACUAUCAAAGGUUAAGAUUAUGAACAAUUUAAGGAAGUUAUUGAGUAGAGAAAGGGACAGAAUGGUUGUCUGAUUUGUCGGUGACAAGAAUGCUUGUGUUGUGAAAAGAAAGCCGAUGGUUUGUAAAUUUGUUGAAUUGGUCCCAAUUAGUAUAGUAACCAUCUAUUGAGCGGUAAAAUAUUAAUUUAAAUAGUCAUGAAAUCUAAUAUAUAAUAGAUUACUAACACACAUAAAUUAAAACUUAACUGUCAGAAAUCAUAACAUUACUCUACUCUUCAGUGGAGUUCUCUUAAACAGAUUAUGUGAGAUUGCCUACAUUAAAAAAUAUGUUAAGACUGCUUGUUGAAAAGCAAUAUUCGCUUUUCCAUUAUAUCCAUAGCUUUGAAUUGAUAAAGUUGUAUUCAACAACUCUUGAAAAGACUAAGCAGGUCUUCUUUGCAUUUGAUCACUGGUAUUUCAGUUAAGUUUGUCGUUUACUUAAAUUUUUCUUGCUUUCAAUUUCCACUGUUGUUUUUUUUUUUAAUAAAAUAAUUUGUUUAACUAGUCAUAGAAAUAAGAGAGAAAAUGGGUCAUUUCUUGACUCAAAGUCAAUUAUAAUUAUCAAAACUUGAGGGGACAUCGCAUGCCUAAAUUCCACGCACCCUAAAACAGUUUGAUUUGCUUUCACGCGUUCAUGAAUUUCCAUGAAAGAGCCUGUCUUUCGUCUCUUUCGGGACAAUGACUACAAUUAUGGAAAAAAAUUAUAAUUCUCGUUAGAUUGUAACCAAAUUAUUAUCCCUAAUUUUUUAAAGUUAAAUAAAAUAAAAUUCAUGCUUAAGUAUUUAGUAAUUAGAGAGAGAUAGAGAGGAUUGAGGGACAAUGUUUCGCGAUUUGGGGUCAAUUCAAAGUCAACUAACGUGUAAAACACGUGUAUGCAUAGAAAACGCUUAGAUUAUUUGUGUUCCAAGUGCAAGAAAUUAAGAAAAGAAAAAUUGAUUUCCUUUCAUGAACUUCCAAGAAAGAAAGAAGACCCUUCACCUUGUUCGUGACAACAAAUGAAUGAAUGAUGUUGAUAUGACAAAUACAAGCGCUAUUACAGGGAACAGCAUAAGACCGAGACUUGAUAAAAGGUUUGUUGAAUUACAUGUUAUUUUCUUUUGACUUGAAUGAUGUUGAAAAUAAAAUAAAAUAAAAUUGUAAUCAGGGUGAUGUGUGCAAUAUAGUGAAAUAAAUAAAUAGAGAAGAGAAAUUCGUUGAUCAAUAUUAAAGAACUCAUCCAAAGUGAUCGUCAAAGUCUAGAGGUUCGGUAUGAUUAGCAUUUAUUUUUAUUUUUUUUGGCUUAGCAUCAUAUAUAGUCACCUGUCGUGUGAUCUAGGACAUGUUUAGAAAUCCUUUUAUUUUAACUUCCGUAUUCUUAUUAUUUAAUUAGUUAUAAAGUUUUUAAGUAUUUGAGUAUUGAUCACAUGUCUCCUAAUCUAAAAAUAUGUUUUUACGAGUACAAAUAACAAACUAUGAUUUUAACAUCCUUUUAUACUAAACCCUAAAAAUACAUGAAUUUAUCAAAAUAAGUAAAUUAAUUUAAAUUGGUAUGGCAUAAUAGAAGUUUUACCUGCCAAAACAAAUUAAAAAAAUAUUACACUUAAAUCAAAUAUUGACAAAAAUAGAUAACAAUCUAAUGAGAAUCUUAACUAGACAUUUUUAAUUCUAUCCAAUUUAACUGGAACGAGAAUUAAGUCCUUUCAAUACUUAGGACUCAUAACUCAUACACACUAGUUUGAGAGUGUGGGGUGUGACAAUGGGACCAUUGACAAGUAUAAAAGAGUGGUCGCAAUUAAUUCAAACCACUACACACGCUAUAUUGAGGGCCCACUUUUGUUUAUUUCGUUGAAAAGUAGUUUUCACAAUUAAUUCAAACCGCUACACACGCUAUUGCGUCUUUUAAAAAAGAAAAAUGGAAUAGUUUUCCAAAAUUAAUUCAGAGAAGAAGAUUUACUAAUAAUGAUGUUAGAAAUCUUAAUAUUAUGUAUCACUCAUUUAUUAAAUAAUAGAUUUCAUAGUUUGUAAAUUUACUUAACCACUUGAUAAAUGUUAUAUUUGUUGGGACUAAAUUGGGACUUAGAUGUUGGAAUAUCUAGUAUUGCAUAAAAAAAUAAAUAAAAACUUAACAAUUUAUCUUCGCAUGACUAAUUGUUUUUACAUCACAACUAACCUUAGUUAUUUUUUAAAGUUAUAGUAUUAUUAAAUUGCCCUAACUGGUUAUCAAAAGAGGAAAGCAUGUUAAAAUAAGAAAUUACUAAGAAACAUGUGCUUAAACAGAGGUUAAGGCUACGAAUAAUUAAGAAGAAACAACUUACAAUCAAAGGUUAAGAUUAUGAACAAAUUAAGGAAGGUAUUGAGCAGAUAAAGGGACGGAAUCAUUGUCUGAAUUGCCGGUGACAAGAAUGCUUGUGUUGUGAAAAGAAAUCUGAUGGUUUGUAAAUUGUUGAAUUUUUUAUUCGCUCGCUCCAACUGACUUACUAAUGCCAAAUUUAUUACUUUGCACAGUAGUGUUUAGGAUCCUCAAGAUCAACUCUUAAUUUGGUCCCAAUUAGUGCAGAAAUCAUCUAUUGAGCAAUAGAAUAAGAAUUUUUCUAGUCAUGAAAUUUAAUAUAUAAUAUAUCCUUGACACACAUCGAUUAGAACUUAAUUGUUAGAAUUCAUAACAUUACUCUACUCUCAAGGGGAGUUCUCUUAACAUAUUAUCUUAGGUUGCCUACAUUCAAAAUAUGUUAGACUGCUCUUUGAAAGCAAUAUUCCCUUUUCCGUAACUUUGAAUUGAUCCAAUAGCUCUUGAAAAGCACAUAAUAAUCAUUAUAAAUUUAAUCAAAGACUAAGCAGGUCUUCUUUGCAUUUGAUCACUGGCAUUUCAGUUAAGUAUGUCAUUUACUUAAAUUUUUCUUGCUUUCAAUUUUCACUGUUGUUUUUUUUUUUAAUAAAAUAAUUUGUUUAACUAGUCACAGAAAUAAGAGAGAAAAUGGGCCAUUUCUUGACUCAAAGUCAAUUAUAAUUAUCAAAACUUGAGCGGACAUUGCAUGCCUAAAUUCCACACACCCUAAAACGGUUUGAUUUGCUUUCACGCGUUCAUGAUUUUCCAUGAAAGAGAGUGCCUCUCGUCUCUUUCCGGACAGUGACGACAAUUAUGUUAACGUGACAAAUACAUAACGUUAUUACAUACAAGAAUAAGUUUUUGGAGCCGAGACUUGAGGGAGGUUCUAUCUAAUUCUAAAGAUUGUAACCAAAUCAUUAUCCCCAAUUUUUUUCAGUUAAAUAAAAUAAAAUUUAUGCUUAAGUAUAAAUAAAAUCCAUAGUGGAUAAAUAUUUGAUUAUCGAUUUUUUUUAAUGUAAAAUUGCUGGUUUGUUGCUUAAAAUUUUCAAUAAUAAUUUCACUUAUUUAGUAAUUAGAGAGAGAGAGAGGAUUGAGGGCCAAUGUUUCGCGAUUUGGGGUCAAUUCAAAGUCAACUAAGGUGUAAAACAUGAUUUCCUUUCAUGAACUUCGAAGAAAGAAAGAAGACUCUUCACCUUCUUCAUGACAACGAAUGAUGUUGAUAUGACAAAUACAAUCGCUAUUACAGGGAACAGCAUAAGACCGAAAUUUGAUAAAGGGUUUGUUAAAUUACAUGUUAUUUUCUUGUUAACUGAAUUGGAAGAAAAAAUAAAAAUAAAAUAAAAUUGUAAUCAGUGUGAUGUGUGGAAUAUAUUGAAAUAAAUAAAUAGAGAAGAGAAAUUCGUUGAUCAAUAUUCAAGAACUCAUCCAAAGUGACUGUUAAAGUCUAGAGGUUCCGUAUGAUUAGCAUUUAUUUUUUAAUUUUUUGGCUUAACAUCAUAUGUAGUCACUGGUCGUGUGAUCUAGGACAGGUUUAGAAAUCUUUUUUUUUUUUUUAACUUCCGUAUUCUUAUUAUUUAAUUAGUUAUAGGGUUUUUUAGUAUUUGAGUAGUGAUCACAGGUCUCCUAAUCUAAAAUUAUGUUUUACGAGUACAAAUAAAAACUAGGAUUUUAACAGCCUUUUAUACUGAACCCUAAAAAUACAUGAAUUUAUCAAAAUAAAUAAAUUUGAAUUGGUAUGCCAUAAUAAAAAUUUUACUUGCCAAAACAAAUUAAAAAAAAAUAUGACGCUUAAAUCAAAUAUCGACAAAAAUAGAUAAAAAUCCAACAAGAAUCUCAAAAAUAAGAAAGAUAUCUUCAAAAUAGAAGCGUCCAAGAGAAAUUUGGCGAAGAUUUGCUAAUCCACAUUGAAAAUGUCACUUUUCCUUGAGAACUUCAUAAUGAUAUAUUAUGAGCCUAAGACAAAUACCAAUUACUCAAGUUAUGGCCCUAUGAAGACAUCCUAUUCAUUCUCCCUAGACCAGGACGUGUCGCACAUGUUUGCAUUCAAAUUUAGGUGAAAAUCUACUCUCAUUCAAGGGAUAUAUAGGUACCUGUGAAGUCUCAAACCCGAGAUAAUGUGAAAGCAAAUCGGGAGUUUGAUUAAAUUCAGCCAAUUAUUAGUGUGUACGGAUGGUAGGGAUGGAAAAAAACUCCGACCGUUCUUAGGUAUGGUAUUACCCAGAUCUGGCCUAAGCAUGUUUUUUUUGAACACUCAGAAUUUUUUAAUCAAAACUUAAAAAACCUAGAAUUUAUAUUUUAUAAUAUUAUAUAUAUUUAUUUUAUUUUAUAAUUUUAUAUUUUCAAAUUUUAUUUUAAUGAAUUGGAAUUAAAAAUAUGAGUUUUAAAUGUUUAAAAUUUUAAAAAUAGAUAAUAAGUGGACCAAAUGAACAAAAUAAUAGAUAUUUUAUAAUAUUCUUCAUAAAAAUCCAAGUUUUGAGCUAGCCCAUAAGCUUGUCUAGUGAAGUCUGGGUACCCGCGUUGCCCAAGGUUCCGUCAGAAUCCAGGCUGUGCAGAUAUUUAUGGACGGAGAGGAAAUAUUUUCAGUUGACUGAAUUAAAUAAAAAUAUAUUACAAUCAUAUUAUAUAUUAACAGUAAAAAUAAAAAGAAAUGAAGAAAAACGCAUGCAAGACUUAGACAAAGUCAAUUAAAAGCUGGGAGUAUCAUCAGUUCAAUUGGUUUUAAAUAGCGUAGAGCCAUCCUCUCGUUGUUGCAGAAGAGAGACAGAAAGAGUGUGUGUAGGCGAUUAUAAUUAAGCAGAUAUAAUGUGUGGUUCAAAAAGAGUGUGGGUGAGUGAGUUAAUUUUCAUAUUAUUAGUAGUAAAAGGGUGGUGGAGUGAGGGAUGUUUGGAGCAAGAGAGGUCUGCUCUCCUCCAACUCAGACAUUUCUUCAAUGAUGAUCACCGUCUUCAAAACUGGGUAGACGAUGAGUAUUAUUCAGAUUGUUGUCAGUGGGAACGGGUUGAGUGCAACGACACCACUGGCAGAGUGAUUGAAUUAGAUCUAGCAGUAACUCGGAAUUGGGAAUCAGCAGAGUGGUAUAUGAAUGCCUCUCUGUUUACUCCUUUUGAACAAUUAGAGUCUCUUGAUCUAAUAGGGAACAAUAUAGCCGGUUGUGUUGAAAAUGAAGGUCCGUAAUUUACUCUAUUUUAAUUCUUCCUCAUAAUUUUUUCCAUUUAUCUGAUCCCUUUUGGUUUUUAUUUAAUUUGUAUGUGAUACAAUAAAAUUACUUUUUAUUUUUUGGCAGGUCUAGAUAGGUUAUCAAGGUUGAACAACUUGAAGUUUCUUUAUUUAGACCUUAACCACUUCAACAACAGCAUCUUUUCAUCUCUAGGUGGUCUUUCAUCACUCAGAAACUUAUCAUUGGCUGCUAAUCGAUUGAAUGGAAGUGUUGAUAUUAAAGGUAAGUAAGCUUCAUCCCUUCUCCCCUGUCCCAUCUUUUGUGGAUCUUAUUUCACUGAGCAGCUGGAAGUAUUGAUACGAGAUCUAGCUAGACUCUUGCGAGUUUAGGCUUCACGGCUUUGAAUAGUAUAAAAAUAAGUUGAAGAAAUUAUCAAUAUAUGCAAUUUUCAAUGCUUCUCAUAAUCAGACACAAUUCAAUCUAAUUAUUUCGUAUGUCCUGUCUUCAAAAGUAAAGAAUUGUACACUAAUUGGAAAUCGACAUCGUAGCUUUUUAUUUUCUGUAAUGCUAUUUCUUCGUUAACAAGUUUAUAUCCUAAGAGGGAUUGGAUUGAAAAAAAAAAAGAAGUUUUGAUGUUCAAUGUAAGCCAUGAUAACCUGCAUCUUAUUUGUCUGCCGACAUCCAAAUUUGUGCACUGAAUUUAGUAUUUUGGUUAUUGUGAAGGGAUCAGAUAUUGGCUUCCAUAGACCAACUUGUAUUUACUUAAUUAAUUAAUUAACGACAUUUAGUAUUUAACAAAUUAAAAUUUCAUGUUUAAUCUAUUUUAAUUUUUUUAAGAAAAAAGAAAUAGAUAUAGCAGCAGGUAAAGCUGAAAUAAAUUUUAAUUCCUUACAAAUUUAAAUUCAUGGUUGUCAGCUAAAUAUAACUGCUUAAAGCCACUCUUUUCGCUGAGAUUUAACCAAAAAAAAAGGAGAAAAUAAUUUAUUUAAUUAACUCUGUUUUAAGUGUUGGAAUAAAUACAGGACUAGAAUCCUUGAGUAACUUGGAGAUGCUGGACAUGAGGGACAAUGCAAUCGACAAUCUAGUGGUUCCUAAAGGUAUACAAAAUGACACUAACCCAAAAUAAUUUAAUCCGAAAUUGUAUCCCAAAUAGAUUACAGAGGUUUGAGGAAGUUGGAUACCCUUUAUUUGGGGGGGAAGGGAAAUUGCAGUGAUAUAUGGAAGCAAGGUGUUGCAAUCAAUAAAGAAAUUCGUUGGUCAAUAUUCAAGGACUCAUCCAAAGUAAUCGUUAAACAUUUCUUCAAUGAUGAUCAACGUCUCAAAACUAGGUAGACGCGGGAGAUGAUGAGAAUAAUUUAGAUUGUUGUCAGUGGGAAGGGAUUGAGUGCAACAAAACCACAGGCAGAGUGAUUAAAUUAGAUCUAGCACAAACUCGAAAAUGGGAAUCAGCGAAGUGGUAUAUGAAUGCCUCUCUGUUUACUCCCUUUCAACAAUUAGAGUCUCUUGAUCUAAUUGGGAACAAUAUAGCUGAUUGUGUUAAAAACGAAGGUCAUUAAUUUACUCUAUUUUAAUUCUUCCUCCUCGUAAUUUCUUACAUCUAUCUGAUCCCUUUCGGCUUUUGUUUAAUUUGUACGUGAUACAAUAAAAUUAUUUUUUUUCAGGUCUGGAGAGGUUAUCAAGGUUGAACAACUUGAAGUUUCUUGAUUUAGGCUUUAACCACUUCAACAACAGCAUCUUUUCAUCUCUAGGUGGUCUUUCAUCACUUAGACACUUAUCAUUGGCUGAUAAUAGAUUGAAUGGAAGUAUUGAUGUUAAAGAUAAGCAAGCUUCAUCCCUUCUCUCGUGUCCCAUCUUUGUGGAUCUUAUUUCAUCGACCAGCUGGAAGUAUUGAUACGAGAUCUAGCUAGACUCUUGCUAGUUUAAGCUUCAAGGCUUUGAAUAUUAUAAAAAUAAGUUUAAGGAAUUAUCAAUAUAUGCAAUUUUCUAUGCUUCUCAUAAUCAGACACAAUUCAAUCUAAUUAUUUCGUAUGUCAUGUCUUCAAAAGUAAAGAAUUGUACACUAAACGGAAAUCGACAUUGUAGCUUUUUAAUUUUUCUAAUGCUCUUUCUUUGUUAACGAGUUUAUAUCCUGAGAGUGGAUUGGAUUAAAAAAAAAAAAAAAAAAAAGUUUUGAUGUUCAAGGUAAGCCAUAAUAACAUGCAUCUUAUUUAUCUGCCUAUAUCUAAAUUUGUGCACUGAAUUUAGUAUUUUGGUUAGUGUGAAGGGAUCAGAUAUUGGCUUCCAUAAACCAACUUGUAUUUACUUAAUUAAUUAAUUAACACCAUUUAGUAUUUAACAAAUUAAAAUUUCGUGUUUAAUUUGUCUUAUUUUUUAUUUUUUGAAGCAAGAAUAAGGUAUAGCAGUAGGUAAAGUUGAAAUACAUAUUUAUUCCUUACAAAUUUAAAUUCGUUUUCAGCCAAAUAUACCUACUUAAAACCACUCAAUCAGGCCAUUGGCAACAGUUUUUUAGGUUUUUCUAGUUAACCGUGUACUUUUUUGCUUAUUAAUAAAAUUCUUUUGUGCUGAGAUUUAAAAUAAAGAAGGAGAAAAUAAGUUAUUUAAUUAACCCUGUUUUUAAGUGUUGGCAUAAAUACAGGACUGGAUUCCUUGAGUAACUUGGAGGAGCUGGACAUGACAGGCAAUGCAAUCGAUAAUCUUGUGGUUCCUAAAGGUAUACAAAAUGUUCAAAUAUUAAUAAUUUGGAGGACAGUUUAAUUGAUUUGAUUAGGGAAUGCCCAAUGACACUUACCCAAAAUAAUUUAAUCUGAAAUUGUAUCCAAAACAGAUUUCAGAGGUUUGAGGAAGUUGAAUACCCUUCGUAUAGGGGGAACCAGAAUUCAAAUGAUAGAUGGAAGCAAGGUGUUGCAAUCAAUAGGAUCACUACCGUCCCUCAAAACACUUGACCUUUGGUAUACUAAUUUUACGGGAACAGUAGUUAAUCAAGGUAAGUAAAUCUUUUAUGUCGAAAAUAAUUGAAUUAAUAUAUAUAGCUAAAAUUUAUUGUUUCUACUUCUUUCUAAAUAGAAUUGCACAAUUUCACCAACUUGGAAGAAUUGAUAUUGCUCGAGUCUGAUCUCCAUGUAAGCCAGCUUCUACAAAGCAUCGCAUCAUUCACUUCGUUAAAGUAUUUGUCAAUGGGAGGUUGUACUUAAUGAAGCAAUUAUGGGUAUCCAAAAGAUUUUUUCUUAAUUCGAUAAUAAAUUAUGGGUAUCUGAAGCUUUUAUGAUAUUAAUUCGAUAAUAAUUCUUUCUUUUCAAGUUAAUUUUUUCCCCUAAAAUAAGAUUUUUUUUCUUUUAAAUUUCAUAUAUUUUCAUUGUCCAAUAGUUCUAGCUUCUCUUAAUUGCAGGAUUCUUGAUUAAGGUUAAUGAAAUUUUAGUUCUGUUAUGUUAAGAAUAUUUCGAUCGCUUAGAAGAGUAAAGAAAAAUAAGUAAAUUAACCAAAAAAAAAAGAGAAAAGGACCGGAUUAUCCUUAUUCCCUUGCAUUAUGUGAUCAAUAUCAAAAUUAUAACCAUUUCUUGUUUAUUGCUUGUAGAUUUUCUUAAAUUCAAGAAUUUGGAACAUCUGGACAUGGGUGGGGCGCAAGUUGACGUCAACACCAGUUUUCUUCAAAUUGUCGGCGAAUCGAUGCCUUCUCUUAAGUUUUUAUCACUGACAGGUUCAAGUCUUAAUAAAAACGCCAUUCUUGAUCAAGGUUAGUUAAUGAUUCUCUUUCUCCCUCUCUCGCAUCUUAACUAAAUUUAAUUGAGAAUAUCUAUAAUGCUAGCUAUUUAUAAACUUAAUGAAAGAUGAUAAGGAGCUACUAUAAUGACAAAAACAACUGUAAAAAUAGUGCGCUGUUGUAGUGUUAAUUGAAAAAUAAUGCUAAUUUUAUAGUCAUUUUGUUGCCAUUACGUCAGAUUCCAUUGUUCAAUUAUUUAAGUUUUAUGCAAAUAUAUUUUUCAGGACUUUGUCGGUUAGUGCAUCUACAAGAGUUAUACAUCGGCGGUAAUGAUUUGAGAGGUAGCUUGCCAUGGUGCUUGGCAAACAUGACAUCCCUCCAAGUGUUAGAUGCCUCUUUUAAUCAACUUACUGGAAACAUCUCCCCAGGCCUUUGUGAGUUGGUGCUUCUGAGAGAGUUAUACAUUGAUUACAAUUAUUUAAGAGGUAGCUUGCCUUUGUGCUUGGCAAAUUUGACUUCCCUUCGAGUAUUAGAUGUCUCUUACAAUCAACUUACUGAAAACAUCUCAUCUUCCCUCAUGCAUCUAAUAUCUAUGGAAAAGCUCAUACUUUCAAAUAAUCACUUCUUCCAAAUCCCUAUUUCACUUGAACCACUUUUCAAUCUCACAAAACUCAAGACUUUCGAUGGUGAAAUAUACGCAGAAACUGAGUCACAUUAUAAUUCUUUGACCCCAAAAUUCCAAUUGACUUCUAUCUCAUUGUCUGGCUACGGAGAUGGUGGCACAUUUCCCAAAUUCUUGUACCAUCAGCAUGACUUGAAGAAUGCUGAUCUCUCACACCUUAACUUGAGUGGAAAUUUUCCAAAUUGGUUGGUAGAAAACAAUACGAACUUAGAGACGCUUCUUCUUGCCAAUAACUCUCUUUUUGGAUCAUUUCGGAUGCCAAUUCAUUCCCACCAGAAAUUAGCAACAUUGGAUGUCUCCAACAAUUUCUUUCAAGGCCAUAUCCCAGUAGAAAUCGGAACAUAUCUGCCAGGCUUAAUGCAUUUAAACUUAUCUAGAAAUGCUUUCAACGGUAGCAUUCCCUCUUCAUUUGCUGAUACGAAAAUGUUGAAAAAGCUUGGACAUAUCCUACAAUCAGUUGACUGGUGAAAUCCCUGAGCGCAUGGCCAUGGGUUGCUUCUCAUUGGAAAUUCUUGCAUUGUCAAACAACAGUUUGCAAGGUCAUAUAUUCUCUAAAAAAUUUAACUUGACAAAUUUGAUGAUGUUGCAGUUGGAUGGUAAUAAAUUCAUUGGAGAGAUCCCAGAAAGCUUAUCUAAGUGCUAUUUGUUGGGAGGAUUGUAUCUGAGUGAUAAUCAUCUCUCUGGUGAGAUUCCAAGAUGGUUGGGUAAUUUGUCAGGUUUAGAAGAUAUUAUAAUGCCCAAUAACAAUCUUGAAGGACCAAUUCCAAUCGAGUUUUGUCAGCUUGAUUAUCUGAAGAUUUUAGACCUUUCAAACAAUAGUAUUUUUGGAACUUUACCAUCUUGUUUUAGUCCAGCAUCUAUCGAACAAGUUCAUUUGUCGAAAAAACAAGAUAGAAGGACGGCUGGAGAGUAUAAUCCAUGACAGCCCUCAUUUGGUGACAUUCGAUCUUAGUUAUAACAGCUUACACGGAAGUAUUCCAAAUCGGAUUGACAGACUACCUCAGUUAAACUACCUUCUUUUAGCUCAUAAUUAUAUUAAAGGCGAAAUACCAGUUCAAUUAUGCCAGUUGAAGGAAGUGCGGUUGAUUGAUCUUUCUCAUAAUAAUCUAUCUGGUCAUAUUCCUCCUUGCUUGGUUAACACUUCACUCAGUGAAGGUCAUCAUGAGGCAGUAGCUCCAACUUCUAGUUCGUGUGGUCGAGCGUCUGGCUAUGCAAGUCCAUGUGCGAAAAAUACAAGUGGACUUCCGAUGGGAAAGGAAGAAACUGUACAGUUCACAACAAAGAAUAUGUCCUACUAUUAUCAAGGAAGAAUUUUGACGAGUAUGUCUGGGAUUGAUCUUUCUUGUAACAAACUGACAGGUGAGAUUCCUACUCAAAUUGGAUAUCUUACAAGGAUUCGUGCGCUAAAUCUAUCUCAUAACAAUUUGACGGGCACAAUCCCGACAACAUUUUCAAACCUGAAGCAAAUCGAAAGCUUGGACCUCUCCUACAACCUACUGCAUGGGAAAAUCCCUUCUCAGCUCACUGUGCUAAAUACAUUGGCGGUCUUCACAGUAGCAUACAAUAACUUAUCAGGAAAAAUUCCAGAUAGAGUUGCACAAUUUUCAACUUUUGAGGAAGAUAGCUAUGAGGGGAAUCCUUUUCUUUGUGGAUGGCCACUGUCUAAAAGUUGCAAUGAUAGUGGAUUAUCAGCAGUGACACGAGAAGCUUACACUGAUAAUGAAGAAGGUGAUAGUUUAAUUGACAUGGACAGUUUCCUAAUCACUUUUACAGUAUCUUAUGGAAUUGUGAUAUUAGGAAUUAUUGGAGUUUUGUACAUAAACCCCUAUUGGCGACGAAGAUGGUUUUACCUUGUUGAAGUAUGUAUGAUCUCUUGCUACUAUUUUGUAGUAGAUAAUCUUAUUCCUAGAAGAUUCUAUGGUGGAUGGAUGUAAUUUCAUUUACUUUACAACUUAUAUGUAAUUUUUAAAGAAUUUUCUUUUGCAUGCAUGGAAUAGCAACUCAAUAAAAGUAUUUGAUGCAAAUUGUCCUAGAACAACUUAGUAAUUUCAUUGCUACUAUUUGGUUGUAUAUAUACAGUUAAUGAAAUUUUUUAAUCAUUCGCAGUAGGAAUUUCUUUAGAUGGCGGCCAAAACUAACAGAUUUGGGGCUCUACUUCUACACAUCAUAACAGGCAAAAGGUCUCUCUUUUACACGAUCUGAAUGAAGAUUAACUUACGCCCUCUAGGCUCUGGAGUGUGUGUAAGUUCUCUAUUAAACUUGACGGUUGAGAUUUCAGGUCCAGAUGAAAGUGAAAUGCAGGCGACGAGACUACACUUUAAGUAAACUGGGACAAACUUAAAAUAAAAAAAAUUGUAGUCCAGGGUGAGAGUGAUGGGUAGCUCAACUUAUGGAGGAUAACUAGGACUUGGAAUAACUAUCAGAUUUGCAACUCUUGUUAUAUGCUAGUGGGGAUUUUAGGUAGAAAUUUUUUUUUUUUUUCCUUUUUGCCCUCUUCCUCACAAUAAAAACACGUAACACACCAAGCCGUGCCCAAAAUAAUCCUAUUUUAUUCAUGUCAUGAAUCCAAAAACUAUCCCAGCUCACUUUGUUUAACCAGCAUAACUAAAUUGUGGGUAUAAAUGAACACACUUUCGAAGCCUGUAACUUAUAAUAAGCUCAAACCCAAAAAUGACAUUUAAAUCCUGCAAGUGUUUUUCAUCAUCCCUAACAAAAGAAACAAGAAAAUUAUAUACCAAUAAUUUUUCCAUAAAAAAUACUGAUUUGAGUUGAAACACUAUACAAACUGGGUUUUAUACACUUGCAGAAAGCUACACGGUAGACAAAAUCUAGCAGCUACAUAUUGGUAUCACUUUCAGCUGGUCAUGAAUGGUGUGCAUUCAGCAGUGCUCGAUAGACCAUGUCUAUGAAUUGAUUGUCCUAUUACAUAUAAAAAGCUGGUCAGAUAUACAAGGAAAAAAAUAAUAAUUGAAAAUGCAUCACAAAAAAUAAGUGUUUCGCAUUAGUGUUUGCACUCUAAGCAUGGCAAAGUGGUGCGGGGUUCAUGAUUUUGAAGACUGUGAUAAGUGAAAAAUAGUUCAAUCCACUGAUGAACAUAAAUUUAUUUACAUGUCAAUUUAGAUAUCAUCAAAAAGUAAACAGUAAUUCAGAGUCACUUAAAAUAGUUGAUAAAAUGCGUGCCAUGAAUGUAUUUUGUACAUAAGAAAUCCAAAGAGUAUUUCUGACAAUACAAAUAUGCUAGCUUUAAGUCUGCUGUCAAUAUGCAAUUAAGAAGAUUAUACCAGCUGCAUGAUAAAGUUCCCCUAAUCUUAAUAACAGUAAACAUGAACAUGUCAGAUGCAAUUAGCUUUGAGCAUUUGCAUAACCAGAAAUCCUAACCUGAACAAGCACCAGAAGUGUCUCUCGGACUUUCUCCUUGCUGAUAAAUGGUCCGCUGUCUGAAGUAAGAGCAGGAGUAAGAGAUGGUGGAGGGUUGGUGGUGGAAAAGGUUGAAGCACUGGGGCACCAUAUGGGCGUUGCAGACUCGGGGGAGGAUUAAGUGGCGGAGCUGUUGGUGUAGAUGAAGAGACAAGCUGCAUCAUCCGUGCAUAGGAGGAUGGAGGAGGAACAAAGAAUAAGGAAGGCUUUACAAGAUUAGGGGUAGGUGCUGAUAGAGGUGGAGAUGGUAUUUGCAAAGUUGGCACGAUAGGAGAAAGCAACACUGGCGGGAUGAGAAGGUAAAGAAAUAGUUGUAUUGGACUGGUAAGGUUGUGCAGAGAUUGCUGCAUUAGAAUUAUUCCCCACAGUCAAAGCUGUCUGCAAUGAUAAGGACAGAUGUCAUAUAAAAGGACAUCAUAGAAGUUGAACCUCACACAAAAAUGAAGUGAUAACAUAUGAAAAUAGUAUAUGACUUGCUGCAUUUUGUGGUAAUGUUGCAUACUUAUGUAGAAACAUAUUAUUUCAAAGAAAACAUACACUGAAGAAGUUCACAAAAGCAGGAUCUUCAGGAACAUCAACAGCAUUUGAGGGAGUUGACUCUAGAGGACCAUCCAUAACUGCCAUAGUUGGAACAGCUUCCAGUUCCUCAAACUCACUGCAGUUUAACAUAAAAGGAACUUGAUGACCAAUUUAAGUAAUAAUUAGAUGAUAUAAGAGGUUAGGGAAAAUGAUGAGUGGACCCUUAUGGAAGAUGAUUUCACCUUAGCUAAACACGAAAAUAAAAUGAAAUCAAAGCUGAAUCCUCGAGUGCAAUGCAAAUAAUUUUUUCUCUCUCUUCUCUAACUCCUCUUAUUCGAAAUUGCUCAUCAUUGUGCAGUUCCUCGAGAUUUUGCUAGAGUAGAGAAAGCUAUUCUCCCGUUAAGUGCAGAGGAAAAAAGGGCAAGGGCCUGGUAUGAUGCUAUUCUAUAGGAAGUGAGAAGGUGAAGGGCUAAAAUAUUUUGCAAUUUGGAGGUGGUGUUUGUUAGUGUGUGUACUUCUGAAUUUAUUACCUCUUUAGGAUCCAUAGAAAUUGCCUCUUGUUCAGCAUGCACUGUGCCUACGAGUAAGGCGAGCUUGCAUGGUAUCUAUUGUCUAUUUACUUGGAUAUUCAAACAGGACUACCAGCAACCAAACACAAAUCCCAAAACAAACACUCUUUCAAGUGCAAGGAAAGAGUAACUUGGGCAUAUUUAUGGUUCAAGCACUACAAUAACUAAGAAUGUGAUGACUGUCCACAAACACUAUAUCAGUGCCUUUUGAACUACAUCACAUGCUUGAAGACUUUUUUUUUAGUCAUACAUAAAUUAGCUAUAAAAUCAAGACCCUUAUACAACUAAAAAGAAAGAAAAAUUGUUUGCUACUACAUAUCAAAACUGGUAAUAGCAAUGUAAGAUGGCAGACUUCUUACUUAAACAGAUGAGAGGCUACAAAUAAAAAUUUGUGCAAAUAAAAUAUAUGAUAAAGAGCAUAAUACUUUCUUGGGGGCUAAAAAUAAUAUACAACUUGUGAAAUAUAAAUUGAGCUACCAUUACCUUUUAGAUGUGGCAACUUUCGACUUUUGAGGCACCUUGGAAUAUGCAUUCAGAAUCCUGCAUUUGGAAGCCAAUAAAUAAUGUUAAUAACAAUUUUACAAUAGAAAAAUUAAAAAUUGAUAAAUGGCAGUUGUAAUUUAUGUAUGGUAAAGAUAGCAUCACAUCCAGGUUCCUCCCAUAAACAUGCUUGUAACAAGAAUUAGUUUGCCUCAACUGCUAGCAACUAUACAAUAGUAAAAAUCACUCUUAUGAACUCAAAAUACUAGGCACCAAUAAGAGUAUGACACAGCCAUUCUAAAUGGAAGAGAAUACAACUGUUUUACAACUAUGUUGCAUCAGGAGAUAUGUUAGGAGGAUUAAUCCAGAUACCUUCCAACCCAAAUUAGGAAAACUCGAGUCAGAAACCAGGAGCUGCAACCAAACCUUACAAUCUUGAAGGAAGAAGGAGACUUGGGGCAUUUUUCCAGAUAGGUGACUUACAAGAUCUCCUGCCAAGAAAAUAUCUAUUGCUUUGAACCUCCAUUGAAAUUUCUUUUCCUUUUUCUUGUUUUGACUUGGAACUUUCCAGCAUCAUCUAUUUGAUCUUUUUUAAAGCUAAAAUAGCAAUCUAUGCGUUGUCAACAUCUUAUCCCUUGAUACGAGAUCUAGCUAGACUCUUGCUAGUUUAAGCUUCAAGGCUUGAAUAUUAUAAAAUAAGUUUAAGGAAUUAUCAAUAUAUGCAAUUUUCUAUGCUUCUCAUAAUCAGACACAAUUCAAUCUAAUUAUUUCGUAUGUCAUGUCUUCAAAAGUAAAGAAUUGUACACUAAACGGAAAUCGACAUUGUAGCUUUUUAAUUUUUCUAAUGCUCUUUCUUGUUAACGAGUUUAUAUCCUGAGAGUGGAUUGGAUUAAAAAAAAAAAAAAAAAAAGUUUUGAUGUUCAAGGUAAGCCAUAAUAACAUGCAUCUUAUUUAUCUGCCUAUAUCUAAAUUUGUGCACUGAAUUUAGUAUUUUGGUUAGUGUGAAGGGAUCAGAUAUUGGCUUCCAUAAACCAACUUGUAUUUACUUAAUUAAUUAAUUAACACCAUUUAGUAUUUAACAAAUUAAAAUUUCGUGUUUAAUUUGUCUUAUUUUUUAUUUUUUGAAGCAAGAAUAAGGUAUAGCAGUAGGUAAAGUUGAAAUACAUAUUUAUUCCUUACAAAUUUAAAUUCGUUUUCAGCCAAAUAUACCUACUUAAAACCACUCAAUCAGGCCAUUGGCAACAGUUUUUUAGGUUUUUCUAGUUAACCGUGUACUUUUUUGCUUAUUAAUAAAAUUCUUUUGUGCUGAGAUUUAAAAUAAAGAAGGAGAAAAUAAGUUAUUUAAUUAACCCUGUUUUUAAGUGUUGGCAUAAAUACAGGACUGGAUUCCUUGAGUAACUUGGAGGAGCUGGACAUGACAGGCAAUGCAAUCGAUAAUCUUGUGUUCCUAAAGGUAUACAAAAUGUUCAAAUAUUAAUAAUUUGGAGGACAGUUUAAUUGAUUUGAUUAGGGAAUGCCCAAUGACACUUACCCAAAAUAAUUUAAUCUGAAAUUGUAUCCAAAACAGAUUUCAGAGGUUUGAGGAAGUUGAAUACCCUUCGUAUAGGGGGAACCAGAAUUCAAAUGAUAGAUGGAAGCAAGGUGUUGCAAUCAAUAGGAUCACUACCGUCCCUCAAAACACUUGACCUUUGGUAUACUAAUUUUACGGGAACAGUAGUUAAUCAAGGUAAGUAAAUCUUUUAUGUCGAAAAUAAUUGAAUUAAUAUAUAUAGCUAAAAUUUAUUGUUUCUACUUCUUUCUAAAUAGAAUUGCACAAUUUCACCAACUUGGAAGAAUUGAUAUUGCGAGUCUGAUCUCCAUGUAAGCCAGCUUCUACAAAGCAUCGCAUCAUUCACUUCGUUAAAGUAUUUGUCAAUGGGAGGUUGUACUUAAUGAAGCAAUUAUGGGUAUCCAAAAGAUUUUUUCUUAAUUCGAUAAUAAAUUAUGGGUAUCUGAAGCUUUUAUGAUAUUAAUUCGAUAAUAAUUCUUUCUUUUCAAGUUAAUUUUUUCCCCUAAAAUAAGAUUUUUUUUCUUUUAAAUUUCAUAUAUUUUCAUUGUCCAAUAGUUCUAGCUUCUCUUAAUUGCAGGAUUCUUGAUUAAGGUUAAUGAAAUUUUAGUUCUGUUAUGUUAAGAAUAUUUCGAUCGCUUAGAAGAGUAAAGAAAAAUAAGUAAAUUAACCAAAAAAAAAAGAGAAAAGGACCGGAUUAUCCUUAUUCCCUUGCAUUAUGUGAUCAAUAUCAAAAUUAUAACCAUUUCUUGUUUAUUGCUUGUAGAUUUUCUUAAAUUCAAGAAUUUGGAACAUCUGGACAUGGGUGGGGCGCAAGUUGACGUCAACACCAGUUUUCUUCAAAUUGUCGGCGAAUCGAUGCCUUCUCUUAAGUUUUUAUCACUGACAGGUUCAAGUCUUAAUAAAAACGCCAUUCUUGAUCAAGGUUAGUUAAUGAUUCUCUUUCUCCCUCUCUCGCAUCUUAACUAAAUUUAAUUGAGAAUAUCUAUAAUGCUAGCUAUUUAUAAACUUAAUGAAAGAUGAUAAGGAGCUACUAUAAUGACAAAAACAACUGUAAAAUAGUGCGCUGUUGUAGUGUUAAUUGAAAAAUAAUGCUAAUUUUAUAGUCAUUUUGUUGCCAUUACGUCAGAUUCCAUUGUUCAAUUAUUUAAGUUUUAUGCAAAUAUAUUUUUCAGGACUUUGUCGGUUAGUGCAUCUACAAGAGUUAUACAUCGGCGGUAAUGAUUUGAGAGGUAGCUUGCCAUGGUGCUUGGCAAACAUGACAUCCCUCCAAGUGUUAGAUGCCUCUUUUAAUCAACUUACUGGAAACAUCUCCCCAGGCCUUUGUGAGUUGGUGCUUCUGAGAGAGUUAUACAUUGAUUACAAUUAUUUAAGAGGUAGCUUGCCUUUGUGCUUGGCAAAUUUGACUUCCCUUCGAGUAUUAGAUGUCUCUUACAAUCAACUUACUGAAAACAUCUCAUCUUCCCUCAUGCAUCUAAUAUCUAUGGAAAAGCUCAUACUUUCAAAUAAUCACUUCUUCCAAAUCCCUAUUUCACUUGAACCACUUUUCAAUCUCACAAAACUCAAGACUUUCGAUGGUGAAAUAUACGCAGAAACUGAGUCACAUUAUAAUUCUUUGACCCCAAAAUUCCAAUUGACUUCUAUCUCAUUGUCUGGCUACGGAGAUGGUGGCACAUUUCCCAAAUUCUUGUACCAUCAGCAUGACUUGAAGAAUGCUGAUCUCUCACACCUUAACUUGAGUGGAAAUUUUCCAAAUUGGUUGGUAGAAAACAAUACGAACUUAGAGACGCUUCUUCUUGCCAAUAACUCUCUUUUGGAUCAUUUCGGAUGCCAAUUCAUUCCCACCAGAAAUUAGCAACAUUGGAUGUCUCCAACAAUUUCUUUCAAGGCCAUAUCCCAGUAGAAAUCGGAACAUAUCUGCCAGGCUUAAUGCAUUUAAACUUAUCUAGAAAUGCUUUCAACGGUAGCAUUCCCUCUUCAUUUGCUGAUACGAAAAUGUUGAAAAGCUUGGACAUAUCCUACAAUCAGUUGACUGGUGAAAUCCCUGAGCGCAUGGCCAUGGGUUGCUUCUCAUUGGAAAUUCUUGCAUUGUCAAAACAACAGUUUUGCAAGGUCAUAUAUUCUCCUAAAAAAUUUAAACUUGACAAAUUUGAUGAUGUUGCAGUUGGAUGGUAAUAAAUUCAUUGGAGAGAUCCCAGAAAGCUUAUCUAAGUGCUAUUUGUUGGAGGAUUGUAUCUGAGUGAUAAUCAUCUCUCUGGUGAGAUUCCAAGAUGGUUGGGUAAUUUGUCAGGUUUAGAAGAUAUUAUAAUGCCCAAUAACAAUCUUGAAGGACCAAUUCCAAUCGAGUUUUGUCAGCUUGAUUAUCUGAAGAUUUUAGACCUUUCAAACAAUAGUAUUUUUGGAACUUUACCAUCUUGUUUUAGUCCAGCAUCUAUCGAACAAGUUCAUUUGUCGAAAAAACAAGAUAGAAGGACGGCUGGAGAGUAUAAUCCAUGACAGCCCUCAUUUGGUGACAUUCGAUCUUAGUUAUAACAGCUUACACGGAAGUAUUCCAAAUCGGAUUGACAGACUACCUCAGUUAAACUACCUUCUUUUAGCUCAUAAUUAUAUUAAAGGCGAAAUACCAGUUCAAUUAUGCCAGUUGAAGGAAGUGCGGUUGAUUGAUCUUUCUCAUAAUAAUCUAUCUGGUCAUAUUCCUCCUUGCUUGGUUAACACUUCACUCAGUGAAGGUCAUCAUGAGGCAGUAGCUCCAACUUCUAGUUCGUGUGGUCGAGCGUCUGGCUAUGCAAGUCCAUGUGCGAAAAAUACAAGUGGACUUCCGAUGGGAAAGGAAGAAACUGUACAGUUCACAACAAAGAAUAUGUCCUACUAUUAUCAAGGAAGAAUUUUGACGAGUAUGUCUGGGAUUGAUCUUUCUUGUAACAAACUGACAGGUGAGAUUCCUACUCAAAUUGGAUAUCUUACAAGGAUUCGUGCGCUAAAUCUAUCUCAUAACAAUUUGACGGGCACAAUCCCGACAACAUUUUCAAACCUGAAGCAAAUCGAAAGCUUGGACCUCUCCUACAACCUACUGCAUGGGAAAAUCCCUUCUCAGCUCACUGUGCUAAAUACAUUGGCGGUCUUCACAGUAGCAUACAAUAACUUAUCAGGAAAAAUUCCAGAUAGAGUUGCACAAUUUUCAAACUUUUGAGGAAGAUAGCUAUGAGGGGAAUCCUUUUCUUUGUGGAUGGCCACUGUCUAAAAGUUGCAAUGAUAGUGGAUUAUCAGCAGUGACACGAGAAGCUUACACUGAUAAUGAAGAAGGUGAUAGUUUAAUUGACAUGGACAGUUUCCUAAUCACUUUUACAGUAUCUUAUGGAAUUGUGAUAUUAGGAAUUAUUGGAGUUUUGUACAUAAACCCCUAUUGGCGACGAAGAUGGUUUUACCUUGUUGAAGUAUGUAUGAUCUCUUGCUACUAUUUUGUAGUAGAUAAUCUUAUUCCUAGAAGAUUCUAUGGUGGAUGGAUGUAAUUUCAUUUACUUUACAACUUAUAUGUAAUUUUUAAAGAAUUUUCUUUUGCAUGCAUGGAAUAGCAACUCAAUAAAAGUAUUUGAUGCAAAUUGUCCUAGAACAACUUAGUAAUUUCAUUGCUACUAUUUGGUUGUAUAUAUACAGUUAAUGAAAUUUUUAAUCAUUCGCAGUAGGAAUUUCUUUAGAUGGCGGCCAAAACUAACAGAUUUGGGGCUCUACUUCUACACAUCAUAACAGGCAAAAGGUCUCUCUUUUACACGAUCUGAAUGAAGAUUAACUUACGCCCUCUAGGCUCUGGAGUGUGUGUAAGUUCUCUAUUAAACUUGACGGUUGAGAUUUCAGGUCCAGAUGAAAGUGAAAUGCAGGCGACGAGACUACACUUUAAGUAAACUGGGACAAACUUAAAAUAAAAAAAAUUGUAGUCCAGGGUGAGAGUGAUGGGUAGCUCAACUUAUGGAGGAUAACUAGGACUUGGAAUAACUAUCAGAUUUGCAACUCUUGUUAUAUGCUAGUGGGGAUUUAGGUAGAAAUUUUUUUUUUUUUCCUUUUUGCCCUCUUCCUCACAAUAAAAACACGUAACACACCAAGCCGUGCCCAAAAUAAUCCUAUUUUAUUCAUGUCAUGAAUCCAAAAACUAUCCCAGCUCACUUUGUUUAACCAGCAUAACUAAAUUGUGGUAUAAAUGAACACACUUUCGAAGCCUGUAACUUAUAAUAAGCUCAAACCCAAAAAUGACAUUUAAAUCCUGCAAGUGUUUUUCAUCAUCCCUAACAAAAAGAAACAAGAAUAAUUAUAUACCAAUAAUUUUUCCAUAAAAAAUACUGAUUUUGAGUUGAAACACUAUACAAACUGGGUUUUAUACACUUGCAGAAAGCUACACGGUAGACAAAAUCUAGCAGCUACAUAUUGGUAUCACUUUCAGCUGGUCAUGAAUGGUGUGCAUUCAGCAGUGCUCGAUAGACCAUGUCUAUGAAUUGAUUGUCCUAUUACAUAUAAAAGCUGGUCAGAUAUACAAGGAAAAAAAUAAUAAUUGAAAAUGCAUCACAAAAAAUAAGUGUUUCGCAUUAGUGUUUGCACUCUAAGCAUGGCAAAGUGGUGCGGGGUUCAUGAUUUUGAAGACUGUGAUAAGUGAAAAAUAGUUCAAUCCACUGAUGAACAUAAAUUUAUUUACAUGUCAAUUUAGAUAUCAUCAAAAAGUAAACAGUAAUUCAGAGUCACUUAAAAUAGUUGAUAAAAUGCGUGCCAUGAAUGUAUUUUUGUACAUAAGAAAUCCAAAGAGUAUUUCUGACAAUACAAAUAUGCUAGCUUUAAGUCUGCUGUCAAUAUGCAAUUAAGAAGAUUAUACCAGCUGCAUGAUAAAGUUCCCCUAAUCUUAAUAACAGUAAACAUGAACAUGUCAGAUGCAAUUAUAGCUUUGAGCAUUUGCAUAACCAGAAAUCCUAACCUGAACAAGCACCAGAAGUGUCUCUCGGACUUUCUCCUUGCUGAUAAAUGGUCCGCUGUCUGAAGUAAGAGCAGGAGUAAGAGAUGGUGGAGGGGUUGGUGGUGGAAAAGGUUGAAGCACUGGGGCACCAUAUGGGCGUUGCAGACUCGGGGAGGAUUAAGUGGCGGAGCUGUUGGUGUAGAUGAAGAGACAAGCUGCAUCAUCCGUGCAUAGGAGGAUGGAGGAGGAACAAAGAAUAAGGAAGGCUUUACAAGAUUAGGGGUAGGUGCUGAUAGAGGUGGAGAUGGUAUUUGCAAAGUUGGCACGAUAGGAGAAGCAACACUGGCGGGAUGAGAAGGUAAAGAAAUAGUUGUAUUGGACUGGUAAGGUUGUGCAGAGAUUGCUGCAUUAGAAUUAUUCCCCACAGUCAAAGCUGUCUGCAAUGAUAAGGACAGAUGUCAUAUAAAAGGACAUCAUAGAAGUUGAACCUCACACAAAAAUGAAGUGAUAACAUAUGAAAAUAGUAUAUGACUUGCUGCAUUUUUGUGGUAAUGUUGCAUACUUAUGUAGAAACAUAUUAUUUCAAAGAAAACAUACACUGAAGAAGUUCACAAAAGCAGGAUCUUCAGGAACAUCAACAGCAUUUGAGGGAGUUGACUCUAGAGGACCAUCCAUAACUGCCAUAGUUGGAACAGCUUCCAGUUCCUCAAACUCACUGCAGUUUAACAUAAAAGGAACUUGAUGACCAAUUUAAGUAAUAAUUAGAUGAUAUAAGAGGUUAGGGAAAAUGAUGAGUGGACCCUUAUGGAAGAUGAUUUCACCUUAGCUAAACACGAAAAUAAAAUGAAAUCAAAGCUGAAUCCUCGAGUGCAAUGCAAAUAAUUUUUUCUCUCUCUUCUCUAACUCCUCUUAUUCGAAAUUGCUCAUCAUUGUGCAGUUCCUCGAGAUUUUGCUAGAGUAGAGAAAGCUAUUCUCCCGUUAAGUGCAGAGGAAAAAGAAGGGCAAGGGCCUGGUAUGAUGCUAUUCUAUAGGAAGUGAGAAGGUGAAGGGCUAAAAUAUUUUGCAAUUUGGAGGUGGUGUUUGUUAGUGUGUGUACUUCUGAAUUUAUUACCUCUUUAGGAUCCAUAGAAAUUGCCUCUUGUUCAGCAUGCACUGUGCCUACGAGUAAGGCGAGCUUGCAUGGUAUCUAUUGUCUAUUUACUUGGAUAUUCAAACAGGACUACCAGCAACCAAACACAAAUCCCCAAACAAAACACUCUUUCAAGUGCAAGGAAAGAGUAACUUGGGCAUAUUUAUGGUUCAAGCACUACAAUAACUAAGAAUGUGAUGACUGUCCACAAACACUAUAUCAGUGCCUUUUGAACUACAUCACAUGCUUGAAGACUUUUUUUUUUAGUCAUACAUAAAUUAGCUAUAAAAUCAAGACCCUUAUACAACUAAAAAGAAAGAAAAAUUGUUUGCUACUACAUAUCAAAACUGGUAAUAGCAAUGUAAGAUGGCAGACUUCUUACUUAAACAGAUGAGAGGCUACAAAUAAAAAAUUUGUGCAAAUAAAAUAUAUGAUAAAGAGCAUAAUACUUUCUUGGGGCUAAAAAUAAUAUACAACUUGUGAAAUAUAAAUUGAGCUACCAUUACCUUUUAGAUGUGGCAACUUUCGACUUUUGAGGCACCUUGGAAUAUGCAUUCAGAAUCCUGCAUUUGGAAGCCAAAUAAAUAAUGUUAAUAACAAUUUUACAAUAGAAAAAUUAAAAAUUGAUAAAUGGCAGUUGUAAUUUAUGUAUGGUAAAGAUAGCAUCACAUCCAGGUUCCUCCCAUAAACAUGCUUGUAACAAGAAUUAGUUUGCCUCAACUGCUAGCAACUAUACAAUAGUAAAAAUCACUCUUAUGAACUCAACAAUACUAGGCACCAAUAAGAGUAUGACACAGCCAUUCUAAAUGGAAGAGAAUACAACUGUUUUACAACUAUGUUGCAUCAGGAGAUAUGUUAGGAGGAUUAAUCCAGAUACCUUCCAACCCAAAUUAGGAAAACUCGAGUCAGAAACCAGGAGCUGCAACCAAACCUUACAAUCUUGAAGGAAGAAGGAGACUUGGGGCAUUUUUCCAGAUAGGUGACUUACAAGAUCUCCUGCCAAGAAAAUAUCUAUUGCUUUGAACCUCCAUUGAAAUUUCUUUUCCCUUUUUCUUGUUUUGACUUGGAACUUUCCAGCAUCAUCUAUUUGAUCUUUUUUAAAGCUAAAAUAGCAAUCUAUGCGUUGUCAACAUCUUAUCCCCCGCCCCCCCGGGGGGCCACCAAAAAAAAAAAAAAAAACCAAUGAGUUGUCAAUAAAUAGCGCCUACUCAACUUAUGUUCUCCAAUGAUGACAAUGUGCAAAUCGACCUAGCAGCCACAUUUUUCCCCCCUUUCAACCACCAUUAGGCAACUUUUCUAGCCUUUCUUCAUUGCCCACGUCUACAGAACUAUCAUAUAAAGACUACAUUAUUAUUGGGACAGAGAAAAAAAUACAGACUAUAUUAUUAUUAUAUCUCAUUUUAUUAAUUAACUAGUGCAAGACUUAUUUAGUGUCAAAUCAAGAACUAAUUAGAAAAGACAACUCAUGAUAAUACAGACUUUAAAAAGCAAUAGCUAGCAACACCCCAUAUACUCCUAUUUUAGCCUUCAAUAUCCUGGUAAAAACACAAUUAAGUCUAGCAAAAGAACAUUCACAAGUAAAUUCAACAUUAAUUAAGAUUAAGUAUCUACUGCACCUUCAAUCAAUGACUCGGUGAAUAGCAUGGUCAACCAUCUAGUUCCUGUAGCCCUCCUUGUACCUAUGUUAGUUACAUUUUACAUAUUAAGCCACGAAAAUGAAGGAUCACAGCCUGGUAAAGAAAGCCAUUAAUUAAUAGUUUUUGUUUAAAAAGUUCUCGUUUAGAUCUUUCCUAUUCAAUGAAUCAAUGUAAUCCAAGGAGAACUCUUCCAUUUCAAGCAGUGUUAGAAGAUAAUUGGAAAGCCUAAAGAUAAUAUACAAGGACCAAGAUAUCGAUUAGGUCAAAUAGUGAAUGUCAAAUAUAAAAAAUAAAUAAAAGAAGUUGUACAUGAUCAUUUACUAUCAAGUUCUGUAAAACUGAAAAUACCAUUAUCCCUGUAGAGAUUCUCAAACAACUCUUUAGCAAAUUAUAAAAUAGUUAAAAAAAGAACGAAAGUUUAAAAAAAAAAAAAUGUACAACAGCCAUAUCAGGAGAUGUUUUUCUUCUCAAUCUCAAUAUUUUCUAGCCGUAAAACAAUUGAAAAGCUUAACACCAAGUGAAUUAUUAAGAAUUCAUCAUUUAAAUUCCCAAAUCGUAAAAUGUUGGUGCAACUACGAAAGUGCAAAUGCAAUCACUUUACUUACACAAGAAACAUCAAUAGUGAGAAGCCAACUUUGUAUCAAAUUUGAAGCAGAUAGAUAGAGGUCAAAAAAAUUAUAAAGACACUCAAUUAAAAGCCUUUCAAACAGCUUUUGCAUGCAACAAGAACAAAUCAAAGGCGAUGUGAAUGUAUUCAAAGACUAAUUUACAAUCAUCUACAGGACAUAAAUAUCUUGGAUAACUACUCUCUAUACCUUACUGUCCCACUGAAAAUCAUCAAAUCCCUCCAAACAAAAAUGACAAAAUGGAUAAGAAUUGUGUGGUCAAACAUCAAUAACUUAGCAGCCACAGCAAAAACUUAUGUAGACACGCAAGCCACUCAAAAUAGUCAUAUUGUUUGCUUUCCAAACACAAGCCACUUUGUAAUGAAUAUUCAUAAAUUGCUACUACCAUGUUUGUUAAAACACGUGAAAACCGCCAUCACUAACUAAAUGUAACUGAUGAUCAUCAUCACGUUCAUGGAAUCACAUGUCUGACAGUAUUAAUUAGUGCAAAUGGCAUGCUUCUUAAAACUCCUUAUUUAUCACACGGGCGCCAUUCCAAUCAACCAAUGAUUCUGAUCUAGUCGGCAUAUUCAACCCACGAGCGAGUAAUAGCUCCUAUUGCUUCUUUACAUUUCUCAACGAAAUUCCACAUUCUAACCAUACUUCUGAACUUGUUGCUCCCAUAGACUAAUACAAUAUAAAGAUUUCUUCCCACACCGCCUCAGCCCCCACUCCUAAAAAACCAAUUUAAAUUCUCAUUGACUGUACAACCUAUAGUCCAUACCAAAUUGAAAAAUUUACAAAUAUAGAACCUCAAAGAAUCUUCUUGCAUUCCAUUUUUUACGUCAAGAAAUUUGACUUUUACCACAUGCAAGUCAACAAAUAAAAAAAUCAUGUCUUUGUGAGAUGCACAUUUUCAGACGAAUCUGAAGAGCAAUGAAACCGUAAAAACCGAAUAUGAGAACACCGAGGACUCCAGAUAUCACCUAUAGAAUCUUCGGUCCACACUUGCAUGAUGAAAAUGAUGAAAAAAAAUUGAAGGCUUCGUCACCAACUCCCCAGGUUGUUUUGUUCUCCUAUCUCCUAAAUGUAAAGGAAAGGCAACCCGUUCUUUUUCCAAUCUUAAGGGGCACAGAACGACUCUGGUAUAAAAUAGUCAGUUUCUAUACAAAAAUAACUCCUUUGCACUUGGCACUGCACAUCUCAAAAUAAAAAGCAUGCAAGGAGGAGAAUAUAAUAGCAUUAAACAAGUUUUAUUAACCAAACUUCAAAGAUGCCACACAAGGCAAAAAAGAAAUCUGUACAAGCCAGAUCCCAAGAAUAAUAAUUCCAAUAUACAAUUCAGGAAAACAAUAACUAAAACCAGGUUCAUGAGGCCUCAGCAGAAGCAACAUGUAAUAGCCAUACUCUAUUAUUUGAAACACAUUUCCAAGUUUGGUUAAGAUUCUAAACUAUUCUCUAUGUGUCAAUUAUUAACAUGUAAAACAUAAUAAUAUACACUUAUACUACUACAGUAGUAAAACCAGUAAAACAACAAUACCUGCUGAAAAGAUUUGCUACCUCUUCACAUUCACGAGCAUUGUAGAAUCAAAUCCCAUUUACUUCUUGGGAUGCAUUCCGAUAUAACAAAUACGGAACCUGAACUUCAAACUCAAAAUCUCCCAAAAGAUUUUCCACUAAAUUAUCUGCACAUAUCCAAGAUAUUGAAGCUUAUCAGUGCAAAAACAUAUGCAAAAAGACAUGAAGGUUAGAAGACAUAACUAAAACUUAGCAACAACUGAUAAGCACAACAAGACAUGAAAUAUAACACUAGUUGUAAAUACUCUAAAACUUACCAACCCCCUCUCCUGAUUGUCAUAAAACGGCCAAUAUUUAACCCUAGACAACAAAAUUGCAAAUACUCUAGCCUCUAUAUUAUUGGCAUAUAAAUAUUUUCGGUUAGGUACGUUAUAUUCUUCGUUCUAAAACCUCAAUUAUUAGCUAGUACUGUGAUAAAAUGAUUCAUCACUGAAAUUAAAACUAGUUCACGUACAAAUAAUCAAAACUGAAAUAGAAGCAACGAUAAACCAACCUGUAUUACGUCGAUUCAUCACAACAAACUGAAAUCGAGGCUGUGUGUUCCUGAAAAUUGAAAAAAUAAUAAUUUCACCAACUUCAUAUGUAAUACAAUCUCCAAAACACCGAAUAUCAAAUGAAAAAAUGGAAAGCAUAAGAGAUAAAAGAAUCUAAUUUUAUUGACCUUUUGACGACGAAGAGAGAUCCUUCAACAUCCUUACGACUCCAUUGGCUGAGAUCGAUGUUGAACUCGUAGAAGGUGACAUGAGCGGCCGUGAUGAGGAUCUCCUCAAUGAAUGGAUCGAUUCGCUGAAGAACUGUCAGGCUUAGGAGUUUUGUGCUCUGCUGGUCCAGAUUAGGCAUCAAUUUUCCGUUCUGCGACAUAUUUCAUAGUCCUUUUGGGCUUCUGCCCCGAGCACAAGCCCCAUGGUUUUUCUGUGAGCUCUCUCUCUUUUGUAAAUAAAGUGUUUGAUGAGAUAGCCGAGAGAGAGUGAAGAGUUGAACAGCUAAACAAGGUGAGGUGAACAGUUUCGGACUGAGACUCGAGAUUGAUCUUGCUUUAACGUCUUUUAAACAUUUGGGAAAUAGCAUUUAUUUCUUUCAAUUUCUCUACUGUUUUUUUCCUUUAUGUCAUUUAGACCCCAAAAUUAGAUUUAUUAUAAUCAUAUUGUACCCAUACACUAUUAACCCCUUUUAUUUUUUAUAUUGUCAAUAUUAAUGUAUUAGAAUAAUGUUAGAAAUCUCAAUUAUUAUCUCAAUGUUUCAAUCAUAACUAAUGUGAUAACUCAUCGGUAACUGCAACAUUAACUUAAUUAUUAAUGUAACACAAUAAAAGUUUCGUACAGAUUUUGAUAUUGAGAGUAACACAAUAAAAGUUUCGUACAAAUUUCGCAAACGAAAAGCACAUAAUAUACUUAACUAGGUGGAAAAAUUAAAGUGUAUAUAUUACAAACUGCUAACAAUAUACAAUAGUAAAAAUCACUCUUAUGAACUCACAAAUACUAGGCACCAAUAAGAGUAUGAUACAGCCAUUCUAAAUGAAAGAGAAUACAACUGUUUUACAACUAUGUCACAUCAGGAGAUAUGUUAGCAUGAUUAAUCCAGAUACCUUCGAACCCAAUUAACGAACUCGAGUCAGAAACCAGGGGCCCCCAACUAAACCUUACAAUCUUGAAGGAAGAAUGAGACUUGUGGUCCAGAUAGGUGACUUACUAGAUCUCCUGCCAUGAGAAUAUCUAUUGCUUUGGACCUCCAUUGAAAUUUCUUUUUCCCUUUUUCUUGUUUUGACUUGGAACUUUCCAGGAUCAUCUAUUUGAAGAAGCUAUACCAAACAGACUCUUAGACUGAAUAACUCGAUCUUAAGUUUGUAAAAUUGGGCACAGAAUCUCCACUAACAACCCCGCUUCGGUGAGAAAGCCCAAGCGUGAUACUUUGUAUAACCUUAUUCUGGAUGUUUGAUUGCAGGAACUGGCCGAUCAUACCGACGAGGUGAGUGUGCAACAUGAGGUGCUUGACGGGAUGUUUACUUUCUAUGAUUCAACUAAAGCUAGCCUCAACAUAUAUCAGGUGCCUGCUUGUUUUUACCUUCUAGAUACUAAUGUUGUUUAGACGUGUAAUCUCUCUCUCCAUUGAACGCUAGACGGCUCGUCUCAAGCCUUCUACGUACUUCAGAGUCCUUCAUUAGCUUUUUAUGUAUAAAGUUUUGAUCUUUUUCCUUCAUUUGCUUGAAGCUCAUUACUGCAGAUUUGUUUUACAGGUUGGUAGUGUAACAUUCGACUUGCUAGAUACUUCUAGAAACUCUACAUGCACACUCGCACUGAGCUAGUGGUUACUAAAACCGUUACAACGAUAUUGCCAGCUCAGCAUAACCAACUUAUAACUAACACACUCAGCUGCAGGGGAAACCAUCAAGCUUACUGUGCAUCCUCUGUAAUCAAGCUUCUUUAAGCAUGCUCUGCAGAUCAUACGUCUGAAUUAUCGAAACAAGAUGAAUUAUUUUUUGUUUAUUUCAGCAGGCGAUCUAUGAGCGGAAUUUCUUGCAACAAAAGAUGUGUGUCCACCGGCUUGUAUUCAAUUCGCGAUGGAAUAAAACCAUCAUGCGCCAAGGUACCAAUGAUGUUUCUUCCAGCUUAUGAGAACUUCAAAUCAACUUAGGUCAUAUUUACACAAGGGCGCACAUGAUAUUAAUCUAAUGGCAAUUAUAUCAUCUAAAAUCCAAAACGAAGAGUCUCCCAUUUUCUUGUUCUCUACUCUGUUCAUAUUAUCAUAAAUUGACGAUUGCAAGGCAGCCGCAGAAAGGGAAUCGGCUUUUGGAACGGGCGGCAUUUUUUUCAUAUGAAACAUAAAACAAUUUAAUAUCAAUUUUCUUCAGGAGACUGAGCAGAUUGUCUCGCAAGUGGCGCAUCGGUAUUGUAACGUCUGCUGGGUCUUACAUUAUCCACAAAAAUAUAAGCAUGGUAAAUUAGAGAAAAAUGAUGCAAUUUUACCUUCCCAUUCAUGUCUGCCAAGGCUUUUUGGGCUUCCUCUUCUGUACUGAAAGUCACAUACCCGUAACCUUUUGAUCUAUUCUUACCUUUAUCCAUUAUUAUUGUAGCUGCAAAAAGAAAAGAAUCGGAUAUUACAAAAUAGUGAAGAGGGAAGAGGGGUUGAGACUUAAAACAGAAAUAGACCAAACCCUCAGUGACGUGGCCAAAUUGUGAAAAAGCAUCAGCUAACAUUUCUUUAGUGGUUGAGAAAGAUACGCCUGCAAAGGAUGCCCAGUUAAUUUUAUCAUAAUUAGAUGGUAAGAUUGCAAAUUCUGUAGCCAAAGGUAGUACGGAACUGAAUGAAGGAAAUCAAAUAUGAAUAUGUUUUCAAUCUCAAAAUAUUAAGAGUAGCAUAAGUAACUUGUGAAACAGUUAUAAGUUCAAGGGAAUUAGAUGAUGGUAUGGUUGAAUUUAUAAAUAUUUGAUAUUUAACAAGUUAGUGUGUACAAUGCAAUUGGUACAAAUUAUUGUUCCUUUAACAUGAUGCAUCACAUAAUAUUUUGUUUGCAAAAUAAAGAAGAAAGAUGACAUAAUAGAAACACUCAGAGAGAGAGAAUACCUUUGACGAAAAGCUUAGAAGUGAAUCCUCUGUAAAAUACGAGUUGAGCUGCUGAAUUUUCGAGUUUGAAUGAGAGACUGCGGCAAUUCUGAAAAUGUUUUUUUCUCAUUAGCGCCGCCAUUUUUGUAAUAGAGGGUAAAGAAAUAAGUAACAGAGUAAGAGGUGAGCAGAAGCGGCCCAAUUUAGUUAUAUGCCAUGCAUGCGAUCAAAAUUGAAUGGUUAAAUGGCAGCCACUAUGUUACAUCUUGUGUAAGUAACAAACCGCCUACAUGGAUCGUUGGAUUUGGGAAUAUGAAAUCCAAUGGAUAAUAUUGAAUUUAACGAAAAAUAGAUUACAGGUUGCAUUAGUCCAAGAUUAUUUCAAACAAACCAGCUGAUGAAACAGCCGCUAAUCAAAUUUAAAAGGAAAAAAAAAUCAAAUUAUAGGUUAUAGAUCUUAUUUCCAUCUUAAAUCUCUGUCUUUCAUGGUGACUCAAUGUGUAUACUAAUUUAUAAUUUGGAUCUAUAUUAGAGCUAAUGCUUCCCUAAAUAACUAAGAAAAUUUUCUUUUCAUUGAUUAAAUAUUUAUUUCCAAUAUCUUGUAUAUGUAGGAUUUGAAAAGAGGGAAAAUAGUAGGGAUGAUAAUGAGAGAAAAUAGAGAUGUCGAUUCUCAAAUCUAAUAUUAAUGCUAUACUUAUAUUCCUAUACUAAAUAAAUUAUCCAAGGUUCGUGGUUAACGAUACGUUGCAAAAUUUUAAUUUCUAUUUAAAGCUCUGUCUAAUAUGGCUUUUCAUAAAACUUAGAGAAAAGUAGAGUUUUUAUAAAAAAAAUAUUUAAUUAGAAUUGUCGAUGAUAAAUUUUAAAAAGUACUUUAAUAAAUAAGCUUUUAAAGUUAUAUAUAUUAUGAAAGAAAUGAAAUAAGAUUAUAUAAUAAAUUAAAAGUAUCUUAGAUAAUUGAACUUAAAAAAAAAAAACUUGCUAAGAGGUUUAAAAACUUGCUGUUGCUUCUAGUGCUGGGAUCGUAUUUAAUUGUGCUUUUCAGCUUUCUUGUCAUCACAACUAGGGUAUGACUCUUUCUCCAUAUCAAGCUUGAAGUUCUAAAGUUCAGUUUUAUCUUGUAUUCGGUGUUUCAUAAUUUUGUUGCAAACAGAUUAGAAUAGAAACUUCAAAAGUUCCAAGUGACUAACAAUGUUUUCCAACAGGGUCUUGAUGAUCUAAUCAGUUUGUUUCGAAGACCCCCAUCCCGUAAGGUAAAAACAGCUUGAUGCAGAAGCACAAUGCUGCACCAGUCCUGUGUAACUAUUUCAGAGAAGAUUUUCUCUCGUAACGUAGGUGGAAGUCUCCCAGGAGAAGUUGGCAAAUGACAACUACGAAUGUGUUAUGGUUUGGUUCAGUGACACGAAGGAUAGUUUUCAACAAUUGAUCCUAGGAAGAUGUCCAUAGCUUGUUGUGCCAAAAACAGAAAUUCUAAGAUGCGAAAAAAUUUUGUUGAGAUUCAUUUUUCAUCUAGCUAUUACAGCCAACCUUUUUUUUUUUUUUUUUUUUUUGGGGGCAGAGAAUAAUGCUUAUAUGAUUUCUGAAUUUGGUGACUAUAGCGGAUAGAGACAGUAAGCCAAGAGAAAUGUCUGAAUUAUUCGAAAGAUUAAUUAAUCUUUGCUUAUCGCAUUAGAUGGUCUAUGAGCGGAAUUUCUUACAACAAAAGAUGCGUGUUCAUCGGCUUGUAUCUAGUCUCGUCAUGCAUAUUUUACAUAUAUAUAUAUAUAUAGAGAGAGAGAGAGAGAGAGAGAGAGAGAGAGAGAGAAAUUCUAAAAUAUCACUUAUAUAUUAUAAGUAAUUGAUGCAUGCAUGUAUGUACACACUUUGAGAAGACUCAGACCAUUAAUUUUCUUUUGAGCCAACCAACAGAACGUACAUUUCUUGCACGAAUUUGUAACCGAAACCGCAGUUGCUUGGUUGAUGCAUUUGGGAAAAUUAUCAGAUGGAAUAAAACUAUCAUGCCCCAAGGCGCCAAUGACAUUUUUUUUUUUUAAAGCUUAUGAGCACUUCAAUCAACUUAGGUCAUAUUUACACAAGGGCACAUGAUAUCAAUCCAAUGACAAUUAUAUCAUCUAAAAUCCAGAACCAACAGUCUCCCAUUUUCCCGUUCUCUACGCUGUUCAUAUUAUCACAAAUUGAAGAUUGCAAGGCAGCCGCAGAUCCUAUGCAAUCUCCCAGAUCUUUGCUCUUUCCUUGUAGCAGUUAGUCAAACAGUAAACAGAGAUAUACCAUGUCAACAAGAAGGUAAUCAUAAAAGAACAACAGAAUUGUAAAAUAAAUUUUGUUAUAGAUGAAAUGAUUUGAGCACCCAUGUAUCCAGCAUUAAGGACACCGCAAUAUAUUCAUAUGAAAUGUAAAACAAUUUAAUGUCGGCUAUCUUCAGCUGACUGAGGAGGUUGUCUCGCAAGUGGCACAUCAGUAUUGUAACGUCUGCUGGGUCUUACAUUGUCCACAAAAAGGACUCGUCCAUCUAGUAACUGCAAGUAUAUACUGGGUGAUGCUUAAACUCAACAAUUUAAGCAUGGUAAAUCAGAGAAAAUGAUGCAAUUUUACCUUCCCAUUCAUCUCUGUCAAGGCAUUUUGGGCUUCCUCUUCUGUGCUGAAAGUCACGUACCCGUAACCUUUUGAUCUGUUCUUACCUUUAUCUGUUAUUAUUGUUGCUGCAAAAGGAAAAGAAUUGGAUAUUAGAAAAUAGUGCAGAUGGAACAGGGGUUGAGACUUAAAAUAGAAAUAGAACAAACCCUCAGUGACUUGGCCAAAUUGUGAAAAAGCAUCAGCUAACAUCUCUUCAGUGGUUGAGAAAGAUACGCCUGCGGAACAUGCCAAUUAUUUUAUCACAAUUAGAUGGUAAGAUUGCAAGUUCUGCAGCCAAAAGUAGUACACAACUGAAGGAAGGAAAUAAAAAAUAUGAACAUGUUUUCAAUCUCAGUUACUUGUGAAACAUUUACAAGUUCAAGGGAAUUAGAUAGAGGCGUGGCUAAGUUUGAUAUUUUGGACCAAAAAGGGCAAACAGAUGAAUCCAGAUAAUUAAGAAAAGCAUCAAUUCCAAUGCAAUUGUGGACAAUGGAAUUGCCUUCCCUAUGAGAGUAGAGGGCCUAAAUACGAGCAAAAACCUACUGAUGCAUCUACAGAAGCUCACAUUCACAUGCUGCGUGACUAAACCACCGGAUGGUCUUACUAUACAGUGAAGAAUGUAAUAAUUAACGACCUGAUAAGGCUACAAGGUGAAGAAACUAUUCACCAGAAAAGUUCAAAAUCAAAUCAGAGUGGCUUUGAUUUUUGAAAAAAUGAAACAAUGUCACUUGAGCAACACUAUAAAAUUAUUCAAAGAAAUCUCUAAGUCAGUAUUCAAAUAUAUGGAUUCGUCCAUUCCACCACAACCUCAAAAAUCAGAACCAAGGACCCCCCAUUUGGAUUCGAUUGAUUAAUUUGAGCAAUAUAAAAUCGGAUUUUGAACUUCCCUAAUCAAAAUUUAUAUUCCACACAAUCGGUUCCUUUAACAUGAUGCAUUACAUAAUAUUUUGUUUGCAAAAUAAAGAAAAAAGAUGACAUAAUAGAAACACUCACAGAGAGAGAAUACCUUUGACAAAAAGCUUAGAAGUGAAUCCUCUGUAAGAUACGAGUUGGGCCGCUGAAAUUUUCAAGUUUGAAUGAGAGACUGCGCCAUUUCUGAAAAUGUUUUUUCGUAUUAGCGCCGCCAUUUUUGUAAUAGAGGGUAAAGAAAUAAGUAACAAAGUAAGAGGUGAGGCAGAAGCGGCCCAAUUUAGUUACAUGCCAUGCAUGCGAUCAAAAUUGAACGGUUAAAUGGCAGCCGCUAUGUUACAUCUUGUGUAAGUAACAAACCGCCUACAUGGAUCGUUGGAUUUGGGAAUAUGAAAUCCAAUGGAUAAUAUUGAAUUUAACGAAAAAUAGAUUACAGGUUGCAUUAGUCCAAGAUUAUUUCAAACAAACCAGCUGAUAAAACAGCCGCUAAUCAAAUUUAAAAGGGAAAAAAAAUCAAAUUAUAGGUUAUAGAUCUUAUUUCCAUCUUAAAUCUAUUUGUCUUUCAUGGUGUCUCAAUGUGUAUACUAAUUUAUAAUUUGGAUCUAUAUUAGAGCUAAUGCUUCCCUAAAUAACUAAGAAAAUUUUCUUUUCAUUGAUUUAAUAUUUAUUUCCAAUAUCUUGUAUAUGUAGGAUUUGAAAAGAGGAAAAAUAGUAGGGAUGAUAAUGAGAGAAGAUAAAGAUGUCGAUUCUCAAAUCUAAUAUUAAUACUAUACUUAUAUUCCUAUACUAAAUAAAUUAUCCAAGGUUAGUGGUUAACAAUAUGUUGCGAAAUUUUAAUUUCUAUUUAAAGCUCUGUCUAAUAUGGCUUUUCAUAAAGCUUAGAGAAAAGUAGAGCUUUUACAAAAAAAAAAAAAAUUAAUUAGAAUUGUCAAUGAUAAAUUUUAAAAAGUACUUUAAUAAAUAAGCUUUUAAAGUUAUAUAUAUUAUGAAAGAAAUGAAAUAAGAUUAUAUAAUAAAUUAAGAGUAUCUUAGAUAAUUGAACUUUAAAAAAAAAACUGCUAAGAGGUUUAAAAUUUGAGUUUUUAAUAGUGGAUACAAAAUAGUUUAUUUAAUUCUCAAAAGCACUACUCAAAAUACAACCAUGUAACACAAAAAUUUUUAAUAAGUUUUUUGGACUAGUUAAGUACUUUUUUUAAAAAAAAAAAAUAUUUUUUUCAUUGAGUAAAUAAUACUAAACAUGCACUAAAGUGUUAGGACCAGAAGUUGUACAAAUAAAACCAUGAAAUUAUAUGUUGUUGGAUGGAUAUUUUUCAAAUUUGCUGUAGUUUUUUUUUUUAAUUUUCUGCUGGGAAAUUGAAAUGAUGGCUAAAACUUAAAUUAUGAAUGGAGUAAUCGGAGAAUAUUGAAACCCAUUUAAUUUGGAUCGUGCAUUGAGGGACGAAAGGAUAAAAAUUUAAUUUUGAAAUUGUUGUUGGCUACGGUACAAUGACUUACCGUUGACAGCUUGUGCAACCGAAUUACAAUCAGUUAGUUCAAUAAUUUUAUAUCCCUAUUUAACCGCCACGUGCUGCUGUUACAUGGGUCAAUUAGUCAUGUCAUUACUGUUACUUACAGCUGCUGUAACAUAACCGGAUCCUGGUUAAAUUAUGUUGUUUCCAAUAAUUUUAUGAUGUAUCUUCUUUAAUAAUAAAGAAAACUUGCAUUAAAAUUAAAAUUAGGGUAAUACCUGAUUUUAUAAAUAGAUUGCAAUGUAAUUUUGAAAAAUAAAACAAUAAUUUACGAAAUGUUUAUAACAUAAUUUUAAUUUUUUUUAAAAAGGAAAAACAACAAAAGUAAGAAAUAGAGAAUGAGGGCUACAAACUUUGCAUCUUAAACGGCCGUUAGAUUAUUUGUAAAUGAAAGCAACGGUCAGAUAUUGGUGGAUUAUGGAAACAUGUAAUCAUAAGGACUACGACUUUUUUUUGUUACAUUAAUAUAUUACAAUCAAAAUUCUAUUGGUAUUUACAACCAGAAUUUCAUUUGACUAUCUUUGAUAAUUCUAAACUAGUACAGCCCAAAUUCUUAUUCUCAUAUAAUAUCAAAGAGAGAUAUAUAUUCUUCUCCUCUAUUAAUAAAGAGACAUUUUUACUUCUAUCCAAUUUAAAUAGAACAAGAAUUAAGUCAUUUUAAUAGUUAGGACUCAGAACUCAUACACGCUAGUUUGAGAGCGUGGGGUGUGACAAUGGGCCAAGAGACCAUUGACAAAUACAAAAGAGUGGUAGAAAUUAAUUCAAACCGCUACACACGCUAUUGCAACCAAAUUGAGGGCACAUUUUUGUUUAUUUAGUUGAAAAGUAGUCUGUAAAAUUAACUCAAACCGCUACAUACGCUAUUGCAACCCAAUUGAGGGCCCAUUUUUGUUUAUUUCGUUGAAAAGUAGUUCGCGCAAUUAAUUCAAACCGCUACACACACUAUUGCAUCUUUUGAAAAAGAAAAAUGGAAUAAUUUUUCAAAAUUAAUUUAGAGAAUAAGAUUUACUAAUAAUGAUGUUAGAAAUCUUGAUAUUUGAAUCUUAAUAUUAUCUAUCACUCAUUUAUUAAAUAAUAGAUUUCAUAGUUUGUAAAAUUACUUAACCACUUGAUAAAUGUUAUAUUUGUUGGGACUAGAUUGGGACUUAAAUAUUGGAAUAUCUAGUAUUGCAUAAAAAAAAAACUUAACAAUUUAUCUUCACACGACUAAUUGUUUUUACAUCACAACUAACCUUAAUUAUUUUAAAAGUUUAUGCAUUAUUAAAUUGCCCUAACUAGUUAUCAAAAGGUGAAAGCAUGUUUAAAAAAGAAAUUACUAAGAAACAUUUGUUUAAACGAAGGUUAAGGUUAUGAUCAAUUAAUUAAGAAGAAACUUACUAUCAAAGGUUAAGAUUAUGAACAAUUUAAGGAAGUUAUUGAGUAGAGAAAGGGACAGAAUGGUUGUCUGAUUUGCCGGUGACAAGAAUGCUUGUGUUGUGAAAAGAAAUCCGAUGGUUUGUAAAUUUGUUGAAUUGGUCCCAAUUAGUAUAGUAACCAUCUAUUGAGCGGUAAAAUAUUAAUUUAAAUAGUCAUGAAAUCUAAUAUAUAAUAGAUUACUAACACACAUAAAUUAAAACUUAACUGUCAGAAAUCAUAACAUUAUUCUAAGCUUCAGUGGAGUUCUCUUAACAGAUUAUGUGAGAUUGCCUAUAUUAAAAAUAUGUUAAGACUGCUUGUUGAAAGCAAUAUUCGCUUUUUGAUUAUAUCCAUAACUUUGAAUUGAUAAAGUUGUAUUCAACAGCUCUUGAAAAGACUAAGCAGGUCUUCUUUGCAUUUGAUCACUGGUAUUUCAGUUAAGUUUGUCGUUUACUUAAAUUUUUCUUGCUUUCAAUUUCCACUGUUGUUUUUUUUUUAAUAAAAUAAUUUGUUUAACUAGUCAUAGAAAUAAGAGAGAAAAUGGGUCAUUUCUUGACUCAAAGUCAAUUAUAAUUAUCAAAACUUGAGGGGACAUCGCAUGCCUAAAUUCCACGCACCCUAAAACAGUUUGAUUUGCUUUCACGCGUUCAUGAAUUUCCAUGAAAGAGCCUGUCUUUCGUCUCUUUCGGGACAAUGACUACAAUUAUGGAAAAAAAUUAUAAUUCUCGUUAGAUUGUAACCAAAUUAUUAUCCCUAAUUUUUUAAAGUUAAAUAAAAUAAAAUUCAUGCUUAAGUAUUUAGUAAUUAGAGAGAGAUAGAGAGGAUUGAGGGCCAAUGUUUCGCGAUUUGGGGUCAAUUCAAAGUCAACUAACGUGUAAAACACGUGUAUGCAUAGAAAACGCUUAGAUUAUUUGUGUUCCAAGUGCAAGAAAUUAAGAAAAGAAAAAUUGAACUUCCAAGAAAGAAAGAAGACCCUUCACCUUGUUCGUGACAACAAAUGAAUGAAUGAUGUUGAUAUGACAAAUACAAGCGCUAUUACAGGGAACAGCAUAAGACCGAGACUUGAUAAAAGGUUUGUUGAAUUACAUGUUAUUUUCUUUUGACUUGAAUGAUGUUGAAAAUAAAAUAAAAUAAAAUUGUAAUCAGGGUGAUGUGUGCAAUAUAGUGAAAUAAAUAAAUAGAGAAGAGAAAUUCGUUGAUCAAUAUUAAAGAACUCAUCCAAAGUGAUCGUCAAAGUCUAGAGGUUCGGUAUGAUUAGCAUUUAUUUUUAUUUUUUUUGGCUUAGCAUCAUAUAUAGUCACUUGUCGUGUGAUCUAGGACAGGUUUAGAAAUCCUUUUAUUUUAACUUCCGUAUUCUUAUUAUUUAAUUAGUUAUAAAGUUUUUAAGUAUUUGAGUAUUGAUCACAUGUCUCCUAAUCUAAAAAUAUGUUUUUACGAGUACAAAUAACAAACUAGGAUUUUAACAUCCUUUUAUACUAAACCCUAAAAAUACAUGAAUUUAUCAAAAUAAGUAAAUUAAUUUAAAUUGGUAUGGCAUAAUAGAAGUUUUACCUGCCGAAACAAAUUAAAAAAAUAUUACACUUAAAUCAAAUAUUGACAAAAAUAGAUAACAAUCUAAUGAGAAUCUUAACUAGACAUUUUUAAUUCUAUCCAAUUUAACUGGAACGAGAAUUAAGUCCUUUCAAUACUUAGGACUCAUAACUCAUACACACUAGUUUGAGAGUGUGGGGUGUGACAAUGGGACCAUUGACAAGUAUAAAAGAGUGGUCGCAAUUAAUUCAAACCACUACACACGCUAUAUUGAGGGCCCAUUUUUGUUUAUUUCGUUGAAAAGUAGUUUUCACAAUUAAUUCAAACCGCUACACACGCUAUUGCGUCUUUUAAAAAAGAAAAAUGGAGUAGUUUUCCAAAAUUAAUUCAGAGAAGAAGAUUUACUAAUAAUGAUGUUAGAAAUCUUAAUAUUUGAAUCUUAAUAUUAUGUAUCACUCAUUUAUUAAAUAAUAGAUUUCAUAGUUUGUAAAUUUACUUAACCACUUGAUAAAUGUUAUAUUUGUUGGGACUAAAUUGGGACUUCAAUGUUGGAAUAUCUAGUAUUGCAUAAAAAAAAAAAUAAAAACUUAACAAUUUAUCUUCGCAUGACUAAUUGUUUUUACAUCACAACUAACCUUAGUUAUUUUUUAAAGUUAUAGUAUUAUUAAAUUGCCCUAACUGGUUAUCAAAAGAUGAAAGCAUGUUAAAAUAAGAAAUUACUAAGAAACAUGUGCUUAAACAGAGGUUAAGGCUACGAACAAUUAAGAAGAAACAACUUACAAUCAAAGGUUAAGAUUAUGAACAAAUUAAGGAAGGUAUUGAGCAGAUAAAGGGACGGAAUCAUUGUCUGAAUUGCCGGUGACAAGAAUGCUUGUGUUGUGAAAAGAAAUUUGAUGGUUUGUAAAUGGGUUGAAUUUUUUAUUCGCUCGCUCCAACUGACUUACUAAUGCCAAAUUUAUUACUUUGCACAGUAGUGUUUAGGAUCCUCAAGAUCAACUCUUAAUUUGGUCCCAAUUAGUGCAGAAAUCAUCUAUUGAGCAAUAGAAUAAGAAUUUUUCUAGUCAUGAAAUUCAAUAUAUAAUAUAUCCUUGACACACAUCGAUUAUAACUUAACUGUUAGAAUUCACAACAUUACUCUACUCUCAAGGGGAGUUCUCUUAACAUAUUAUGUUAGGUUGCCUACAUUCAAAAUAUGUUAGACUGCUCUUUGAAAGCAAUAUUCCCUUUUCCGUAACUUUGAAUUGAUCCAAUAGCUCUUGAAAAGCACAUAAUAAUCAUUAUAAAUUUAAUCAAAGACUAAGCAGGUCUUCUUUGCAUUUGAUCACUGGCAUUUCAGUUAAGUAUGUCAUUUACUUAAAUUUUUCUUGCUUUCAAUUUUCACUGUUGUUUUUUUUUUUAAUAAAAUAAUUUGUUUAACUAGUCACAGAAAUAAGAGAGAAAAUGGGCCAUUUCUUGACUCAAAGUCAAUUAUAAUUAUCAAAACUUGAGCGGACAUUGCAUGCCUAAAUUCCACACACCCUAAAACGGUUUGAUUUGCUUUCACGCGUUCAUGAUUUUCCAUGAAAGAGAGUGCCUCUCGUCUCUUUCCGGACAGUGACGACAAUUAUGUUAACGUGACAAAUACAUAACGUUAUUACAUACAAGAAUAAGUUUUUGGAGCCGAGACUUGAGGGAGGUUCUAUCUAAUUCUAAAGAUUGUAACCAAAUCAUUAUCCCCAAUUUUUUUCAGUUAAAUAAAAUAAAAUUUAUGCUUAAGUAUAAAUAAAAUCCAUAGUGGAUAAAUAUUUGAUUAUCGAUUUUUUUUAAUGUAAAAUUGCUGGUUUGUUGCUUAAAAUUUUCAAUAAUAAUUUCACUUAUUUAGUAAUUAGAGAGAGAGAGAGGAUUGAGGGCCAAUGUUUCGCGAUUUGGGGUCAAUUCAAAGUCAACUAAGGUGUAAAACAUGAUUUCCUUUCAUGAACUUCGAAGAAAGAAAGAAGACUCUUCACCUUCUUCAUGACAACGAAUGAUGUUGAUAUGACAAAUACAAUCGCUAUUACAGGGAACAGCAUAAGACCGAAAUUUGAUAAAGGGUUUGUUAAAUUACAUGUUAUUUUCUUGUUAACUGAAUUGGAAGAAAAAAUAAAAAUAAAAUAAAAUUGUAAUCAGUGUGAUGUGUGGAAUAUAUUGAAAUAAAUAAAUAGAGAAGAGAAAUUCGUUGAUCAAUAUUCAAGAACUCAUCCAAAGUGACUGUUAAAGUCUAGAGGUUCCGUAUGAUUAGCAUUUAUUUUUUAAUUUUUUGGCUUAACAUCAUAUGUAGUCACUGGUCGUGUGAUCUAGGACAGGUUUAGAAAUCUUUUUUUUUUUUAACUUCCGUAUUCUUAUUAUUUAAUUAGUUAUAGGGUUUUUUAGUAUUUGAGUAGUGAUCACAGGUCUCCUAAUCUAAAAAUAUGUUUUACGAGUACAAAUAAAAACUAGGAUUUUAACAGCCUUUUAUACUGAACCCUAAAAAUACAUGAAUUUAUCAAAAUAAAUAAAUUUGAAUUGGUAUGCCAUAAUAAAAAUUUUACUUGCCAAAACAAAUUAAAAAAAAUAUGACGCUUAAAUCAAAUAUCGACAAAAAUAGAUAAAAAUCCAACAAGAAUCUCAAAAAUAAGAAAGAUAUCUUCAAAAUAGAAGCGUCCAAGAGAAAUUUGGCGAAGAUUUGCUAAUCCACAUUGAAAAUGUCACUUUUCCUUGAGAACUUCAUAAUGAUAUAUUAUGAGCCUAAGACAAAUACCAAUUACUCAAGUUAUGGCCCUAUGAAGACAUCCUAUUCAUUCUCCCUAGACCAGGACGUGUCGCACAUGUUUGCAUUCAAAUUUAGGUGAAAAUCUACUCUCAUUCAAGGGAUAUAUAGGUACCUGUGAAGUCUCAAACCCGAGAUAAUGUGAAAGCAAAUCGGGAGUUUGAUUAAAUUCAGCCAAUUAUUAGUGUGUACGGAUGGUAGGGAUGGAAAAAAACUCCGACCGUUCUUAGGUAUGGUAUUACCCAGAUCUGGCCUAAGCAUGUUUUUUUUGAACACUCAGAAUUUUUUAAUCAAAACUUAAAAAACCUAGAAUUUAUAUUUUAUAAUAUUAUAUAUAUUUAUUUUAUUUUAUAAUUUUAUAUUUUCAAAUUUUAUUUUAAUGAAUUGGAAUUAAAAAUAUGAGUUUUAAAUGUUUAAAAUUUUAAAAAUAGAUAAUAAGUGGACCAAAUGAACAAAAUAAUAGAUAUUUUAUAAUAUUCUUCAUAAAAAUCCAAGUUUUGAGCUAGCCCAUAAGCUUGUCUAGUGAAGUCUGGGUACCCGCGUUGCCCAAGGUUCCGUCAGAAUCCAGGCUGUGCAGAUAUUUAUGGACGGAGAGGAAAUAUUUUCAGUUGACUGAAUUAAAUAAAAAUAUAUUACAAUCAUAUUAUAUAUUAACAGUAAAAAUAAAAAGAAAUGAAGAAAAACGCAUGCAAGACUUAGACAAAGUCAAUUAAAAGCUGGGAGUAUCAUCAGUUCAAUUGGUUUUAAAUAGCGUAGAGCCAUCCUCUCGUUGUUGCAGAAGAGAGACAGAAAGAGUGUGUGUAGGCGAUUAUAAUUAAGCAGAUAUAAUGUGUGGUUCAAAAAGAGUGUGGGUGAGUGAGUUAAUUUUCAUAUUAUUAGUAGUAAAAGGGUGGUGGAGUGAGGGAUGUUUGGAGCAAGAGAGGUCUGCUCUCCUCCAACUCAGACAUUUCUUCAAUGAUGAUCACCGUCUUCAAAACUGGGUAGACGAUGAGUAUUAUUCAGAUUGUUGUCAGUGGGAACGGGUUGAGUGCAACGACACCACUGGCAGAGUGAUUGAAUUAGAUCUAGCAGUAACUCGGAAUUGGGAAUCAGCAGAGUGGUAUAUGAAUGCCUCUCUGUUUACUCCUUUUGAACAAUUAGAGUCUCUUGAUCUAAUAGGGAACAAUAUAGCCGGUUGUGUUGAAAAUGAAGGUCCGUAAUUUACUCUAUUUUAAUUCUUCCUCAUAAUUUUUUCCAUUUAUCUGAUCCCUUUUGGUUUUUAUUUAAUUUGUAUGUGAUACAAUAAAAUUACUUUUUAUUUUUUGGCAGGUCUAGAUAGGUUAUCAAGGUUGAACAACUUGAAGUUUCUUUAUUUAGACCUUAACCACUUCAACAACAGCAUCUUUUCAUCUCUAGGUGGUCUUUCAUCACUCAGAAACUUAUCAUUGGCUGCUAAUCGAUUGAAUGGAAGUGUUGAUAUUAAAGGUAAGUAAGCUUCAUCCCUUCUCCCCUGUCCCAUCUUUUGUGGAUCUUAUUUCACUGAGCAGCUGGAAGUAUUGAUACGAGAUCUAGCUAGACUCUUGCGAGUUUAGGCUUCACGGCUUUGAAUAGUAUAAAAAUAAGUUGAAUAAAUUAUCAAUAUAUGCAAUUUUCAAUGCUUCUCAUAAUCAGACACAAUUCAAUCUAAUUAUUUCGUAUGUCCUGUCUUCAAAAGUAAAGAAUUGUACACUAAUUGGAAAUCGACAUCGUAGCUUUUUAUUUUCUAUAAUGCUAUUUCUUCGUUAACAAGUUUAUAUCCUAAGAGGGAUUGGAUUGAAAAAAAAAAAGAAGUUUUGAUGUUCAAUGUCAGCCAUGAUAACCUGCAUCUUAUUUGUCUGCCGACAUCCAAAUUUGUGCACUGAAUUUAGUAUUUUGGUUAUUGUGAAGGGAUCAGAUAUUGGCUUCCAUAGACCAACUUGUAUUUACUUAAUUAAUUAAUUAACGACAUUUAGUAUUUAACAAAUUAAAAUUUCAUGUUUAAUCUAUUUUAAUUUUUUUAAGAAAAAAGAAAUAGAUAUAGCAGCAGGUAAAGCUGAAAUAAAUUUUAAUUCCUUACAAAUUUAAAUUCAUGGUUGUCAGCUAAAUAUACCUGCUUAAAGCCACUCUUUUCGCUGAGAUUUAACCAAAAAAAAAAGGAGAAAAUAAUUUAUUUAAUUAACUCUGUUUUAAGUGUUGGAAUAAAUACAGGACUGGAAUCCUUGAGUAACUUGGAGAUGCUGGACAUGAGGGACAAUGCAAUCGACAAUCUAGUGGUUCCUAAAGGUAUACAAAAUGACACUAACCCAAAAUAAUUUAAUCCGAAAUUGUAUCCCAAAUAGAUUACAGAGGUUUGAGGAAGUUGGAUACCCUUUAUUUGGGGGGGAAGGGAAAUUGCAGUGAUAUAUGGAAGCAAGGUGUUGCAAUCAAUAAAGAAAUUCGUUGGUCAAUAUUCAAGGACUCAUCCAAAGUAAUCGUUAAAGUCUAGAGGUCUGCUCUCCACCAACUCAAACAUUUCUUCAAUGAUGAUCAACGUCUUCAAAACUAGGUAGACGCGGGAGAUGAUGAGAAUAAUUUAGAUUGUUGUCAGUGGGAAGGGAUUGAGUGCAACAAAACCACAGGCAGAGUGAUUAAAUUAGAUCUAGCACAAACUCGAAAAUGGGAAUCAGCGAAGUGGUAUAUGAAUGCCUCUCUGUUUACUCCCUUUCAACAAUUAGAGUCUCUUGAUCUAAUUGGGAACAAUAUAGCUGAUUGUGUUAAAAACGACGGUCAUUAAUUUACUCUAUUUUAAUUCUUCCUCCUCGUAAUUUCUUACAUCUAUCUGAUCCCUUUCGGCUUUUGUUUAAUUUGUACGUGAUACAAUAAAAUUAUUUUUUUUCAGGUCUGGAGAGGUUAUCAAGGUUGAACAACUUGAAGUUUCUUGAUUUAGGCUUUAACCACUUCAACAACAGCAUCUUUUCAUCUCUAGGUGGUCUUUCAUCACUCAGACACUUAUCAUUGGCUGAUAAUAGAUUGAAUGGAAGUAUUGAUGUUAAAGAUAAGCAAGCUUCAUCCCUUCUCUCGUGUCCCAUCUUUGUGGAUCUUAUUUCAUCGACCAGCUGGAAGUAUUGAUACGAGAUCUAGCUAGACUCUUGCUAGUUUAAGCUUCAAGGCUUUGAAUAUUAUAAAAAUAAGUUUAAGGAAUUAUCAAUAUAUGCAAUUUUCUAUGCUUCUCAUAAUCAGACACAAUUCAAUCUAAUUAUUUCGUAUGUCAUGUCUUCAAAAGUAAAGAAUUGUACACUAAACGGAAAUCGACAUUGUAGCUUUUUAAUUUUUCUAAUGCUCUUUCUUUGUUAACGAGUUUAUAUCCUGAGAGUGGAUUGGAUUAAAAAAAAAAAAAAAAGUUUUGAUGUUCAAGGUAAGCCAUAAUAACAUGCAUCUUAUUUAUCUGCCUAUAUCUAAAUUUGUGCACUGAAUUUAGUAUUUUGGUUAGUGUAAAGGGAUCAGAUAUUGGCUUCCAUAAACCAACUUGUAUUUACUUAAUUAAUUAAUUAACACCAUUUAGUAUUUAACAAAUUAAAAUUUCGUGUUUAAUUUGUCUUAUUUUUUAUUUUUUGAAGCAAGAAUAAGGUAUAGCAGUAGGUAAAGUUGAAAUACAUAUUUAUUCCUUACAAAUUUAAAUUCGUUUUCAGCCAAAUAUACCUACUUAAAACCACUCAAUCAGGCCAUUGGCAACAGUUUUUUAGGUUUUUCUAGUUAACCGUGUACUUUUUUGCUUAUUAAUAAAAUUCUUUUGUGCUGAGAUUUAAAAUAAAGAAGGAGAAAAUAAGUUAUUUAAUUAACCCUGUUUUUAAGUGUUGGCAUAAAUACAGGACUGGAUUCCUUGAGUAACUUGGAGGAGCUGGACAUGACAGGCAAUGCAAUCGAUAAUCUUGUGGUUCCUAAAGGUAUACAAAAUGUUCAAAUAUUAAUAAUUUGGAGGACAGUUUAAUUGAUUUGAUUAGGGAAUGCCCAAUGACACUUACCCAAAAUAAUUUAAUCUGAAAUUGUAUCCAAAACAGAUUUCAGAGGUUUGAGGAAGUUGAAUACCCUUCGUAUAGGGGGAACCAGAAUUCAAAUGAUAGAUGGAAGCAAGGUGUUGCAAUCAAUAGGAUCACUACCGUCCCUCAAAACACUUGACCUUUGGUAUACUAAUUUUACGGGAACAGUAGUUAAUCAAGGUAAGUAAAUCUUUUAUGUCGAAAAUAAUUGAAUUAAUAUAUAUAGCUAAAAUUUAUUGUUUCUACUUCUUUCUAAAUAGAAUUGCACAAUUUCACCAACUUGGAAGAAUUGAUAUUGCUCGAGUCUGAUCUCCAUGUAAGCCAGCUUCUACAAAGCAUCGCAUCAUUCACUUCGUUAAAGUAUUUGUCAAUGGGAGGUUGUACUUAAUGAAGCAAUUAUGGGUAUCCAAAAGAUUUUUUCUUAAUUCGAUAAUAAAUUAUGGGUAUCUGAAGCUUUUAUGAUAUUAAUUCGAUAAUAAUUCUUUCUUUUCAAGUUAAUUUUUUCCCCUAAAAUAAGAUUUUUUUUCUUUUAAAUUUCAUAUAUUUUCAUUGUCCAAUAGUUCUAGCUUCUCUUAAUUGCAGGAUUCUUGAUUAAGGUUAAUGAAAUUUUAGUUCUGUUAUGUUAAGAAUAUUUCGAUCGCUUAGAAGAGUAAAGAAAAAUAAGUAAAUUAACCAAAAAAAAAAGAGAAAAGGACCGGAUUAUCCUUAUUCCCUUGCAUUAUGUGAUCAAUAUCAAAAUUAUAACCAUUUCUUGUUUAUUGCUUGUAGAUUUUCUUAAAUUCAAGAAUUUGGAACAUCUGGACAUGGGUGGGGCGCAAGUUGACGUCAACACCAGUUUUCUUCAAAUUGUCGGCGAAUCGAUGCCUUCUCUUAAGUUUUUAUCACUGACAGGUUCAAGUCUUAAUAAAAACGCCAUUCUUGAUCAAGGUUAGUUAAUGAUUCUCUUUCUCCCUCUCUCGCAUCUUAACUAAAUUUAAUUGAGAAUAUCUAUAAUGCUAGCUAUUUAUAAACUUAAUGAAAGAUGAUAAGGAGCUACUAUAAUGACAAAAACAACUGUAAAAUAGUGCGCUGUUGUAGUGUUAAUUGAAAAAUAAUGCUAAUUUUAUAGUCAUUUUGUUGCCAUUACGUCAGAUUCCAUUGUUCAAUUAUUUAAGUUUUAUGCAAAUAUAUUUUUCAGGACUUUGUCGGUUAGUGCAUCUACAAGAGUUAUACAUCGGCGGUAAUGAUUUGAGAGGUAGCUUGCCAUGGUGCUUGGCAAACAUGACAUCCCUCCAAGUGUUAGAUGCCUCUUUUAAUCAACUUACUGGAAACAUCUCCCCAGGCCUUUGUGAGUUGGUGCUUCUGAGAGAGUUAUACAUUGAUUACAAUUAUUUAAGAGGUAGCUUGCCUUUGUGCUUGGCAAAUUUGACUUCCCUUCGAGUAUUAGAUGUCUCUUACAAUCAACUUACUGAAAACAUCUCAUCUUCCCUCAUGCAUCUAAUAUCUAUGGAAAAGCUCAUACUUUCAAAUAAUCACUUCUUCCAAAUCCCUAUUUCACUUGAACCACUUUUCAAUCUCACAAAACUCAAGACUUUCGAUGGUGAAAUAUACGCAGAAACUGAGUCACAUUAUAAUUCUUUGACCCCAAAAUUCCAAUUGACUUCUAUCUCAUUGUCUGGCUACGGAGAUGGUGGCACAUUUCCCAAAUUCUUGUACCAUCAGCAUGACUUGAAGAAUGCUGAUCUCUCACACCUUAACUUGAGUGGAAAUUUUCCAAAUUGGUUGGUAGAAAACAAUACGAACUUAGAGACGCUUCUUCUUGCCAAUAACUCUCUUUUUGGAUCAUUUCGGAUGCCAAUUCAUUCCCACCAGAAAUUAGCAACAUUGGAUGUCUCCAACAAUUUCUUUCAAGGCCAUAUCCCAGUAGAAAUCGGAACAUAUCUGCCAGGCUUAAUGCAUUUAAACUUAUCUAGAAAUGCUUUCAACGGUAGCAUUCCCUCUUCAUUUGCUGAUACGAAAAUGUUGAAAAGCUUGGACAUAUCCUACAAUCAGUUGACUGGUGAAAUCCCUGAGCGCAUGGCCAUGGGUUGCUUCUCAUUGGAAAUUCUUGCAUUGUCAAACAACAGUUUGCAAGGUCAUAUAUUCUCUAAAAAAUUUAACUUGACAAAUUUGAUGAUGUUGCAGUUGGAUGGUAAUAAAUUCAUUGGAGAGAUCCCAGAAAGCUUAUCUAAGUGCUAUUUGUUGGGAGGAUUGUAUCUGAGUGAUAAUCAUCUCUCUGGUGAGAUUCCAAGAUGGUUGGGUAAUUUGUCAGGUUUAGAAGAUAUUAUAAUGCCCAAUAACAAUCUUGAAGGACCAAUUCCAAUCGAGUUUUGUCAGCUUGAUUAUCUGAAGAUUUUAGACCUUUCAAACAAUAGUAUUUUUGGAACUUUACCAUCUUGUUUUAGUCCAGCAUCUAUCGAACAAGUUCAUUUGUCGAAAAACAAGAUAGAAGGACGGCUGGAGAGUAUAAUCCAUGACAGCCCUCAUUUGGUGACAUUCGAUCUUAGUUAUAACAGCUUACACGGAAGUAUUCCAAAUCGGAUUGACAGACUACCUCAGUUAAACUACCUUCUUUUAGCUCAUAAUUAUAUUAAAGGCGAAAUACCAGUUCAAUUAUGCCAGUUGAAGGAAGUGCGGUUGAUUGAUCUUUCUCAUAAUAAUCUAUCUGGUCAUAUUCCUCCUUGCUUGGUUAACACUUCACUCAGUGAAGGUCAUCAUGAGGCAGUAGCUCCAACUUCUAGUUCGUGUGGUCGAGCGUCUGGCUAUGCAAGUCCAUGUGCGAAAAAUACAAGUGGACUUCCGAUGGGAAAGGAAGAAACUGUACAGUUCACAACAAAGAAUAUGUCCUACUAUUAUCAAGGAAGAAUUUUGACGAGUAUGUCUGGGAUUGAUCUUUCUUGUAACAAACUGACAGGUGAGAUUCCUACUCAAAUUGGAUAUCUUACAAGGAUUCGUGCGCUAAAUCUAUCUCAUAACAAUUUGACGGGCACAAUCCCGACAACAUUUUCAAACCUGAAGCAAAUCGAAAGCUUGGACCUCUCCUACAACCUACUGCAUGGGAAAAUCCCUUCUCAGCUCACUGUGCUAAAUACAUUGGCGGUCUUCACAGUAGCAUACAAUAACUUAUCAGGAAAAAUUCCAGAUAGAGUUGCACAAUUUUCAACUUUUGAGGAAGAUAGCUAUGAGGGAAUCCUUUUCUUUGUGGAUGGCCACUGUCUAAAAGUUGCAAUGAUAGUGGAUUAUCAGCAGUGACACGAGAAGCUUACACUGAUAAUGAAGAAGGUGAUAGUUUAAUUGACAUGGACAGUUUCCUAAUCACUUUUACAGUAUCUUAUGGAAUUGUGAUAUUAGGAAUUAUUGGAGUUUUGUACAUAAACCCCUAUUGGCGACGAAGAUGGUUUUACCUUGUUGAAGUAUGUAUGAUCUCUUGCUACUAUUUUGUAGUAGAUAAUCUUAUUCCUAGAAGAUUCUAUGGUGGAUGGAUGUAAUUUCAUUUACUUUACAACUUAUAUGUAAUUUUUAAAGAAUUUUCUUUUGCAUGCAUGGAAUAGCAACUCAAUAAAAGUAUUUGAUGCAAAUUGUCCUAGAACAACUUAGUAAUUUCAUUGCUACUAUUUGGUUGUAUAUAUACAGUUAAUGAAAUUUUUAAUCAUUCGCAGUAGGAAUUUCUUUAGAUGGCGGCCAAAACUAACAGAUUUGGGGCUCUACUUCUACACAUCAUAACAGGCAAAAGGUCUCUCUUUUACACGAUCUGAAUGAAGAUUAACUUACGCCCUCUAGGCUCUGGAGUGUGUGUAAGUUCUCUAUUAAACUUGACGGUUGAGAUUUCAGGUCCAGAUGAAAGUGAAAUGCAGGCGACGAGACUACACUUUAAGUAAACUGGGACAAACUUAAAAUAAAAAAAAUUGUAGUCCAGGGUGAGAGUGAUGGGUAGCUCAACUUAUGGAGGAUAACUAGGACUUGGAAUAACUAUCAGAUUUGCAACUCUUGUUAUAUGCUAGUGGGGAUUUAGGUAGCAAUUUUUUUUUUUUUUCCUUUUUGCCCUCUUCCUCACAAUAAAAACACGUAACACACCAAGCCGUGCCCAAAAUAAUCCUAUUUUAUUCAUGUCAUGAAUCCAAAAACUAUCCCAGCUCACUUUGUUUAACCAGCAUAACUAAAUUGUGGGUAUAAAUGAACACACUUUCGAAGCCUGUAACUUAUAAUAAGCUCAAACCCAAAAAUGACAUUUAAAUCCUGCAAGUGUUUUUUCAUCAUCCCUAACAAAAGAAACAAGAAUAAUUAUAUACCAAUAAUUUUUCCAUAAAAAUACUGAUUUGAGUUGAAACACUAUACAAACUGGGUUUUAUACACUUCCAGAAAGCUACACGGUAGACAAAAUCUAGCAGCUACAUAUUGGUAUCACUUUCAGCUGGUCAUGAAUGGUGUGCAUUCAGCAGUGCUCGAUAGACCAUGUCUAUGAAUUGAUUGUCCUAUUACAUAUAAAAGCUGGUCAGAAUAUACAAGGAAAAAAAAUAAUAAUUGAAAAUGCAUCACAAAAAAUAAGUGUUUCGCAUUAGUGUUUGCACUCUAAGCAUGGCAAAGUGGUGCGGGGUUCAUGAUUUUGAAGACUGUGAUAAGUGAAAAAUAGUUCAAUCCACUGAUGAACAUAAAUUUAUUUACAUGUCAAUUUAGAUAUCAUCAAAAAGUAAACAGUAAUUCAGAGUCACUUAAAAUAGUUGAUAAAAUGCGUGCCAUGAAUGUAUUUUUGUACAUAAGAAAUCCAAAGAGUAUUUCUGACAAUACAAAUAUGCUAGCUUUAAGUCUGCUGUCAAUAUGCAAUUAAGAAGAUUAUACCAGCUGCAUGAUAAAGUUCCCUAAUCUUAAUAACAGUAAACAUGAACAUGUCAGAUGCAAUUAUAGCUUUGAGCAUUUGCAUAACCAGAAAUCCUAACCUGAACAAGCACCAGAAGUGUCUCUCGGACUUUCUCCUUGCUGAUAAAUGGUCCGCUGUCUGAAGUAAGAGCAGGAGUAAGAGAUGGUGGAGGGGUUGGUGGUGGAAAAGGUUGAAGCACUGGGGCACCAUAUGGGCGUUGCAGACUCGGGGGAGGAUUAAGUGGCGAGCUGUUGGUGUAGAUGAAGAGACAAGCUGCAUCAUCCGUGCAUAGGAGGAUGGAGGAGGAACAAAGAAUAAGGAAGGCUUUACAAGAUUAGGGGUAGGUGCUGAUAGAGGUGGAGAUGGUAUUUGCAAAGUUGGCACGAUAGGAGAAGCAACACUGCGGGAUGAGAAGGUAAAGAAAUAGUUGUAUUGGACUGGUAAGGUUGUGCAGAGAUUGCUGCAUUAGAAUUAUUCCCCACAGUCAAAGCUGUCUGCAAUGAUAAGGACAGAUGUCAUAUAAAAGGACUCAUAGAAGUUGAACCUCACACAAAAAUGAAGUGAUAACAUAUGAAAAUAGUAUAUGACUUGCUGCAUUUUUGUGGUAAUGUUGCAUACUUAUGUAGAAACAUAUUAUUUCAAAGAAAACAUACAUGAAGAAGUUCACAAAAGCAGGAUCUUCAGGAACAUCAACAGCAUUUGAGGAGUUGACUCUAGAGGACCAUCCAUAACUGCCAUAGUUGGAACAGCUUCCAGUUCCUCAAACUCACUGCAGUUUAACAUAAAAGGAACUUGAUGACCAAUUUAAGUAAUAAUUAGAUGAUAUAAGAGGUUAGGGAAAAUGAUGAGUGGACCCUUAUGGAAGAUGAUUUCACCUUAGCUAAACACGAAAAUAAAAUGAAAUCAAAGCUGAAUCCUCGAGUGCAAUGCAAAUAAUUUUUUCUCUCUCUUCUCUAACUCCUCUUAUUCGAAAUUGCUCAUCAUUGUGCAGUUCCUCGAGAUUUUGCUAGAGUAGAGAAAGCUAUUCUCCCCGUUAAGUGCAGAGGAAAAAGAAGGGCAAGGGCCUGGUAUGAUGCUAUUCUAUAGGAAGUGAGAAGGUGAAGGGCUAAAAUAUUUUGCAAUUUGGAGGUGGUGUUUGUUAGUGUGUGUACUUCUGAAUUUAUUACCUCUUUAGGAUCCAUAGAAAUUGCCUCUUGUUCAGCAUGCACUGUGCCUACGAGUAAGGCGAGCUUGCAUGGUAUCUAUUGUCUAUUUACUUGGAUAUUCAAACAGGACUACCAGCAACCAAACACAAAUCCCCAAACAAAACACUCUUUCAAGUGCAAGGAAAGAGUAACUUGGGCAUAUUUAUGGUUCAAGCACUACAAUAACUAAGAAUGUGAUGACUGUCCACAAACACUAUAUCAGUGCCUUUUGAACUACAUCACAUGCUUGAAGACUUUUUUUUUAGUCAUACAUAAAUUAGCUAUAAAAUCAAGACCCUUAUACAACUAAAAAGAAAGAAAAAUUGUUUGCUACUACAUAUCAAAACUGGUAAUAGCAAUGUAAGAUGGCAGACUUCUUACUUAAACAGAUGAGAGGCUACAAAUAAAAAAUUUGUGCAAAUAAAAUAUAUGAUAAAGAGCAUAAUACUUUCUUGGGGGCUAAAAAUAAUAUACAACUUGUGAAAUAUAAAUUGAGCUACCAUUACCUUUUAGAUGUGGCAACUUUCGACUUUUGAGGCACCUUGGAAUAUGCAUUCAGAAUCCUGCAUUUGGAAGCCAAAUAAAUAAUGUUAAUAACAAUUUUACAAUAGAAAAAUUAAAAAUUGAUAAAUGGCAGUUGUAAUUUAUGUAUGGUAAAGAUAGCAUCACAUCCAGGUUCCUCCCAUAAACAUGCUUGUAACAAGAAUUAGUUUGCCUCAACUGCUAGCAACUAUACAAUAGUAAAAAUCACUCUUAUGAACUCAACAAUACUAGGCACCAAUAAGAGUAUGACACAGCCAUUCUAAAUGGAAGAGAAUACAACUGUUUUACAACUAUGUUGCAUCAGGAGAUAUGUUAGGAGGAUUAAUCCAGAUACCUUCCAACCCAAAUUAGGAAAACUCGAGUCAGAAACCAGGAGCUGCAACCAAACCUUACAAUCUUGAAGGAAGAAGGAGACUUGGGGCAUUUUUCCAGAUAGGUGACUUACAAGAUCUCCUGCCAAGAAAAUAUCUAUUGCUUUGAACCUCCAUUGAAAUUUCUUUUCCUUUUUUCUUGUUUUGACUUGGAACUUUCCAGCAUCAUCUAUUUGAUCUUUUUUAAAGCUAAAAUAGCAAUCUAUGCGUUGUCAACAUCUUAUCCCCCGCCCCCCCGGGGGGCCACCAAAAAAAAAAAAAACCAAUGAGUUGUCAAUAAAUAGCGCCUACUCAACUUAUGUUCUCCAAUGAUGACAAUGUGCAAAUUGACCUAGCAGCCACAUUUUUCCCCCUUUCAACCACCAUUAGGCAACUUUUCUAACCUUUCUUCAUUGCCCACGUCUACAGAACUAUCAUAUAAAGACUACAUUAUUAUUGGGACAGAGAAAAAAAUACAGACUAUAUUAUUAUUAUAUCUCAUUUUAUUAAUUAACUAGUGCAAGACUUAUUUAGUGUCAAAUCAAGAACUAAUUAGAAAAGACAACUCAUGAUAAUACAGACUUUAAAAAGCAAUAGCUAGCAAACCCCAUAUACUCCUAUUUUAGCCUUCAAUAUCCUGGUAAAAAACACAAUUAAGUCUAGCAAAAGAACAUUCACAAGUAAAUUCAACAUUAAUUAAGAUUAAGUAUCUACUGCACCUUCAAUCAAUGACUCGGUGAAUAGCAUGGUCAACCAUCUAGUUCCUGUAGCCCCUUGUACCUAUGUUAGUUACAUUUUACAUAUUAAGCCACGAAAAUGAAGGAUCACAGCCUGGUAAAGAAAGCCAUUAAUUAAUAGUUUUUGUUUAAAAAGUUCUCGUUUAGAUCUUUCCUAUUCAAUGAAUCAAUGUAAUCCAAGGAGAACUCUUCCAUUUCAAGCAGUGUUAGAAGAUAAUUGGAAAGCCUAAAGAUAAUAUACAGGACCAAGAUAUCGAUUAGGUCAAAUAGUGAAUGUCAAAUAUAAAAAAUAAAUAAAAGAAGUUGUACAUGAUCAUUUACUAUCAAGUUCUGUAAAACUGAAAAUACCAUUAUCCCUGUAGAGAUUCUCAAACAACUCUUUAGCAAAUUAUAAAAUAGUUAAAAAAAGAACGAAAGUUUAAAAAAAAAAAAUGUACAACAGCCAUAUCAGGAGAUGUUUUUCUUCUCAAUCUCAAUAUUUUCUAGCCGUAAACAAUUGAAAAGCUUAACACCAAGUGAAUUAUUAAGAAUUCAUCAUUUAAAUUCCCAAAUCGUAAAUGUUGGUGCAACUACGAAAGUGCAAAUGCAAUCACUUUACUUACACAAGAAACAUCAAUAGUGAGAAGCCAACUUUGUAUCAAAUUUGAAGCAGAUAGAUAGAGGUCAAAAAAAUUAUAAAGACACUCAAUUAAAAGCCUUUCAAACAGCUUUUGCAUGCAACAAGAACAAAUCAAAGGCGAUGUGAAUGUAUUCAAAGACUAAUUUACAAUCAUCUACAGGACAUAAAUAUCUUGGAUAACUACUCUCUAUACCUUACUGUCCCACUGAAAAUCAUCAAAUCCUCCAAACAAAAAUGACAAAAUGGAUAAGAAUUGUGUGGUCAAACAUCAAUAACUUAGCAGCCACAGCAAAAACUUAUGUAGACACGCAAGCCACUCAAAAUAGUCAUAUUGUUUGCUUUCCAAACACAAGCCACUUUGUAAUGAAUAUUCAUAAAUUGCUACUACCAUGUUUGUUAAAACACGUGAAAACCGCCAUCACUAACUAAAUGUAACUGAUGAUCAUCAUCACGUUCAUGGAAUCACAUGUCUGACAGUAUUAAUUNGUUGAAAAGUAGUCUGUAAAAUUAACUCAAACCGCUACAUACGCUAUUGCAACCCAAUUGAGGGCCCAUUUUUGUUUAUUUCGUUGAAAAGUAGUUCGCGCAAUUAAUUCAAACCGCUACACACACUAUUGCAUCUUUUGAAAAAGAAAAAUGGAAUAAUUUUUCAAAAUUAAUUUAGAGAAUAAGAUUUACUAAUAAUGAUGUUAGAAAUCUUGAUAUUUGAAUCUUAAUAUUAUCUAUCACUCAUUUAUUAAAUAAUAGAUUUCAUAGUUUGUAAAAUUACUUAACCACUUGAUAAAUGUUAUAUUUGUUGGGACUAGAUUGGGACUUAAAUAUUGGAAUAUCUAGUAUUGCAUAAAAAAAAAACUUAACAAUUUAUCUUCACACGACUAAUUGUUUUUACAUCACAACUAACCUUAAUUAUUUUAAAAGUUAUGCAUUAUUAAAUUGCCCUAACUAGUUAUCAAAAGGUGAAAGCAUGUUUAAAAAAGAAAUUACUAAGAAACAUUUGUUUAAACGAAGGUUAAGGUUAUGAUCAAUUAAUUAAGAAGAAACUUACUAUCAAAGGUUAAGAUUAUGAACAAUUUAAGGAAGUUAUUGAGUAGAGAAAGGGACAGAAUGGUUGUCUGAUUUGCCGGUGACAAGAAUGCUUGUGUUGUGAAAAGAAAUCCGAUGGUUUGUAAAUUUGUUGAAUUGGUCCCAAUUAGUAUAGUAACCAUCUAUUGAGCGGUAAAAUAUUAAUUUAAAUAGUCAUGAAAUCUAAUAUAUAAUAGAUUACUAACACACAUAAAUUAAAACUUAACUGUCAGAAAUCAUAACAUUAUCUAGCUUCAGUGGAGUUCUCUUAACAGAUUAUGUGAGAUUGCCUAUAUUAAAAAAUAUGUUAAGACUGCUUGUUGAAAGCAAUAUUCGCUUUUGAUUAUAUCCAUAACUUUGAAUUGAUAAAGUUGUAUUCAACAACUCUUGAAAAGACUAAGCAGGUCUUCUUUGCAUUUGAUCACUGGUAUUUCAGUUAAGUUUGUCGUUUACUUAAAUUUUUCUUGCUUUCAAUUUCCACUGUUGUUUUUUUUUUUAAUAAAAUAAAUUGUUUAACUAGUCAUAGAAAUAAGAGAGAAAUGGGUCAUUUCUUGACUCAAAGUCAAUUAUAAUUAUCAAAACUUGAGGGGACAUCGCAUGCCUAAAUUCCACGCACCCUAAAACAGUUUGAUUUGCUUUCACGCGUUCAUGAAUUUCCAUGAAAGAGCCUGUCUUUCGUCUCUUUCGGGACAAUGACUACAAUUAUGGAAAAAAAUUAUAAUUCUCGUUAGAUUGUAACCAAAUUAUUAUCCCUAAUUUUUUAAAGUUAAAUAAAAUAAAAUUCAUGCUUAAGUAUUUAGUAAUUAGAGAGAGAUAGAGAGGAUUGAGGGACAAUGUUUCGCGAUUUGGGGUCAAUUCAAAGUCAACUAACGUGUAAAACACGUGUAUGCAUAGAAAACGCUUAGAUUAUUUGUGUUCCAAGUGCAAGAAAUUAAGAAAAGAAAAUUGAUUUCCUUUCAUGAACUUCCAAGAAAGAAAGAAGACCCUUCACCUUGUUCGUGACAACAAAUGAAUGAAUGAUGUUGAUAUGACAAAUACAAGCGCUAUUACAGGGAACAGCAUAAGACCGAGACUUGAUAAAAGGUUUGUUGAAUUACAUGUUAUUUUCUUUUGACUUGAAUGAUGUUGAAAAUAAAAUAAAAUAAAAUUGUAAUCAGGGUGAUGUGUGCAAUAUAGUGAAAUAAAUAAAUAGAGAAGAGAAAUUCGUUGAUCAAUAUUAAAGAACUCAUCCAAAGUGAUCGUCAAAGUCUAGAGGUUCGGUAUGAUUAGCAUUUAUUUUUAUUUUUUUUGGCUUAGCAUCAUAUAUAGUCACUGUCGUGUGAUCUAGGACAUGUUUAGAAAUCCUUUUAUUUUAACUUCCGUAUUCUUAUUAUUUAAUUAGUUAUAAAGUUUUUAAGUAUUUGAGUAUUGAUCACAUGUCUCCUAAUCUAAAAAUAUGUUUUUACGAGUACAAAUAACAAACUAUGAUUUUAACAUCCUUUUAUACUAAACCCUAAAAAUACAUGAAUUUAUCAAAAUAAGUAAAUUAAUUUAAAUUGGUAUGGCAUAAUAGAAGUUUUACCUGCCAAAACAAAUUAAAAAAAUAUUACACUUAAAUCAAAUAUUGACAAAAAUAGAUAACAAUCUAAUGAGAAUCUUAACUAGACAUUUUUAAUUCUAUCCAAUUUAACUGGAACGAGAAUUAAGUCCUUUCAAUACUUAGGACUCAUAACUCAUACACACUAGUUUGAGAGUGUGGGGUGUGACAAUGGGACCAUUGACAAGUAUAAAAGAGUGGUCGCAAUUAAUUCAAACCACUACACACGCUAUAUUGAGGGCCCACUUUUGUUUAUUUCGUUGAAAAGUAGUUUUCACAAUUAAUUCAAACCGCUACACACGCUAUUGCGUCUUUUAAAAAAGAAAAAUGGAAUAGUUUUCCAAAAUUAAUUCAGAGAAGAAGAUUUACUAAUAAUGAUGUUAGAAAUCUUAAUAUUAUGUAUCACUCAUUUAUUAAAUAAUAGAUUUCAUAGUUUGUAAAUUUACUUAACCACUUGAUAAAUGUUAUAUUUGUUGGGACUAAAUUGGGACUUAAUGUUGGAAUAUCUAGUAUUGCAUAAAAAAAUAAAUAAAAACUUAACAAUUUAUCUUCGCAUGACUAAUUGUUUUUACAUCACAACUAACCUUAGUUAUUUUUUAAAGUUAUAGUAUUAUUAAAUUGCCCUAACUGGUUAUCAAAAGAGGAAAGCAUGUUAAAAUAAGAAAUUACUAAGAAACAUGUGCUUAAACAGAGGUUAAGGCUACGAAUAAUUAAGAAGAAACAACUUACAAUCAAAGGUUAAGAUUAUGAACAAAUUAAGGAAGGUAUUGAGCAGAUAAAGGGACGGAAUCAUUGUCUGAAUUGCCGGUGACAAGAAUGCUUGUGUUGUGAAAAGAAAUCUGAUGGUUUGUAAAUUGUUGAAUUUUUUAUUCGCUCGCUCCAACUGACUUACUAAUGCCAAAUUUAUUACUUUGCACAGUAGUGUUUAGGAUCCUCAAGAUCAACUCUUAAUUUGGUCCCAAUUAGUGCAGAAAUCAUCUAUUGAGCAAUAGAAUAAGAAUUUUUCUAGUCAUGAAAUUUAAAUAUAUAAUAUAUCCUUGACACACAUCGAUUAGAACUUAAUUGUUAGAAUUCAUAACAUUACUCUACUCUCAAGGGGAGUUCUCUUAACAUAUUAUGUUAGGUUGCCUACAUUCAAAAUAUGUUAGACUGCUCUUUGAAAGCAAUAUUCCCUUUUCCGUAACUUUGAAUUGAUCCAAUAGCUCUUGAAAAGCACAUAAUAAUCAUUAUAAAUUUAAUCAAAGACUAAGCAGGUCUUCUUUGCAUUUGAUCACUGGCAUUUCAGUUAAGUAUGUCAUUUACUUAAAUUUUUCUUGCUUUCAAUUUUCACUGUUGUUUUUUUUUUUAAUAAAAUAAUUUGUUUAACUAGUCACAGAAAUAAGAGAGAAAAUGGGCCAUUUCUUGACUCAAAGUCAAUUAUAAUUAUCAAAACUUGAGCGGACAUUGCAUGCCUAAAUUCCACACACCCUAAAACGGUUUGAUUUGCUUUCACGCGUUCAUGAUUUUCCAUGAAAGAGAGUGCCUCUCGUCUCUUUCCGGACAGUGACGACAAUUAUGUUAACGUGACAAAUACAUAACGUUAUUACAUACAAGAAUAAGUUUUUGGAGCCGAGACUUGAGGGAGGUUCUAUCUAAUUCUAAAGAUUGUAACCAAAUCAUUAUCCCCAAUUUUUUUCAGUUAAAUAAAAUAAAAUUUAUGCUUAAGUAUAAAUAAAAUCCAUAGUGGAUAAAUAUUUGAUUAUCGAUUUUUUUUAAUGUAAAAUUGCUGGUUUGUUGCUUAAAAUUUUCAAUAAUAAUUUCACUUAUUUAGUAAUUAGAGAGAGAGAGAGGAUUGAGGGCCAAUGUUUCGCGAUUUGGGGUCAAUUCAAAGUCAACUAAGGUGUAAAACAUGAUUUCCUUUCAUGAACUUCGAAGAAAGAAAGAAGACUCUUCACCUUCUUCAUGACAACGAAUGAUGUUGAUAUGACAAAUACAAUCGCUAUUACAGGGAACAGCAUAAGACCGAAAUUUGAUAAAGGGUUUGUUAAAUUACAUGUUAUUUUCUUGUUAACUGAAUUGGAAGAAAAAAUAAAAAUAAAAUAAAAUUGUAAUCAGUGUGAUGUGUGGAAUAUAUUGAAAUAAAUAAAUAGAGAAGAGAAAUUCGUUGAUCAAUAUUCAAGAACUCAUCCAAAGUGACUGUUAAAGUCUAGAGGUUCCGUAUGAUUAGCAUUUAUUUUUAAUUUUUUGGCUUAACAUCAUAUGUAGUCACUGGUCGUGUGAUCUAGGACAGGUUUAGAAAUCUUUUUUUUUUUUUAACUUCCGUAUUCUUAUUAUUUAAUUAGUUAUAGGGUUUUUUAGUAUUUGAGUAGUGAUCACAGGUCUCCUAAUCUAAAAUUAUGUUUUACGAGUACAAAUAAAAACUAGGAUUUUAACAGCCUUUUAUACUGAACCCUAAAAAUACAUGAAUUUAUCAAAAUAAAUAAAUUUGAAUUGGUAUGCCAUAAUAAAAAUUUUACUUGCCAAAACAAAUUAAAAAAAAAUAUGACGCUUAAAUCAAAUAUCGACAAAAAUAGAUAAAAAUCCAACAAGAAUCUCAAAAAUAAGAAAGAUAUCUUCAAAAUAGAAGCGUCCAAGAGAAAUUUGGCGAAGAUUUGCUAAUCCACAUUGAAAAUGUCACUUUUCCUUGAGAACUUCAUAAUGAUAUAUUAUGAGCCUAAGACAAAUACCAAUUACUCAAGUUAUGGCCCUAUGAAGACAUCCUAUUCAUUCUCCCUAGACCAGGACGUGUCGCACAUGUUUGCAUUCAAAUUUAGGUGAAAAUCUACUCUCAUUCAAGGGAUAUAUAGGUACCUGUGAAGUCUCAAACCCGAGAUAAUGUGAAAGCAAAUCGGGAGUUUGAUUAAAUUCAGCCAAUUAUUAGUGUGUACGGAUGGUAGGGAUGGAAAAAAACUCCGACCGUUCUUAGGUAUGGUAUUACCCAGAUCUGGCCUAAGCAUGUUUUUUUGAACACUCAGAAUUUUUUAAUCAAAACUUAAAAAACCUAGAAUUUAUAUUUUAUAAUAUUAUAUAUAUUUAUUUUAUUUUAUAAUUUUAUAUUUUCAAAUUUUAUUUUAAUGAAUUGGAAUUAAAAAUAUGAGUUUUAAAUGUUUAAAAUUUUAAAAAUAGAUAAUAAGUGGACCAAAUGAACAAAAUAAUAGAUAUUUAUAAUAUUCUUCAUAAAAAUCCAAGUUUUGAGCUAGCCCAUAAGCUUGUCUAGUGAAGUCUGGGUACCCGCGUUGCCCAAGGUUCCGUCAGAAUCCAGGCUGUGCAGAUAUUUAUGGACGGAGAGGAAAUAUUUUCAGUUGACUGAAUUAAAUAAAAAUAUAUUACAAUCAUAUUAUAUAUUAACAGUAAAAAUAAAAAGAAAUGAAGAAAAACGCAUGCAAGACUUAGACAAAGUCAAUUAAAAGCUGGAGUAUCAUCAGUUCAAUUGGUUUUAAAUAGCGUAGAGCCAUCCUCUCGUUGUUGCAGAAGAGAGACAGAAAGAGUGUGUGUAGGCGAUUAUAAUUAAGCAGAUAUAAUGUGUGGUUCAAAAAGAGUGUGGGUGAGUGAGUUAAUUUUCAUAUUAUUAGUAGUAAAAGGGUGGUGGAGUGAGGGAUGUUUGGGCAAGAGGUCUGCUCUCCUCCAACUCAGACAUUUCUUCAAUGAUGAUCACCGUCUUCAAAACUGGGUAGACGAUGAGUAUUAUUCAGAUUGUUGUCAGUGGGAACGGGUUGAGUGCAACGACACCACUGGCAGAGUGAUUGAAUUAGAUCUAGCAGUAACUCGGAAUUGGGAAUCAGCAGAGUGGUAUAUGAAUGCCUCUCUGUUUACUCCUUUUGAACAAUUAGAGUCUCUUGAUCUAAUAGGGAACAAUAUAGCCGGUUGUGUUGAAAAUGAGGUCCGUAAUUUACUCUAUUUUAAUUCUUCCUCAUAAUUUUUUCCAUUUAUCUGAUCCCUUUUGGUUUUUAUUUAAUUGUAUGUGAUACAAUAAAAUUACUUUUUAUUUUUUGGCAGGUCUAGAUAGGUUAUCAAGUUGAACAACUUGAAGUUUCUUUAUUUAGACCUUAACCACUUCAACAACAGCAUCUUUUCAUCUCUAGGUGGUCUUUCAUCACUCAGAAACUUAUCAUUGGCUGCUAAUCGAUUGAAUGGAAGUGUUGAUAUUAAAGGUAAGUAAGCUUCAUCCCUUCUCCCCUGUCCCAUCUUUUGUGGAUCUUAUUUCACUGAGCAGCUGGAAGUAUUGAUACGAGAUCUAGCUAGACUCUUGCGAGUUUAGGCUUCACGGCUUUGAAUAGUAUAAAAAUAAGUUGAAGAAAUUAUCAAUAUAUUGCAAUUUUCAAUGCUUCUCAUAAUCAGACACAAUUCAAUCUAAUUAUUUCGUAUGUCCUGUCUUCAAAAGUAAAGAAUUGUACACUAAUUGGAAAUCGACAUCGUAGCUUUUUAUUUUCUGUAAUGCUAUUUCUUCGUUAACAAGUUUAUAUCCUAAGAGGGAUUGGAUUGAAAAAAAAAAAAGAAGUUUUGAUGUUCAAUGUAAGCCAUGAUAACCUGCAUCUUAUUUGUCUGCCGACAUCCAAAUUUGUGCACUGAAUUUAGUAUUUUGGUUAUUGUGAAGGGAUCAGAUAUUGGCUUCCAUAGACCAACUUGUAUUUACUUAAUUAAUUAAUUAACGACAUUUAGUAUUUAACAAAUUAAAAUUUCAUGUUUAAUCUAUUUUAAUUUUUUAAGAAAAAAGAAAUAGAUAUAGCAGCAGGUAAAGCUGAAAUAAAUUUUAAUUCCUUACAAAUUUAAAUUCAUGGUUGUCAGCUAAAUAUAACUGCUUAAAGCCACUCUUUUCGCUGAGAUUUAACCAAAAAAAAAGGAGAAAAUAAUUUAUUUAAUUAACUCUGUUUUAAGUGUUGGAAUAAAUACAGGACUAGAAUCCUUGAGUAACUUGGAGAUGCUGGACAUGAGGGACAAUGCAAUCGACAAUCUAGUGGUUCCUAAAGGUAUACAAAAUGACACUAACCCAAAAUAAUUUAAUCCGAAAUUGUAUCCCAAAUAGAUUACAGAGGUUUGAGGAAGUUGGAUACCCUUUAUUUGGGGGGGAAGGGAAAUUGCAGUGAUAUAUGGAAGCAAGGUGUUGCAAUCAAUAAAGAAAUUCGUUGGUCAAUAUUCAAGGACUCAUCCAAAGUAAUCGUUAAACAUUUCUUCAAUGAUGAUCAACGUCUCAAAACUAGGUAGACGCGGGAGAUGAUGAGAAUAAUUUAGAUUGUUGUCAGUGGGAAGGGAUUGAGUGCAACAAAACCACAGGCAGAGUGAUUAAAUUAGAAUCUAGCACAAACUCGAAAAUGGGAAUCAGCGAAGUGGUAUAUGAAUGCCUCUCUGUUUACUCCCUUUCAACAAUUAGAGUCUCUUGAUCUAAUUGGGAACAAUAUAGCUGAUUGUGUUAAAAACGAAGGUCAUUAAUUUACUCUAUUUUAAUUCUUCCUCCUCGUAAUUUCUUACAUCUAUCUGAUCCCUUUCGGCUUUUGUUUAAUUUGUACGUGAUACAAUAAAAUUAUUUUUUUUUCAGGUCUGGAGAGGUUAUCAAGGUUGAACAACUUGAAGUUUCUUGAUUUAGGCUUUAACCACUUCAACAACAGCAUCUUUUCAUCUCUAGGUGGUCUUUCAUCACUUAGACACUUAUCAUUGGCUGAUAAUAGAUUGAAUGGAAGUAUUGAUGUUAAAGAUAAGCAAGCUUCAUCCCUUCUCUCGUGUCCCAUCUUUGUGGAUCUUAUUUCAUCGACCAGCUGGAAGUAUUGAUACGAGAUCUAGCUAGACUCUUGCUAGUUUAAGCUUCAAGGCUUUGAAUAUUAUAAAAAUAAGUUUAAGGAAUUAUCAAUAUAUGCAAUUUUCUAUGCUUCUCAUAAUCAGACACAAUUCAAUCUAAUUAUUUCGUAUGUCAUGUCUUCAAAAGUAAAGAAUUGUACACUAAACGGAAAUCGACAUUGUAGCUUUUAAUUUUUCUAAUGCUCUUUCUUUGUUAACGAGUUUAUAUCCUGAGAGUGGAUUGGAUUAAAAAAAAAAAAAAAAAAAGUUUUGAUGUUCAAGGUAAGCCAUAAUAACAUGCAUCUUAUUUAUCUGCCUAUAUCUAAAUUUGUGCACUGAAUUUAGUAUUUUGGUUAGUGUGAAGGGAUCAGAUAUUGGCUUCCAUAAACCAACUUGUAUUUACUUAAUUAAUUAAUUAACACCAUUUAGUAUUUAACAAAUUAAAAUUUCGUGUUUAAUUUGUCUUAUUUUUUAUUUUUUGAAGCAAGAAUAAGGUAUAGCAGUAGGUAAAGUUGAAAUACAUAUUUAUUCCUUACAAAUUUAAAUUCGUUUUCAGCCAAAUAUACCUACUUAAAACCACUCAAUCAGGCCAUUGGCAACAGUUUUUAGGUUUUUCUAGUUAACCGUGUACUUUUUUGCUUAUUAAUAAAAUUCUUUUGUGCUGAGAUUUAAAAUAAAGAAGGAGAAAAUAAGUUAUUUAAUUAACCCUGUUUUUAAGUGUUGGCAUAAAUACAGGACUGGAUUCCUUGAGUAACUUGGAGGAGCUGGACAUGACAGGCAAUGCAAUCGAUAAUCUUGUGGUUCCUAAAGGUAUACAAAAUGUUCAAAUAUUAAUAAUUUGGAGGACAGUUUAAUUGAUUUGAUUAGGAAUGCCCAAUGACACUUACCCAAAAUAAUUUAAUCUGAAAUUGUAUCCAAAACAGAUUUCAGAGGUUUGAGGAAGUUGAAUACCCUUCGUAUAGGGGGAACCAGAAUUCAAAUGAUAGAUGGAAGCAAGGUGUUGCAAUCAAUAGGAUCACUACCGUCCCUCAAAACACUUGACCUUUGGUAUACUAAUUUUACGGGAACAGUAGUUAAUCAAGGUAAGUAAAUCUUUUAUGUCGAAAAUAAUUGAAUUAAUAUAUAUAGCUAAAAUUUAUUGUUUCUACUUCUUUCUAAAUAGAAUUGCACAAUUUCACCAACUUGGAAGAAUUGAUAUUGCUCGAGUCUGAUCUCCAUGUAAGCCAGCUUCUACAAAGCAUCGCAUCAUUCACUUCGUUAAAGUAUUUGUCAAUGGGAGGUUGUACUUAAUGAAGCAAUUAUGGGUAUCCAAAAGAUUUUUUCUUAAUUCGAUAAUAAAUUAUGGGUAUCUGAAGCUUUUAUGAUAUUAAUUCGAUAAUAAUUCUUUCUUUUCAAGUUAAUUUUUUCCCCUAAAAUAAGAUUUUUUUUCUUUUAAAUUUCAUAUAUUUUCAUUGUCCAAUAGUUCUAGCUUCUCUUAAUUGCAGGAUUCUUGAUUAAGGUUAAUGAAAUUUUAGUUCUGUUAUGUUAAGAAUAUUUCGAUCGCUUAGAAGAGUAAAGAAAAAUAAGUAAAUUAACCAAAAAAAAAAGAGAAAAGGACCGGAUUAUCCUUAUUCCCUUGCAUUAUGUGAUCAAUAUCAAAAUUAUAACCAUUUCUUGUUUAUUGCUUGUAGAUUUUCUUAAAUUCAAGAAUUUGGAACAUCUGGACAUGGGUGGGGGCGCAAGUUGACGUCAACACCAGUUUUCUUCAAAUUGUCGGCGAAUCGAUGCCUUCUCUUAAGUUUUUAUCACUGACAGGUUCAAGUCUUAAUAAAAACGCCAUUCUUGAUCAAGGUUAGUUAAUGAUUCUCUUUCUCCCUCUCUCGCAUCUUAACUAAAUUUAAUUGAGAAUAUCUAUAAUGCUAGCUAUUUAUAAACUUAAUGAAAGAUGAUAAGGAGCUACUAUAAUGACAAAAACAACUGUAAAAUAGUGCGCUGUUGUAGUGUUAAUUGAAAAAUAAUGCUAAUUUUAUAGUCAUUUUGUUGCCAUUACGUCAGAUUCCAUUGUUCAAUUAUUUAAGUUUUAUGCAAAUAUAUUUUUCAGGACUUUGUCGGUUAGUGCAUCUACAAGAGUUAUACAUCGGCGGUAAUGAUUUGAGAGGUAGCUUGCCAUGGUGCUUGGCAAACAUGACAUCCCUCCAAGUGUUAGAUGCCUCUUUUAAUCAACUUACUGGAAACAUCUCCCCAGGCCUUUGUGAGUUGGUGCUUCUGAGAGAGUUAUACAUUGAUUACAAUUAUUUAAGAGGUAGCUUGCCUUUGUGCUUGGCAAAUUUGACUUCCCUUCGAGUAUUAGAUGUCUCUUACAAUCAACUUACUGAAAACAUCUCAUCUUCCCUCAUGCAUCUAAUAUCUAUGGAAAAGCUCAUACUUUCAAAUAAUCACUUCUUCCAAAUCCCUAUUUCACUUGAACCACUUUUCAAUCUCACAAAACUCAAGACUUUCGAUGGUGAAAUAUACGCAGAAACUGAGUCACAUUAUAAUUCUUUGACCCCAAAAUUCCAAUUGACUUCUAUCUCAUUGUCUGGCUACGGAGAUGGUGGCACAUUUCCCAAAUUCUUGUACCAUCAGCAUGACUUGAAGAAUGCUGAUCUCUCACACCUUAACUUGAGUGGAAAUUUUCCAAAUUGGUUGGUAGAAAACAAUACGAACUUAGAGACGCUUCUUCUUGCCAAUAACUCUCUUUUUGGAUCAUUUCGGAUGCCAAUUCAUUCCCACCAGAAAUUAGCAACAUUGGAUGUCUCCAACAAUUUCUUUCAAGGCCAUAUCCCAGUAGAAAUCGGAACAUAUCUGCCAGGCUUAAUGCAUUUAAACUUAUCUAGAAAUGCUUUCAACGGUAGCAUUCCCUCUUCAUUUGCUGAUACGAAAAUGUUGAAAAGCUUGGACAUAUCCUACAAUCAGUUGACUGGUGAAAUCCCUGAGCGCAUGGCCAUGGGUUGCUUCUCAUUGGAAAUUCUUGCAUUGUCAAACAACAGUUUGCAAGGUCAUAUAUUCUCUAAAAAAUUUAACUUGACAAAUUUGAUGAUGUUGCAGUUGGAUGGUAAUAAAUUCAUUGGAGAGAUCCCAGAAAGCUUAUCUAAGUGCUAUUUGUUGGGAGGAUUGUAUCUGAGUGAUAAUCAUCUCUCUGGUGAGAUUCCAAGAUGGUUGGGUAAUUUGUCAGGUUUAGAAGAUAUUAUAAUGCCCAAUAACAAUCUUGAAGGACCAAUUCCAAUCGAGUUUUGUCAGCUUGAUUAUCUGAAGAUUUUAGACCUUUCAAACAAUAGUAUUUUUGGAACUUUACCAUCUUGUUUUAGUCCAGCAUCUAUCGAACAAGUUCAUUUGUCGAAAAACAAGAUAGAAGGACGGCUGGAGAGUAUAAUCCAUGACAGCCCUCAUUUGGUGACAUUCGAUCUUAGUUAUAACAGCUUACACGGAAGUAUUCCAAAUCGGAUUGACAGACUACCUCAGUUAAACUACCUUCUUUUAGCUCAUAAUUAUAUUAAAGGCGAAAUACCAGUUCAAUUAUGCCAGUUGAAGGAAGUGCGGUUGAUUGAUCUUUCUCAUAAUAAUCUAUCUGGUCAUAUUCCUCCUUGCUUGGUUAACACUUCACUCAGUGAAGGUCAUCAUGAGGCAGUAGCUCCAACUUCUAGUUCGUGUGGUCGAGCGUCUGGCUAUGCAAGUCCAUGUGCGAAAAAUACAAGUGGACUUCCGAUGGGAAAGGAAGAAACUGUACAGUUCACAACAAAGAAUAUGUCCUACUAUUAUCAAGGAAGAAUUUUGACGAGUAUGUCUGGGAUUGAUCUUUCUUGUAACAAACUGACAGGUGAGAUUCCUACUCAAAUUGGAUAUCUUACAAGGAUUCGUGCGCUAAAUCUAUCUCAUAACAAUUUGACGGGCACAAUCCCGACAACAUUUUCAAACCUGAAGCAAAUCGAAAGCUUGGACCUCUCCUACAACCUACUGCAUGGGAAAAUCCCUUCUCAGCUCACUGUGCUAAAUACAUUGGCGGUCUUCACAGUAGCAUACAAUAACUUAUCAGGAAAAAUUCCAGAUAGAGUUGCACAAUUUUCAACUUUUGAGGAAGAUAGCUAUGAGGGGAAUCCUUUUCUUUGUGGAUGGCCACUGUCUAAAAGUUGCAAUGAUAGUGGAUUAUCAGCAGUGACACGAGAAGCUUACACUGAUAAUGAAGAAGGUGAUAGUUUAAUUGACAUGGACAGUUUCCUAAUCACUUUUACAGUAUCUUAUGGAAUUGUGAUAUUAGGAAUUAUUGGAGUUUUGUACAUAAACCCCUAUUGGCGACGAAGAUGGUUUUACCUUGUUGAAGUAUGUAUGAUCUCUUGCUACUAUUUUGUAGUAGAUAAUCUUAUUCCUAGAAGAUUCUAUGGUGGAUGGAUGUAAUUUCAUUUACUUUACAACUUAUAUGUAAUUUUUUAAAGAAUUUUCUUUUGCAUGCAUGGAAUAGCAACUCAAUAAAAGUAUUUGAUGCAAAUUGUCCUAGAACAACUUAGUAAUUUCAUUGCUACUAUUUGGUUGUAUAUAUACAGUUAAUGAAAUUUUUAAUCAUUCGCAGUAGGAAAUUUCUUUAGAUGGCGGCCAAAACUAACAGAUUUGGGGCUCUACUUCUACACAUCAUAACAGGCAAAAGGUCUCUCUUUUACACGAUCUGAAUGAAGAUUAACUUACGCCCUCUAGGCUCUGGAGUGUGUGUAAGUUCUCUAUUAAACUUGACGGUUGAGAUUUCAGGUCCAGAUGAAAGUGAAAUGCAGGCGACGAGACUACACUUUAAGUAAACUGGGACAAACUUAAAAUAAAAAAAAUUGUAGUCCAGGGUGAGAGUGAUGGGUAGCUCAACUUAUGGAGGAUAACUAGGACUUGGAAUAACUAUCAGAUUUGCAACUCUUGUUAUAUGCUAGUGGGGAUUUAGGUAGAAAUUUUUUUUUUUUUCCUUUUUGCCCUCUUCCUCACAAUAAAAACACGUAACACACCAAGCCGUGCCCAAAAUAAUCCUAUUUUAUUCAUGUCAUGAAUCCAAAAACUAUCCCAGCUCACUUUGUUUAACCAGCAUAACUAAAUUGUGGGUAUAAAUGAACACACUUUCGAAGCCUGUAACUUAUAAUAAGCUCAAACCCAAAAAUGACAUUUAAAUCCUGCAAGUGUUUUUCAUCAUCCCUAACAAAAAGAAACAAGAAUAAUUAUAUACCAAUAAUUUUUCCAUAAAAAAUACUGAUUUGAGUUGAAACACUAUACAAACUGGGUUUUAUACACUUGCAGAAAGCUACACGGUAGACAAAAUCUAGCAGCUACAUAUUGGUAUCACUUUCAGCUGGUCAUGAAUGGUGUGCAUUCAGCAGUGCUCGAUAGACCAUGUCUAUGAAUUGAUUGUCCUAUUACAUAUAAAAGCUGGUCAGAUAUACAAGGAAAAAAAUAAUAAUUGAAAAUGCAUCACAAAAAAUAAGUGUUUCGCAUUAGUGUUUGCACUCUAAGCAUGGCAAAGUGGUGCGGGGUUCAUGAUUUUGAAGACUGUGAUAAGUGAAAAAUAGUUCAAUCCACUGAUGAACAUAAAUUUAUUUACAUGUCAAUUUAGAUAUCAUCAAAAAGUAACAGUAAUUCAGAGUCACUUAAAAUAGUUGAUAAAAUGCGUGCCAUGAAUGUAUUUUGUACAUAAGAAAUCCAAAGAGUAUUUCUGACAAUACAAAUAUGCUAGCUUUAAGUCUGCUGUCAAUAUGCAAUUAAGAAGAUUAUACCAGCUGCAUGAUAAAGUUCCCCUAAUCUUAAUAACAGUAAACAUGAACAUGUCAGAUGCAAUUAUAGCUUUGAGCAUUUGCAUAACCAGAAAUCCUAACCUGAACAAGCACCAGAAGUGUCUCUCGGACUUUCUCCUUGCUGAUAAAUGGUCCGCUGUCUGAAGUAAGAGCAGGAGUAAGAGAUGGUGGAGGGGUUGGUGGUGGAAAAGGUUGAAGCACUGGGGCACCAUAUGGGCGUUGCAGACUCGGGGGAGGAUUAAGUGGCGGAGCUGUUGGUGUAGAUGAAGAGACAAGCUGCAUCAUCCGUGCAUAGGAGGAUGGAGGAGGAACAAAGAAUAAGGAAGGCUUUACAAGAUUAGGGGUAGGUGCUGAUAGAGGUGGAGAUGGUAUUUGCAAAGUUGGCACGAUAGGAGAAGCAACACUGGCGGAUGAGAAGGUAAAGAAAUAGUUGUAUUGGACUGGUAAGGUUGUGCAGAGAUUGCUGCAUUAGAAUUAUUCCCCACAGUCAAAGCUGUCUGCAAUGAUAAGGACAGAUGUCAUAUAAAAGGACAUCAUAGAAGUUGAACCUCACACAAAAAUGAAGUGAUAACAUAUGAAAAUAGUAUAUGACUUGCUGCAUUUUUGUGGUAAUGUUGCAUACUUAUGUAGAAACAUAUUAUUUCAAAGAAAACAUACACUGAAGAAGUUCACAAAAGCAGGAUCUUCAGGAACAUCAACAGCAUUUGAGGGAGUUGACUCUAGAGGACCAUCCAUAACUGCCAUAGUUGGAACAGCUUCCAGUUCCUCAAACUCACUGCAGUUUAACAUAAAAGGAACUUGAUGACCAAUUUAAGUAAUAAUUAGAUGAUAUAAGAGGUUAGGGAAAAUGAUGAGUGGACCCUUAUGGAAGAUGAUUUCACCUUAGCUAAACACGAAAAUAAAAUGAAAUCAAAGCUGAAUCCUCGAGUGCAAUGCAAAUAAUUUUUUCUCUCUCUUCUCUAACUCCUCUUAUUCGAAAUUGCUCAUCAUUGUGCAGUUCCUCGAGAUUUUGCUAGAGUAGAGAAAGCUAUUCUCCCGUUAAGUGCAGAGGAAAAAGAAGGGCAAGGGCCUGGUAUGAUGCUAUUCUAUAGGAAGUGAGAAGGUGAAGGGCUAAAAUAUUUUGCAAUUUGGAGGUGGUGUUUGUUAGUGUGUGUACUUCUGAAUUUAUUACCUCUUUAGGAUCCAUAGAAAUUGCCUCUUGUUCAGCAUGCACUGUGCCUACGAGUAAGGCGAGCUUGCAUGGUAUCUAUUGUCUAUUUACUUGGAUAUUCAAACAGGACUACCAGCAACCAAACACAAAUCCCAAACAAAACACUCUUUCAAGUGCAAGGAAAGAGUAACUUGGGCAUAUUUAUGGUUCAAGCACUACAAUAACUAAGAAUGUGAUGACUGUCCACAAACACUAUAUCAGUGCCUUUUGAACUACAUCACAUGCUUGAAGACUUUUUUUUAGUCAUACAUAAAUUAGCUAUAAAAUCAAGACCCUUAUACAACUAAAAAGAAAGAAAAAUUGUUUGCUACUACAUAUCAAAACUGGUAAUAGCAAUGUAAGAUGGCAGACUUCUUACUUAAACAGAUGAGAGGCUACAAAUAAAAAAUUUGUGCAAAUAAAAUAUAUGAUAAAGAGCAUAAUACUUUCUUGGGGGCUAAAAAUAAUAUACAACUUGUGAAAUAUAAAUUGAGCUACCAUUACCUUUUAGAUGUGGCAACUUUCGACUUUUGAGGCACCUUGGAAUAUGCAUUCAGAAUCCUGCAUUUGGAAGCCAAAUAAAUAAUGUUAAUAACAAUUUUACAAUAGAAAAAUUAAAAUUGAUAAAUGGCAGUUGUAAUUUAUGUAUGGUAAAGAUAGCAUCACAUCCAGGUUCCUCCCAUAAACAUGCUUGUAACAAGAAUUAGUUUGCCUCAACUGCUAGCAACUAUACAAUAGUAAAAAUCACUCUAUGAACUCAACAAUACUAGGCACCAAUAAGAGUAUGACACAGCCAUUCUAAAUGGAAGAGAAUACAACUGUUUUACAACUAUGUUGCAUCAGGAGAUAUGUUAGGAGGAUUAAUCCAGAUACCUUCCAACCCAAAUUAGGAAAACUCGAGUCAGAAACCAGGAGCUGCAACCAAACCUUACAAUCUUGAAGGAAGAAGGAGACUUGGGCAUUUUUCCAGAUAGGUGACUUACAAGAUCUCCUGCCAAGAAAAUAUCUAUUGCUUUGAACCUCCAUUGAAAUUUCUUUUCCCUUUUUCUUGUUUUGACUUGGAACUUUCCAGCAUCAUCUAUUUGAUCUUUUUUAAAGCUAAAAUAGCAAUCUAUGCGUUGUCAACAUCUUAUCCCCCGCCCCCCCCGGGGGGCCACCAAAAAAAAAAAAAACCAAUGAGUUGUCAAUAAAUAGCGCCUACUCAACUUAUGUUCUCCAAUGAUGACAAUGUGCAAAUCGACCUAGCAGCCACAUUUUUCCCCCCUUUCAACCACCAUUAGGCAACUUUUCUAGCCUUUCUUCAUUGCCCACGUCUACAGAACUAUCAUAUAAAGACUACAUUAUUAUUGGGACAGAGAAAAAAAUACAGACUAUAUUAUUAUUAUAUCUCAUUUUAUUAAUUAACUAGUGCAAGACUUAUUUAGUGUCAAAUCAAGAACUAAUUAGAAAAGACAACUCAUGAUAAUACAGACUUUAAAAAGCAAUAGCUAGCAACACCCCAUAUACUCCUAUUUUAGCCUUCAAUAUCCUGGUAAAAACACAAUUAAGUCUAGCAAAAGGAACAUUCACAAGUAAAUUCAACAUUAAUUAAGAUUAAGUAUCUACUGCACCUUCAAUCAAUGACUCGGUGAAUAGCAUGGUCAACCAUCUAGUUCCUGUAGCCCUCCUUGUACCUAUGUUAGUUACAUUUUACAUAUUAAGCCACGAAAAUGAAGGAUCACAGCCUGGUAAAGAAAGCCAUUAAUUAAUAGUUUUUGUUUAAAAAGUUCUCGUUUAGAUCUUUCCUAUUCAAUGAAUCAAUGUAAUCCAAGGAGAACUCUUCCAUUUCAAGCAGUGUUAGAAGAUAAUUGGAAAGCCUAAAGAUAAUAUACAAGGACCAAGAUAUCGAUUAGGUCAAAUAGUGAAUGUCAAAUAUAAAAAAUAAAUAAAAGAAGUUGUACAUGAUCAUUUACUAUCAAGUUCUGUAAAACUGAAAAUACCAUUAUCCCUGUAGAGAUUCUCAAACAACUCUUUAGCAAAUUAUAAAAUAGUUAAAAAAAGAACGAAAGUUUAAAAAAAAAAAAUGUACAACAGCCAUAUCAGGAGAUGUUUUUCUUCUCAAUCUCAAUAUUUUCUAGCCGUAAAACAAUUGAAAAGCUUAACACCAAGUGAAUUAUUAAGAAUUCAUCAUUUAAAUUCCCAAAUCGUAAAAUGUUGGUGCAACUACGAAAGUGCAAAUGCAAUCACUUUACUUACACAAGAAACAUCAAUAGUGAGAAGCCAACUUUGUAUCAAAUUUGAAGCAGAUAGAUAGAGGUCAAAAAAAUUAUAAAGACACUCAAUUAAAAGCCUUUCAAACAGCUUUUGCAUGCAACAAGAACAAAUCAAAGGCGAUGUGAAUGUAUUCAAAGACUAAUUUACAAUCAUCUACAGGACAUAAAUAUCUUGGAUAACUACUCUCUAUACCUUACUGUCCCACUGAAAAUCAUCAAAUCCCUCCAAACAAAAAUGACAAAAUGGAUAAGAAUUGUGUGGUCAAACAUCAAUAACUUAGCAGCCACAGCAAAAACUUAUGUAGACACGCAAGCCACUCAAAAUAGUCAUAUUGUUGCUUUCCAAACACAAGCCACUUUGUAAUGAAUAUUCAUAAAUUGCUACUACCAUGUUUGUUAAAACACGUGAAAACCGCCAUCACUAACUAAAUGUAACUGAUGAUCAUCAUCACGUUCAUGGAAUCACAUGUCUGACAGUAUUAAUUAGUGCAAAUGGCAUGCCUUCUUAAAACUCCUAUUUAUCACACGGGCGCCAUUCCAAUCAACCAAUGAUUCUGAUCUAGUCGGCAUAUUCAACCCACGAGCGAGUAAUAGCUCCUAUUGCUUCUUUACAUUUCUCCAACGAAAUUCCACAUUCUAACCAUACUUCUGAACUUGUUGCUCCCAUAGACUUAAUACAAUAUAAAGAUUUCUUCCCACACCGCCUCAGCCCCCACUCCUAAAAAACCAAUUAAAUUCUCAAUUGACUGUACAACCUAUAGUCCAUACCAAAUUGAAAAAUUUACAAAUAUAGAAACCUCAAAGAAUCUUCUUGCAUUCCAUUUUUUACGUCAAGAAUUUGACUUUUACACAUGCAAGUCAACAAAUAAAAAAAUCAUGUCUUUGUGAGAUGCACAUUUUCAGACGAAUCUGAAGAGCAAUGAAACCGUAAAAACCGAAUAUGAGAACACCGAGGACUCCAGAUAUCACUAUAGAAUCUUCGGUCCACACUUGCAUGAUGAAAAUGAUGAAAAAAAAUUGAAGGCUUCGUCACCAACUCCCCAGGUUGUUUUGUUCUCCUAUCUCCUAAAUGUAAAGGAAAGGCAACCCGUUCUUUUUUCCAAUCUUAAGGGGCACAGAACGACUCUGGUAUAAAAUAGUCAGUUUCUAUACAAAAAUAACUCCUUUGCACUUGGCACUGCACAUCUCAAAAUAAAAAGCAUGCAAGGAGGAGAAUAUAAUAGCAUUAAACAAGUUUUAUUAACCAAACUUCAAAGAUGCCACACAAGGCAAAAAAGAAAUCUGUACAAGCCAGAUCCCAAGAAUAAUAAUUCCAAUAUACAAUUCAGGAAAACAAUAACUAAAACCAGGUUCAUGAGGCCUCAGCAGAAGCAACAUGUAAUAGCCAUACUCUAUUAUUUGAAACACAUUUCCAAGUUUGGUUAAGAUUCUAAACUAUUCUCUAUGUGUCAAUUAUUAACAUGUAAAACAUAAUAAUAUACACUUAUACUACUACAGUAGUAAAACCAGUAAAACAACAAUACCUGCUGAAAAGAUUUGCUACCUCUUCACAUUCACGAGCAUUGUAGAAUCAAAUCCCAUUUACUUCUUGGGAUGCAUUCCGAUAUAACAAAUACGGAACCUGAACUUCAAACUCAAAAUCUCCCAAAAGAUUUUCCACUAAAUUAUCUGCACAUAUCCAAGAUAUUGAAGCUUAUCAGUGCAAAAACAUAUGCAAAAAGACAUGAAGGUUAGAAGACAUAACUAAAACUUAGCAACAACUGAUAAGCACAACAAGACAUGAAAUAUAACACUAGUUGUAAAUACUCUAAAACUUACCAACCCCUCUCCUGAUUGUCAUAAAACGGCCAAUAUUUAACCCUAGACAACAAAAUUGCAAAUACUCUAGCCUCUAUAUUAUUGGCAUAUAAAUAUUUUCGGUUAGGUACGUUAUAUUCUUCGUUCUAAAACCUCAAUUAUUAGCUAGUACUGUGAUAAAAUGAUUCAUCACUGAAAUUAAAACUAGUUCACGUACAAAUAAUCAAAACUGAAAUAGAAGCAACGAUAAACCAACCUGUAUUACGUCGAUUCAUCACAACAAACUGAAAUCGAGGCUGUGUGUUCCUGAAAAUUGAAAAAAUAAUAAUUUCACCAACUUCAUAUGUAAUACAAUCUCCAAAACACCGAAUAUCAAAUGAAAAAAUGGAAAGCAUAAGAGAUAAAAGAAUCUAAUUUUAUUGACCUUUUGACGACGAAGAGAGAUCCUUCAACAUCCUUACGACUCCAUUGGCUGAGGUCGAUGUUGAACUCGUAGAAGGUGACAUGAGCGGCCGUGAUGAGGAUCUCCUCAAUGAAUGGAUCGAUUCGCUGAAGAACUGUCAGGUUUAGGAGUUUUGUGCUCUGCUGGUCCAGAUUAGGCAUCAAUUUUCCGUUCUGCGACAUUUUUCAUAGUCCUUUGGGCUCUGCCCCGAGCACAAGCCCCAUGGUUUUUCUGUGAGCUCUCUCUUUUGUAAAUAAAGUGUUUGAUGAGAUAGCCGAGAGAGAGUGAAAGAGUUGAACAGCCAAACAAGGUGAGGUGAACAGUUUCGGACUGAGACUCGAGAUUGGUCUUGCUUUAACUCUUUUAAACAUUUGGAAAUAGCAUUUAUUUCUUUCAAUUUCUCUACUGUUUUUUUCCUUUAUGUCAUUUAGACCCCAAAAUAGAUUUAUUANNNNNNNNNNNNNNNNNNNNNNNNNNNNNNNNNNNNNNNNNNNNNNNNNNNNNNNNNNNNNNNNNNNNNNNNNNNNNNNNNNNNNNNNNNNNNNNNNNNNNNNNNNNNNNNNNNNNNNNNNNNNNNNNNNNNNNNNNNNNNNNNNNNNNNNNNNNNNNNNNNNNNNNNNNNNNAUUUUAACAGCCUUUUAUACUAAACCCUAAAAAUACAUGAAUUUAUCAAAAUAAGUAAAUUAAUUUAAAUUGGUAUGGCAUAAUAGAAGUUUUACCUGCCGAAACAAAUUAAAAAAAUAUUACACUUAAAUCAAAUAUUGACAAAAAUAGAUAACAAUCUAAUGAGAAUCUUAACUAGACAUUUUUACUUCUAUCCAAUUUAACUGGAACGAGAAUUAAGUCCUUUCAAUAGUUAAGACUCAUAACUCAUACAUGCUAGUUUGAGAGUGUGGGGUGUGACAAUGGGUCAAAAGACCAUUGACAAGUACAAAAGAGUGAUUGCAAUUAAUUCAAACCGCUACACACGCUAUAUUGAGGGCCCAUUUUUGUUUAUUUCGUUGAAAAGUAGUUUUCACAAUUAAUUCAAACCGCUACACACGCUAUUGCGUCUUUUAAAAAAAGAAAAAUGGAGUAGUUUUCCAAAAUUUAAUUCAGAGAAGAAGAUUUACUAAUAAUGAUUAGAAAUCUUAAUAUUUGAAUCUUAAUAUUAUGUAUCACUCAUUUAUUAAAUAAUAGAUUUCAUAGUUUGUAAAUUUACUUAACCACUUGAUAAAUGUUAUAUUUGUUGGGACUAAAUUGGGACUUAAUGUUGGAAUAUCUAGUAUUGCAUAAAAAAAAAAUAAAAACUUAACAAUUUAUCUUCGCAUGACUAAUUGUUUUUACAUCACAACUAACCUUAGUUAUUUUUUAAAGUUAUAGUAUUAUUAAAUUGCCCUAACUGGUUAUCAAAAGAUGAAAGCAUGUUAAAAUAAGAAAUUACUAAGAAACAUGUGCUUAAACAGAGGUUAAGGCUACGAAAAUUAAGAAGAAACAACUUACAAUCAAAGGUUAAGAUUAUGAACAAAUUAAGGAAGGUAUUGAGCAGAUAAAGGGACGGAAUCAUUGUCUGAAUUGCCGGUGACAAGAAUGCUUGUGUUGUGAAAAGAAAUUUGAUGGUUUGUAAAUGGGUUGAAUUUUUUAUUCGCUCGCUCCAACUGACUUACUAAUGCCAAAAUUUAUUACUUUGCACAGUAGUGUUUAGGAUCCUCAAGAUCAACUCUUAAUUUGGUCCCAAUUAGUGCAGAAAUCAUCUAUUGAGCAAUAGAAUAAGAAUUUUUUCUAGUCAUGAAAUUCAAUAUAUAAUAUAUCCUUGACACACAUCGAUUAUAACUUAACUGUUAGAAUUCAUAACAUUACUCUCUCUCAAGGGGAGUUCUCUUAACAUAUUAUGUUAGGUUGCCUACAUUCAAAAUAUGUUAGACUGCUCUUUGAAAGCAAUAUUCCCUUUUCCGUAACUUUGAAUUGAUCCAAUAGCUCUUGAAAAGCACAUAAUAAUCAUUAUAAAUUUAAUCAAAGACUAAGCAGGUCUUCUUUGCAUUUGAUCACUGGCAUUUCAGUUAAGUAUGUCAUUUACUUAAAUUUUUCUUGCUUUCAAUUUUCACUGUUGUUUUUUUUUAAUAAAAUAAUUUGUUUAACUAGUCACAGAAAUAAGAGAGAAAAUGGGCCAUUUCUUGACUCAAAGUCAAUUAUAAUUAUCAAAACUUGAGCGGACAUUGCAUGCCUAAAUUCCACACACCCUAAAACGGUUUGAUUGCUUUCACGCGUUCAUGAUUUUCCAUGAAAGAGAGUGCCUCUCGUCUCUUUCCGGACAGUGACGACAAUUAUGUUAACGUGACAAAUACAUAACGUUAUUACAUACAAGAAUAAGUUUUUGGAGCCGAGACUUGAGGGAGGUUCUAUCUAAUUCUAAAGAUUGUAAACCAAAUCAUUAUCCCCAAUUUUUUCAGUUAAAUAAAAUAAAAUUUAUGCUUAAGUAUAAAUAAACAUCCAUAGUGGAUAAAUAUUUGAUUAUCGAUUUUUUUAAUGUAAAAUUGCUGGGUUUGUUGCUUUAAAAUUUUCAAUAAUAAUUUCACUUAUUUAGUAAUUAGAGAGAGAGAGAGGAUUGAGGGCCAAUGUUUCGCGAUUUGGGGGUCAAUUCAAAGUUCAACUAAGGUGUAAAACAUGAUUUCCCUUUCAUGAACUUCGAAGAAAGAAAGAAGACUCUUCACCUUCUUCAUGACAACGAAUGAUGUUGAUAUGACAAAUACAAUCGCUAUUACAGGGAACAGCAUAAGACCGAAAUUUGAUAAAGGGUUUGUUAAAUUAACAUGUUAUUUUUCUUGUUAACUAUGAAUUGGAAGAAAAAAUAAAAAUAAAAUAAAAUUGUAAUCAGUGUGAUGUGUGGAAUAUAUUGAAAUAAAUAAAAUAGAGAAGAGAAAUUCGUUGAUCAAUAUUCAAGAACUCAUCCAAAGUGACUGUUAAAGUCUAGAGGUUCCGUAUGAUUAGCAUUUAUUUUUUUAAUUUUUUGCUUAACAUCAUAUGUAGUCACUGGUCGUGUGAUCUAGGACAGGUUUAGAAAUCUUUUUUUUUUUAACUUCCGUAUUCUUAUUAUUUAAUUAGUUAUAGGUUUUUUAGUAUUUGAGUAGUGAUCACAGGUCUCCUAAUCUAAAAAUAAUGUUUUACGAGUACAAAUAAAAACUAGGAUUUUAACAGCCUUUAUACUGAACCCUAAAAAAUACAUGAAUUUAUCAAAAAUAAAUAAAUUUGAAUUGGUAUGCCAUAAUAAAAAUUUUACUUGCCAAAACAAAUUAAAAAAAAUAUGACGCUUAAAUCAAAUAUCGACAAAAAUAGAUAAAAAUCCAACAAGAAUCUAAAAAUAAGAAAGAUAUCUUCAAAAUAGAAGCGUCCAAGAGAAAUUUGGCGAAGAUUUGCUAAUCCACAUUGAAAAUGUCACUUUUCCUUGAGAACUUCAUAAUGAUAUAUUAUGAGCCUAAGACAAAUACCAAUUACUCAAGUAUGGCCCUAUGAAGACAUCCUAUUCAUUCUCCCUAGACCAGGACGUGUCGCACAUGUUUGCAUUCAAAUUUAGGUGAAAAUCUACUCUCAUCAAGGGAUAUAUAGGUACCUGUGAAGUCUCAAACCCGAGAUAAUGUGAAAGCAAAUCGGGAGUUUGAUUAAAAUUCAGCCAAUAUUAGUGUGUACGGAUGGUAGGGAUGGAAAAAAACUCGACCGUCUUAGGUAUGGUAUUACCCAGAUCUGGCCUAAGCAUGUUUUUUUUGAAACACUCAGAAUUUUUUAAUCAAAACUUAAAAAACCUAGAAUUUAUAUUUUAUAAUAUUAUAUAUAUUUAUUUUAUUUUAUAAUUUUAAUAUUUUCAAAUUUUAUUUUAAUGAAUUGGAAUUAAAAAUAUGAGUUUUAAAUGUUUAAAAUUUUAAAAAUAGAUAAUAAGUGGACCAAAUGAACAAAAUAAUAGAUAUUUUAUAAUAUUCUUCAUAAAAAUCAAGUUUUGAGCUAGCCCAUAAGCUUGUCUAGUGAAGUCUGGGUACCCGCGUUGCCCAAGGUUCCGUCAGAAUCCAGGCUGUGCAGAUAUUUAUGGACGAGAGGAAAUAUUUUCAAGUUGACUGAAUUAAAUAAAAAUAUAUUACAAUCAUAUUAUAUAUUAACAGUAAAAAUAAAAAGAAAUGAAAGAAAAACGCAUGCAAGACUUAGACAAAGUCAAUUAAAAGCUGGGAGUAUCAUCAGUUCAAUUGGUUUUAAAUAGCGUAGAGCCAUCCUCUCGUUGUGUUGCAGAAGAGAGACAGAAGAGUGUGUGUAGGCGAUUAUAAUUAAGCAGAUAUAAAUUGUGGGUUCAAAAAGAGUGUGGGUGAGUGAGUUAAUUUUCAUAUUAUUAGUAGUAAAAGGGUGGUGGAGUGAGGGAUGUUUGGAGCAAGAGAGGUCUGCUCUCCUCCAACUCAGACAUUUCUUCAAUGAUGAUCACCGUCUUCAAAACUGGGUAGACGAUGAGUAUUAUUCAGAUUGUUGUCAGUGGGAACGGGUUGAGUGCAACGACACCACUGGCAGAGUGAUUGAAUUAGAUCUAGCAGUAACUCGGAAUUGGGAAUCAGCAGAGUGGUAUAUGAAUGCUCUCUGUUUAUCCUUUUGAACAAUUAGAGUCUCUUGAUCUAAUAGGGAACAAUAUAGCCGGUUGUGUUGAAAAUGAAGGUCCGUAAUUUACUCUAUUUUAAUUCUUCCUCAUAAUUUUUUUCCAUUUAUCUGAUCCCUUUUGGUUUUUAUUUAAUUUGUAGUGAUACAAUAAAAUUACUUUUUAUUUUUUGGCAGGUCUAGAUAGGUUAUCAAGGUUGAACAACUUGAAGUUUCUUUAUUUAGACCUUAACCACUUCAACAACAGCAUCUUUUCAUCUCUAGGUGGUCUUUCAUCACUCAGAAAACUUAUCAUUGGCUGCUAAUCGAUUGAAUGGAAGUGUUGAUAUUAAAGGUAAGUAAGCUUCAUCCUUCUCCCCUGUCCCAUCUUUUGUGGAUCUUAUUUCACUGAGCAGCUGGAAGUAUUGAUACGAGAUCUAGCUAGACUCUUGCGAGUUUAGGCUUCACGGCUUUGAAUAGUAAUAAAAUAAGUUGAAUAAAUUAUCAAUAUAUGCAAUUUUCAAUGCUUCUCAAUAAUCAGACACAAUUCAAUCUAAUUAUUUCGUAUGUCCUGUCUUCAAAAGUAAAGAAUUGUACACUAAUUGGAAAUCGACAUCGUAGCUUUUUAUUUUCUAUAAUGCUAUUUCUUCGUUAACAAGUUUAUAUCCUAAGAGGGAUUGGAUUGAAAAAAAAAAAAGAAGUUUUGAUGUUCAAUGUCAGCCAUGAUAACCUGCAUCUUAUUUGUCUGCCGACAUCCAAAUUUGUGCACUGAAUUUAGUAUUUUGGUUAUUGUGAAGGGAUCAGAUAUUGGCUUCCAUAGACCAAACUUGUAUUUACUUAAUUAAUUAAUUAACGACAUUUAGUAUUAACAAUUAAAAUUUCAUGUUUAAUUCUAUUUAAUUUUUUUAAGAAAAAAGAAAAUAGAUAUAGCAGCAGGUAAAGCUGAAAUAAAUUUUAAUUCCUUACAAAUUUAAAUUCAUGGUUGUCAGCUAAAUAUACCUGCUUAAAGCCACUCUUUCGCUGAGAUUUAACCAAAAAAAAAAGAGAAAAUAAUUUAUUUAAUUAAACUCUGUUUUAAGUGUUGGAAUAAAUACAGGACUGGAAUCCUUGAGUAACUUGGAGAUGCUGGACAUGAGGGACAAUGCAAUCGACAAUCUAGUGGUUCCUAAAGGUAUACAAAAUGACACUAACCCAAAAUAAUUUAAUCCGAAAUUGUAUCCCAAAUAGAUUACAGAGGUUUGAGGAAGUUGGAUACCCUUUAUUUGGGGGGGAAGGGAAAUUGCAGUGAUAUAUGGAAGCAAGGUGUUGCAAUCAAUAAAGAAAUUCGUUGGUCAAUAUUCAAGGACUCAUCCAAAGUAAUCGUUAAAGUCUAGAGGUCUGCUCUCCACCAACUCAAACAUUUCUUCAAUAUGAUCAACGUCUUCAAAACUAGGUAGACGCGGGAGAUGAUGAGAAAUAAUUUAGAUUGUUGUCAGUGGGAAGGGAUUGAGUGCAACAAAACCACAGGCAGAGUGAUUAAAUUAGAUCUAGCACAAACUCGAAAAUGGGAAUCAGCGAAGUGGUAUAUGAAUGCCUCUCUGUUUACUCCCUUUCAACAAUUAGAGUCUCUUGAUCUAAUUGGGAACAAUAUAGCUGAUUGUGUUAAAAACGACGGUCAUUAAUUUACUCUAUUUUAAUUCUUCCUCCUCGUAAUUUCUUACAUCUAUCUGAUCCCUUUCGGCUUUUGUUUAAUUUGUACGUGAUACAAUAAAAUUAUUUUUUUUCAGGUCUGGAGAGGUUAUCAAGGUUGAACAACUUGAAGUUUCUUGAUUUAGGCUUUAACCACUUCAACAACAGCAUCUUUUCAUCUCUAGGUGGUCUUUCAUCACUCAGACACUUAUCAUUGGCUGAUAAUAGAUUGAAUGGAAGUAUUGAUGUUAAAGAUAAGCAAGCUUCAUCCUUCUCUCGUGUCCCAUCUUUGUGGAUCUUAUUUCAUCGACCAGCUGGAAGUAUUGAUACGAGAUCUAGCUAGACUCUUGCUAGUUUAAGCUUCAAGGCUUUGAAUAUUAUAAAAAUAAGUUUAAGGAAUUAUCAAUAUAUGCAAUUUUCUAUGCUUCUCAUAAUCAGACACAAUUCAAUCUAAUUAUUUCGUAUGUCAUGUCUUCAAAAGUAAAGAAUUGUACACUAAACGGAAAUCGACAUUGUAGCUUUUUAAUUUUUCUAAUGCUCUUUCUUUGUUAACGAGUUUAUAUCCUGAGAGUGGAUUGGAUUAAAAAAAAAAAAAAAAGUUUUGAUGUUCAAGGUAAGCCAUAAUAACAUGCAUCUUAUUUAUCUGCCUAUAUCUAAAUUUGUGCACUGAAUUUAGUAUUUUGGUUAGUGUAAAGGGAUCAGAUAUUGGCUUCCAUAAACCAACUUGUAUUUACUUAAUUAAUUAAUUAACAACCAUUUAGUAUUUAACAAAUUAAAAUUUCGUGUUUAAUUUGUCUUAUUUUUUAUUUUUUGAAGCAAGAAUAAGGUAUAGCAGUAGGUAAAGUUGAAAUACAUAUUUAUUCCUUACAAAUUUAAAUUCGUUUUCAGCCAAAUAUACCUACUUAAAACCACUCAAUCAGGCCAUUGGCAACAGUUUUUUUAGGUUUUUCUAGUUAACCGUGUACUUUUUUGCUUAUUAAUAAAAUUCUUUUGUGCUGAGAUUUAAAAUAAAGAAGGAGAAAAUAAGUUAUUUAAUUAACCCUGUUUUUAAGUGUUGGCAUAAAUACAGGACUGGAUUCCUUGAGUAACUUGGAGGAGCUGGACAUGACAGGCAAUGCAAUCGAUAAUCUUGUGGUUCCUAAAGGUAUACAAAAUGUUCAAAUAUUAAUAAUUUGGAGGACAGUUUAAUUGAUUUGAUUAGGGAAUGCCCAAUGACACUUACCCAAAAUAAUUUAAUCUGAAAUUGUAUCCAAAAACAGAUUUCAGAGGUUUGAGGAAGUUGAAUACCCUUCGUAUAGGGGGAACCAGAAUUCAAAUGAUAGAUGGAAGCAAGGUGUUGCAAUCAAUAGGAUCACUACCGUCCCUCAAAACACUUGACCUUUGGUAUACUAAUUUUACGGGAACAGUAGUUAAUCAAGGUAAGUAAAUCUUUUAUGUCGAAAAUAAUUGAAUUAAUAUAUAUAGCUAAAAUUUAUUGUUUCUACUUCUUUCUAAAUAGAAUUGCACAAUUUCACCAACUUGGAAGAAUUGAUAUUGCUCGAGUCUGAUCUCCAUGUAAGCCAGCUUCUACAAAGCAUCGCAUCAUUCACUUCGUUAAAGUAUUUGUCAAUGGGAGGUUGUACUUAAUGAAGCAAUUAUGGGUAUCCAAAAGAUUUUUUCUUAAUUCGAUAAUAAAUUAUGGGUAUCUGAAGCUUUUAUGAUAUUAAUUCGAUAAUAAUUCUUUCUUUUCAAGUUAAUUUUUUCCCCUAAAAUAAGAUUUUUUUUCUUUUAAAUUUCAUAUAUUUUCAUUGUCCAAUAGUUCUAGCUUCUCUUAAUUGCAGGAUUCUUGAUUAAGGUUAAUGAAAUUUUAGUUCUGUUAUGUUAAGAAUAUUUCGAUCGCUUAGAAGAGUAAAGAAAAAUAAGUAAAUUAACCAAAAAAAAAAGAGAAAAGGACCGGAUUAUCCUUAUUCCCUUGCAUUAUGUGAUCAAUAUCAAAAUUAUAACCAUUUCUUGUUUUAUUGCUUGUAGAUUUUCUUAAAUUCAAGAAUUUGGAACAUCUGGACAUGGGUGGGGCGCAAGUUGACGUCAACACCAGUUUUCUUCAAAUUGUCGGCGAAUCGAUGCCUUCUCUUAAGUUUUUAUCACUGACAGGUUCAAGUCUUAAUAAAAACGCCAUUCUUGAUCAAGGUUAGUUAAUGAUUCUCUUUCUCCCUCUCUCGCAUCUUAACUAAAUUUAAUUGAGAAUAUCUAUAAUGCUAGCUAUUUAUAAACUUAAUGAAAGAUGAUAAGGAGCUACUAUAAUGACAAAAACAACUGUAAAAUAGUGCGCUGUUGUAGUGUUAAUUGAAAAAUAAUGCUAAUUUUAUAGUCAUUUUGUUGCCAUUACGUCAGAUUCCAUUGUUCAAUUAUUUAAGUUUUAUGCAAAUAUAUUUUUCAGGACUUUGUCGGUUAGUGCAUCUACAAGAGUUAUACAUCGGCGGUAAUGAUUUGAGAGGUAGCUUGCCAUGGUGCUUGGCAAACAUGACAUCCCUCCAAGUGUUAGAUGCCUCUUUUAAUCAACUUACUGGAAACAUCUCCCCAGGCCUUUGUGAGUUGGUGCUUCUGAGAGAGUUAUACAUUGAUUACAAUUAUUUAAGAGGUAGCUUGCCUUUGUGCUUGGCAAAUUUGACUUCCCUUCGAGUAUUAGAUGUCUCUUACAAUCAACUUACUGAAAACAUCUCAUCUUCCCUCAUGCAUCUAAUAUCUAUGGAAAAGCUCAUACUUUCAAAUAAUCACUUCUUCCAAAUCCCUAUUUCACUUGAACCACUUUUCAAUCUCACAAAACUCAAGACUUUCGAUGGUGAAAUAUACGCAGAAACUGAGUCACAUUAUAAUUCUUUGACCCCAAAAAUUCCAAUUGACUUCUAUCUCAUUGUCUGGCUACGGAGAUGGUGGCACAUUUCCCAAAUUCUUGUACCAUCAGCAUGACUUGAAGAAUGCUGAUCUCUCACACCUUAACUUGAGUGGAAAUUUUCCAAAUUGGUUGGUAGAAAACAAUACGAACUUAGAGACGCUUCUUCUUGCCAAUAACUCUCUUUUUGGAUCAUUUCGGAUGCCAAUUCAUUCCCACCAGAAAUUAGCAACAUUGGAUGUCUCCAACAAUUUCUUUCAAGGCCAUAUCCCAGUAGAAAUCGGAACAUAUCUGCCAGGCUUAAUGCAUUUAAACUUAUCUAGAAAUGCUUUCAACGGUAGCAUUCCCUCUUCAUUUGCUGAUACGAAAAUGUUGAAAAGCUUGGACAUAUCCUACAAUCAGUUGACUGGUGAAAUCCCUGAGCGCAUGGCCAUGGGUUGCUUCUCAUUGGAAAUUCUUGCAUUGUCAAACAACAGUUUGCAAGGUCAUAUAUUCUCUAAAAAAUUUAACUUGACAAAUUUGAUGAUGUUGCAGUUGGAUGGUAAUAAAUUCAUUGGAGAGAUCCCAGAAAGCUUAUCUAAGUGCUAUUUGUUGGGAGGAUUGUAUCUGAGUGAUAAUCAUCUCUCUGGUGAGAUUCCAAGAUGGUUGGGUAAUUUGUCAGGUUUAGAAGAUAUUAUAAUGCCCAAUAACAAUCUUGAAGGACCAAUUCCAAUCGAGUUUUGUCAGCUUGAUUAUCUGAAGAUUUUAGACCUUUCAAACAAUAGUAUUUUUGGAACUUUACCAUCUUGUUUUAGUCCAGCAUCUAUCGAACAAGUUCAUUUGUCGAAAAACAAGAUAGAAGGACGGCUGGAGAGUAUAAUCCAUGACAGCCCUCAUUUGGUGACAUUCGAUCUUAGUUAUAACAGCUUACACGGAAGUAUUCCAAAUCGGAUUGACAGACUACCUCAGUUAAACUACCUUCUUUUAGCUCAUAAUUAUAUUAAAGGCGAAAUACCAGUUCAAUUAUGCCAGUUGAAGGAAGUGCGGUUGAUUGAUCUUUCUCAUAAUAAUCUAUCUGGUCAUAUUCCUCCUUGCUUGGUUAACACUUCACUCAGUGAAGGUCAUCAUGAGGCAGUAGCUCCAACUUCUAGUUCGUGUGGUCGAGCGUCUGGCUAUGCAAGUCCAUGUGCGAAAAAUACAAGUGGACUUCCGAUGGGAAAGGAAGAAACUGUACAGUUCACAACAAAGAAUAUGUCCUACUAUUAUCAAGGAAGAAUUUUGACGAGUAUGUCUGGGAUUGAUCUUUCUUGUAACAAACUGACAGGUGAGAUUCCUACUCAAAUUGGAUAUCUUACAAGGAUUCGUGCGCUAAAUCUAUCUCAUAACAAUUUGACGGGCACAAUCCCGACAACAUUUUCAAACCUGAAGCAAAUCGAAAGCUUGGACCUCUCCUACAACCUACUGCAUGGGAAAAUCCCUUCUCAGCUCACUGUGCUAAAUACAUUGGCGGUCUUCACAGUAGCAUACAAUAACUUAUCAGGAAAAAUUCCAGAUAGAGUUGCACAAUUUUCAACUUUUGAGGAAGAUAGCUAUGAGGGGAAUCCUUUUCUUUGUGGAUGGCCACUGUCUAAAAGUUGCAAUGAUAGUGGAUUAUCAGCAGUGACACGAGAAGCUUACACUGAUAAUGAAGAAGGUGAUAGUUUAAUUGACAUGGACAGUUUCCUAAUCACUUUUACAGUAUCUUAUGGAAUUGUGAUAUUAGGAAUUAUUGGAGUUUUGUACAUAAACCCCUAUUGGCGACGAAGAUGGUUUUACCUUGUUGAAGUAUGUAUGAUCUCUUGCUACUAUUUUGUAGUAGAUAAUCUUAUUCCUAGAAGAUUCUAUGGUGGAUGGAUGUAAUUUCAUUUACUUUACAACUUAUAUGUAAUUUUUAAAGAAUUUUCUUUUGCAUGCAUGGAAUAGCAACUCAAUAAAAGUAUUUGAUGCAAAUUGUCCUAGAACAACUUAGUAAUUUCAUUGCUACUAUUUGGUUGUAUAUAUACAGUUAAUGAAAUUUUUAAUCAUUCGCAGUAGGAAUUUCUUUAGAUGGCGGCCAAAACUAACAGAUUUGGGGCUCUACUUCUACACAUCAUAACAGGCAAAAGGUCUCUCUUUUACACGAUCUGAAUGAAGAUUAACUUACGCCCUCUAGGCUCUGGAGUGUGUGUAAGUUCUCUAUUAAACUUGACGGUUGAGAUUUCAGGUCCAGAUGAAAGUGAAAUGCAGGCGACGAGACUACACUUUAAGUAAACUGGGACAAACUUAAAAUAAAAAAAAUUGUAGUCCAGGGUGAGAGUGAUGGGUAGCUCAACUUAUGGAGGAUAACUAGGACUUGGAAUAACUAUCAGAUUUGCAACUCUUGUUAUAUGCUAGUGGGGAUUUAGGUAGCAAUUUUUUUUUUUUUCCUUUUUGCCCUCUUCCUCACAAUAAAAACACGUAACACACCAAGCCGUGCCCAAAAUAAUCCUAUUUUAUUCAUGUCAUGAAUCCAAAAACUAUCCCAGCUCACUUUGUUUAACCAGCAUAACUAAAUUGUGGGUAUAAAUGAACACACUUUCGAAGCCUGUAACUUAUAAUAAGCUCAAACCCAAAAAUGACAUUUAAAUCCUGCAAGUGUUUUUCAUCAUCCCUAACAAAAAGAAACAAGAAUAAUUAUAUACCAAUAAUUUUUCCAUAAAAAAUACUGAUUUGAGUUGAAACACUAUACAAACUGGGUUUUAUACACUUCCAGAAAGCUACACGGUAGACAAAAUCUAGCAGCUACAUAUUGGUAUCACUUUCAGCUGGUCAUGAAUGGUGUGCAUUCAGCAGUGCUCGAUAGACCAUGUCUAUGAAUUGAUUGUCCUAUUACAUAUAAAAGCUGGUCAGAUAUACAAGGAAAAAAAUAAUAAUUGAAAAUGCAUCACAAAAAAUAAGUGUUUCGCAUUAGUGUUUGCACUCUAAGCAUGGCAAAGUGGUGCGGGGUUCAUGAUUUUGAAGACUGUGAUAAGUGAAAAAUAGUUCAAUCCACUGAUGAACAUAAAUUUAUUUACAUGUCAAUUUAGAUAUCAUCAAAAAGUAAACAGUAAUUCAGAGUCACUUAAAAUAGUUGAUAAAAUGCGUGCCAUGAAUGUAUUUUUGUACAUAAGAAAUCCAAAGAGUAUUUCUGACAAUACAAAUAUGCUAGCUUUAAGUCUGCUGUCAAUAUGCAAUUAAGAAGAUUAUACCAGCUGCAUGAUAAAGUUCCCCUAAUCUUAAUAACAGUAAACAUGAACAUGUCAGAUGCAAUUAUAGCUUUGAGCAUUUGCAUAACCAGAAAUCCUAACCUGAACAAGCACCAGAAGUGUCUCUCGGACUUUCUCCUUGCUGAUAAAUGGUCCGCUGUCUGAAGUAAGAGCAGGAGUAAGAGAUGGUGGAGGGGUUGGUGGUGGAAAAGGUUGAAGCACUGGGGCACCAUAUGGGCGUUGCAGACUCGGGGGAGGAUUAAGUGGCGGAGCUGUUGGUGUAGAUGAAGAGACAAGCUGCAUCAUCCGUGCAUAGGAGGAUGGAGGAGGAACAAAGAAUAAGGAAGGCUUUACAAGAUUAGGGGUAGGUGCUGAUAGAGGUGGAGAUGGUAUUUGCAAAGUUGGCACGAUAGGAGAAGCAACACUGGCGGGAUGAGAAGGUAAAGAAAUAGUUGUAUUGGACUGGUAAGGUUGUGCAGAGAUUGCUGCAUUAGAAUUAUUCCCCACAGUCAAAGCUGUCUGCAAUGAUAAGGACAGAUGUCAUAUAAAAGGACAUCAUAGAAGUUGAACCUCACACAAAAAUGAAGUGAUAACAUAUGAAAAUAGUAUAUGACUUGCUGCAUUUUUGUGGUAAUGUUGCAUACUUAUGUAGAAACAUAUUAUUUCAAAGAAAACAUACACUGAAGAAGUUCACAAAAGCAGGAUCUUCAGGAACAUCAACAGCAUUUGAGGGAGUUGACUCUAGAGGACCAUCCAUAACUGCCAUAGUUGGAACAGCUUCCAGUUCCUCAAACUCACUGCAGUUUAACAUAAAAGGAACUUGAUGACCAAUUUAAGUAAUAAUUAGAUGAUAUAAGAGGUUAGGGAAAAUGAUGAGUGGACCCUUAUGGAAGAUGAUUUCACCUUAGCUAAACACGAAAAUAAAAUGAAAUCAAAGCUGAAUCCUCGAGUGCAAUGCAAAUAAUUUUUUCUCUCUCUUCUCUAACUCCUCUUAUUCGAAAUUGCUCAUCAUUGUGCAGUUCCUCGAGAUUUUGCUAGAGUAGAGAAAGCUAUUCUCCCGUUAAGUGCAGAGGAAAAAGAAGGGCAAGGGCCUGGUAUGAUGCUAUUCUAUAGGAAGUGAGAAGGUGAAGGGCUAAAAUAUUUUGCAAUUUGGAGGUGGUGUUUGUUAGUGUGUGUACUUCUGAAUUUAUUACCUCUUUAGGAUCCAUAGAAAUUGCCUCUUGUUCAGCAUGCACUGUGCCUACGAGUAAGGCGAGCUUGCAUGGUAUCUAUUGUCUAUUUACUUGGAUAUUCAAACAGGACUACCAGCAACCAAACACAAAUCCCCAAACAAAACACUCUUUCAAGUGCAAGGAAAGAGUAACUUGGGCAUAUUUAUGGUUCAAGCACUACAAUAACUAAGAAUGUGAUGACUGUCCACAAACACUAUAUCAGUGCCUUUUGAACUACAUCACAUGCUUGAAGACUUUUUUUUUAGUCAUACAUAAAUUAGCUAUAAAAUCAAGACCCUUAUACAACUAAAAAGAAAGAAAAAUUGUUUGCUACUACAUAUCAAAACUGGUAAUAGCAAUGUAAGAUGGCAGACUUCUUACUUAAACAGAUGAGAGGCUACAAAUAAAAAAUUUGUGCAAAUAAAAUAUAUGAUAAAGAGCAUAAUACUUUCUUGGGGGCUAAAAAUAAUAUACAACUUGUGAAAUAUAAAUUGAGCUACCAUUACCUUUUAGAUGUGGCAACUUUCGACUUUUGAGGCACCUUGGAAUAUGCAUUCAGAAUCCUGCAUUUGGAAGCCAAAUAAAUAAUGUUAAUAACAAUUUUACAAUAGAAAAAUUAAAAAUUGAUAAAUGGCAGUUGUAAUUUAUGUAUGGUAAAGAUAGCAUCACAUCCAGGUUCCUCCCAUAAACAUGCUUGUAACAAGAAUUAGUUUGCCUCAACUGCUAGCAACUAUACAAUAGUAAAAAUCACUCUUAUGAACUCAACAAUACUAGGCACCAAUAAGAGUAUGACACAGCCAUUCUAAAUGGAAGAGAAUACAACUGUUUUACAACUAUGUUGCAUCAGGAGAUAUGUUAGGAGGAUUAAUCCAGAUACCUUCCAACCCAAAUUAGGAAAACUCGAGUCAGAAACCAGGAGCUGCAACCAAACCUUACAAUCUUGAAGGAAGAAGGAGACUUGGGGCAUUUUUCCAGAUAGGUGACUUACAAGAUCUCCUGCCAAGAAAAUAUCUAUUGCUUUGAACCUCCAUUGAAAUUUCUUUUCCCUUUUUCUUGUUUUGACUUGGAACUUUCCAGCAUCAUCUAUUUGAUCUUUUUUAAAGCUAAAAUAGCAAUCUAUGCGUUGUCAACAUCUUAUCCCCCGCCCCCCCGGGGGGGCCACCAAAAAAAAAAAAAAAACCAAUGAGUUGUCAAUAAAUAGCGCCUACUCAACUUAUGUUCUCCAAUGAUGACAAUGUGCAAAUUGACCUAGCAGCCACAUUUUUCCCCCCUUUCAACCACCAUUAGGCAACUUUUCUAACCUUUCUUCAUUGCCCACGUCUACAGAACUAUCAUAUAAAGACUACAUUAUUAUUGGGACAGAGAAAAAAAUACAGACUAUAUUAUUAUUAUAUCUCAUUUUAUUAAUUAACUAGUGCAAGACUUAUUUAGUGUCAAAUCAAGAACUAAUUAGAAAAGACAACUCAUGAUAAUACAGACUUUAAAAAGCAAUAGCUAGCAACACCCCAUAUACUCCUAUUUUAGCCUUCAAUAUCCUGGUAAAAACACAAUUAAGUCUAGCAAAAGAACAUUCACAAGUAAAUUCAACAUUAAUUAAGAUUAAGUAUCUACUGCACCUUCAAUCAAUGACUCGGUGAAUAGCAUGGUCAACCAUCUAGUUCCUGUAGCCCUCCUUGUACCUAUGUUAGUUACAUUUUACAUAUUAAGCCACGAAAAUGAAGGAUCACAGCCUGGUAAAGAAAGCCAUUAAUUAAUAGUUUUUGUUUAAAAAGUUCUCGUUUAGAUCUUUCCUAUUCAAUGAAUCAAUGUAAUCCAAGGAGAACUCUUCCAUUUCAAGCAGUGUUAGAAGAUAAUUGGAAAGCCUAAAGAUAAUAUACAAGGACCAAGAUAUCGAUUAGGUCAAAUAGUGAAUGUCAAAUAUAAAAAAUAAAUAAAAGAAGUUGUACAUGAUCAUUUACUAUCAAGUUCUGUAAAACUGAAAAUACCAUUAUCCCUGUAGAGAUUCUCAAACAACUCUUUAGCAAAUUAUAAAAUAGUUAAAAAAAGAUCGAAAGUUUAAAAAAAAAAAAAUGUACAACAGCCAUAUCAGGAGAAGUUUUUCUUCUCAAUCUCAAUAUUUUCUAGCCGUAAAACAAUUGAAAAGCUUAACACCAAGUGAAUUAUUAAGAAUUCAUCAUUUAAAUUCCCAAAUCGUAAAAUGUUGGUGCAACUACGAAAGUGCAAAUGCAAUCACUUUACUUACACAAGAAACAUCAAUAGUGAGAAGCCAACUUUGUAUCAAAUUUGAAGCAGAUAGAUAGAGGUCAAAAAAAUUAUAAAGACACUCAAUUAAAAGCCUUUCAAACAGCUUUUGCAUGCAACAAGAACAAAUCAAAGGCGAUGUGAAUGUAUUCAAAGACUAAUUUACAAUCAUCUACAGGACAUAAAUAUCUUGGAUAACUACUCUCUAUACCUUACUGUCCCACUGAAAAUCAUCAAAUCCCUCCAAACAAAAAUGACAAAAUGGAUAAGAAUUGUGUGGUCAAACAUCAAUAACUUAGCAGCCACAGCAAAAACUUAUGUAGACACGCAAGCCACUCAAAAUAGUCAUAUUGUUUGCUUUCCAAACACAAGCCACUUUGUAAUGAAUAUUCAUAAAUUGCUACUACCAUGUUUGUUAAAACACGUGAAAACCGCCAUCACUAACUAAAUGUAACUGAUGAUCAUCAUCACGUUCAUGGAAUCACAUGUCUGACAGUAUUAAUUAGUGCAAAUGGCAUGCUUCUUAAAACUCCUUAUUUAUCACACGGGCGCCAUUCCAAUCAACCAAUGAUUCUGAUCUAGUCGGCAUAUUCAACCCACGAGCGAGUAAUAGCUCCUAUUGCUUCUUUACAUUUCUCAACGAAAUUCCACAUUCUAACCAUACUUCUGAACUUGUUGCUCCCAUAGACUAAUACAAUAUAAAGAUUUCUUCCCACACCGCCUCAGCCCCCACUCCUAAAAAACCAAUUUAAAUUCUCAUUGACUGUACAACCUAUAGUCCAUACCAAAUUGAAAAAUUUACAAAUAUAGAACCUCAAAGAAUCUUCUUGCAUUCCAUUUUUUACGUCAAGAAAUUUGACUUUUACCACAUGCAAGUCAACAAAUAAAAAAAUCAUGUCUUUGUGAGAUGCACAUUUUCAGACGAAUCUGAAGAGCAAUGAAACCGUAAAAACCGAAUAUGAGAACACCGAGGACUCCAGAUAUCACCUAUAGAAUCUUCGGUCCACACUUGCAUGAUGAAAAUGAUGAAAAAAAAUUGAAGGCUUCGUCACCAACUCCCCAGGUUGUUUUGUUCUCCUAUCUCCUAAAUGUAAAGGAAAGGCAACCCGUUCUUUUUCCAAUCUUAAGGGGCACAGAACGACUCUGGUAUAAAAUAGUCAGUUUCUAUACAAAAAUAACUCCUUUGCACUUGGCACUGCACAUCUCAAAAUAAAAAGCAUGCAAGGAGGAGAAUAUAAUAGCAUUAAACAAGUUUUAUUAACCAAACUUCAAAGAUGCCACACAAGGCAAAAAAGAAAUCUGUACAAGCCAGAUCCCAAGAAUAAUAAUUCCAAUAUACAAUUCAGGAAAACAAUAACUAAAACCAGGUUCAUGAGGCCUCAGCAGAAGCAACAUGUAAUAGCCAUACUCUAUUAUUUGAAACACAUUUCCAAGUUUGGUUAAGAUUCUAAACUAUUCUCUAUGUGUCAAUUAUUAACAUGUAAAACAUAAUAAUAUACACUUAUACUACUACAGUAGUAAAACCAGUAAAACAACAAUACCUGCUGAAAAGAUUUGCUACCUCUUCACAUUCACGAGCAUUGUAGAAUCAAAUCCCAUUUACUUCUUGGGAUGCAUUCCGAUAUAACAAAUACGGAACCUGAACUUCAAACUCAAAAUCUCCCAAAAGAUUUUCCACUAAAUUAUCUGCACAUAUCCAAGAUAUUGAAGCUUAUCAGUGCAAAAACAUAUGCAAAAAGACAUGAAGGUUAGAAGACAUAACUAAAACUUAGCAACAACUGAUAAGCACAACAAGACAUGAAAUAUAACACUAGUUGUAAAUACUCUAAAACUUACCAACCCCCUCUCCUGAUUGUCAUAAAACGGCCAAUAUUUAACCCUAGACAACAAAAUUGCAAAUACUCUAGCCUCUAUAUUAUUGGCAUAUAAAUAUUUUCGGUUAGGUACAUUAUAUUCUUCGUUCUAAAACCUCAAUUAUUAGCUAGUACUGUGAUAAAAUGAUUCAUCACUGAAAUUAAAACUAGUUCACGUACAAAUAAUCAAAACUGAAAUAGAAGCAACGAUAAACCAACCUGUAUUACGUCGAUUCAUCACAACAAACUGAAAUCGAGGCUGUGUGUUCCUGAAAAUUGAAAAAAUAAUAAUUUCACCAACUUCAUAUGUAAUACAAUCUCCAAAACACCGAAUAUCAAAUGAAAAAAUGGAAAGCAUAAGAGAUAAAAGAAUCUAAUUUUAUUGACCUUUUGACGACGAAGAGAGAUCCUUCAACAUCCUUACGACUCCAUUGGCUGAGAUCGAUGUUGAACUCGUAGAAGGUGACAUGAGCGGCCGUGAUGAGGAUCUCCUCAAUGAAUGGAUCGAUUCGCUGAAGAACUGUCAGGCUUAGGAGUUUUGUGCUCUGCUGGUCCAGAUUAGGCAUCAAUUUUCCGUUCUGCGACAUUUUUCAUAGUCCUUUUGGGCUUCUGCCCCGAGCACAAGCCCCAUGGUUUUUCUGUGAGCUCUCUCUCUUUUGUAAAUAAAGUGUUUGAUGAGAUAGCCGAGAGAGAGUGAAGAGUUGAACAGCUAAACAAGGUGAGGUGAACAGUUUCGGACUGAGACUCGAGAUUGAUCUUGCUUUAACGUCUUUUAAACAUUUGGGAAAUAGCAUUUAUUUCUUUCAAUUUCUCUACUGUUUUUUUCCUUUAUGUCAUUUAGACCCCAAAAUUAGAUUUAUUAUAAUCAUAUUGUACCCAUACACUAUUAACCCCUUUUAUUUUUUAUAUUGUCAAUAUUAAUGUAUUAGAAUAAUGUUAGAAAUCUCAAUUAUUAUCUCAAUGUUUCAAUCAUAACUAAUGUGAUAAUUCAUCGGUAACUGCAACAUUAACUUAAUUAUUAAUGUUUAUCAUGAAAUGAUGAGAUUAUUAUUCAAGAAAGAAUUAGUAAACAUCAAUGACUAAAAUAAUGUGACAAUUAUAGCUGAAUAUUAGUACAAUAAUUAGAAUUCCUAAAGUUAGUGAAUGUAUUAUAAUAUAUGUGUGUUACACCACUUUAUGUCUCUCAAAUUCAAUUAAGUAAUUUCAGAAACCUGACCUUUUAUUAUAUUAAUUAGGAAUGCAUACAUGAACGAAAGAUGUGCAAAUUUUGUUCUAUUUUUCACUAUUAUUUACCUUUCAUCUACAUACGUCACUUGAUUUUUUGUGAUUAAUAUGCUUAAAUGGAUCUCUUUGAUAUAAAUAAAAUAAACAAAAAGUCUAAGAGAAAAAAAAAAUGAGGACCGAAAUUAUUACACCUACAACAAAUUUGCCCAGAGAGCAAUAAAUCAAACUUGCUUAGGAAGUACAAUGAUUAGUUAAUAACUAUCAUGUUAAAGCUUCUGUCAAGCAAACACCCAUUGAAUUUUUCGCUCGCUUCAAUGACUUACUUAUGCCCAAUAUAUUACUUUGCACAGUAGUAUUUGGGAUCCUAACAAUCAACUCUUAAUUUGGUCCCAAUAUAUUACUUUAUGAAUGCUUGUGUUGUUUUUUUUAUAUAAAAUAAUUUAUUUAAGUAAUCAUAGAAAUAAGGGAGAAAAGGGGGCAUUUGUUGACUCAAAGUCAAUUACAAAUAUUCCAUGCCUAACUUCCACGCACCCUAAAACGGUUUUAUUUGCUUUCACGCGUUCAUGAAUUUCCAUGAAAGAGAGUGCCUCUCGUCUCUUUCCGGACAGUGCCGACAAUUAUGUUAACGUGACAAAUACAUAACGUUAUUACAUACAAUAAUAAGUUUUUGGACCCGAGACUUGAGGGAGGUUCUAUCUAAUUCUAAAGAUUGUAACCAAAUCAUUAUCCCCAAUUUUUUUCAGUUAAAUAAAAUAAAAUUUAUGCUUACGUAUAAAUAAUACUUUGGACAUUCUUGAUAUUUGUCCUUUUAAGAUAAACACCAACCCAAUUAUCUAUUUGUUUGUCUGUUUUUUUUUUUCAAUAACAGUUUGUUAGCAUAAAUAUUUACCUGUGAAAUCGAGGAGGAGAAAAUGUUAGAAAAAAUAAAAAGAAAAAAAAUUAAGGGAGAUAGAAUCAGAUUUUCUUUUUUGAGCAAAGAACAUACAUAAAAAGAUAUUAAAUCUAUUAAGUCUACUUGUCUAUAACGGUAAAUUGCAUAACGAAUAAUUUAUCAGAACAAAAUAAAUUUUAUUAGAUUAUGAGUGUUCUGAUUAUUUUUUAGAGUACCAAUUGUCCCAUGGCACAACAAAAUGCCAGAAAAUAUAAUGUAAAAUUGCUGGUUUGUUGCUUAAAAUUUUCAAUAAUAAUUUCACCUUUUUAGUAAUUAGAGAGAGAUGGAGAGGAUUGACGGCCAAUGUUUAGCGAUUUGGGGUCAAUUCAAAGUCAACUAACGUGUAAAACACGUGUAAGCAUAGAAAACGCUUAGAUUAUUUGUGUUUCAAGUGCAAGAAAAGUAAGAAAAGAAAAAAUGAUUUCCUUUCAUGAACUUCCAAGAAAGAAAGAAGACCCUUCACCUUCUUCGCGACAACAAAUGAUGUUGAUAUGACAAAUACAAGCGCUAUUACAGGGAACAUCAUAAGACCGAGACUUGAUAAAGGGUUUGUUAAAUUACACGUUAUUUUCUUGUUGACUGAAUUGGAAGAAAAAAAUAAAAUAAAAUAAAAUUGUAAUCAGGGUGAUGUGUGGAAUAUAGUGAAAUAAAUAAAUAGAGAAGAGAAACUCGUUGAUCAAUUAAAAGCUGGGAGUAUCAUCAGUUCAAUUGGUUAUAAAUAGCGUAGAGCCAUCCUCUCGUUGUUGCAGAACUGAAGGAAAGAGAGACAGAAAGAGUGUGUGUAGGUGAUUAUAAUUAAGAAGAUAUAAUGUGUGGUUCAAAAAGAGUGUGGGUGAGUGAGUUAAUUUUCAUAUUAUUAGUAGUAAACGGGUGGUGGAGUGAGGGAUGUUUGGAGCAAGAGAGGUCUGCUCUCCUCCAACUCAGACAUUUCUUCAAUGAUGAUCAACGUCUUCAAAACUGGAUAGACGAUGAGUAUUAUUCAGAUUGUUGUCAGUGGGAACGGGUUGAGUGCAACAACACCACUGGCAGAGUGAUUAAAUUAGAUCUAAGAUAUACUCGGAAUCGGAAAUCAGCAGAGUGGUAUAUGAAUGCCUCUCUGUUUACUCCCUUUCAACAAUUAGAGUCUCUUGAUCUAAUUGGGAACAAUAUAGCCGAUUGUGUUGAUAAUGAAGGUCCUUAAUUUACUCUAUUUUAAUUCUUCCUCAUAAUUUUUUCCAUUUAUCUGAUCCCUUUUGGUUUUUAUUUAAUUUGUAUGUGAUACAAUAAAAUUAUUUUUUAUUUUUUAUUUUUUGGCAGGUCUAGAUAAGUUAUCAAGGUUGAACAACUUGAAGGUUCUUUAUUUAGACCUUAACCACUUCAACAACAGCAUCUUUUCAUCUCUAGGUGGUCUUUCAUCACUCAGAAACUUAUCAUUGGCUGCUAAUCGAUUGAAUGGAAGUGUUGAUAUUAAAGGUAAGUAAGCUUCAUCCCUUCUCCCCUGUCCCAUCUUUUGUGGAUCUUAUUUCACUGAGCAGCUGGAAGUAUUGAUACGAGAUCUAGCUAGACUCUUGCGAGUUUAGGCUUCACGGCUUUGAAUAGUAUAAAAAUAAGUUGAAGAAAUUAUCAAUAUAUGCAAUUUUCAAUGCUUCUCAUAAUCAGACACAAUUCAAUCUAAUUAUUUCGUAUGUCCUGUCUUCAAAAGUAAAGAAUUGAGCUCCGAUUGGAAAUCGACAUCGUAGCUUUUUAUUUUCUGUAAUGCUAUUUCUUCGUUAACAAGUUUAUAUCCUAAGAGGGAUUGGAUUCGAAAAAAGUUUUGACGUUCAAGGUAAGCCAUAAUAACCUGCAUCUUAUUUGUCUGCCUGUAUCUAAAUUUGUGCACUGAAUUUAGUAUUUUGGUUAUUGUUAAGGGAUCAGAUAUUGGCUUCCAUAGACCAACUUGUACUUAGUUAACUAAUUAAUUAACGACAUUUAGUAUUUAACAAAUUAAAAUUUUGUAUUUAAUCUAUUUUAAUUUUUUUAAGAAAAAAGAAAAAGAUAUAGCAACAGGUAAAGCUAAAAUAUACCUGCUUAAAGCCACUCAGUCGAGCCAUUUGAGAGCUGCUUUAAAUUUUUCGGAUUAGCCAUAUUCUUUUCUUAUUAAUAAAAUUCUUUUCGCUGAGAUUUAACAAAAAAAAAGGAGAAAAUAAUUUAUUUAAUUAACUAUGUUUUAAGUGUUGGAAUAAAUACAGGACUGAAAUCCUUGAGUAACUUGGAGGAGCUGGACAUGAGCUUCAAUGCAAUCGACAAUCUUGUGGUUCCUAAAGGUAUACAAAAUGUUCAAAUAUUAAUAAUUUGGAGGACAGUUUAAUUGAUUUGAUAAGGUGAAGAAACGUGUUUUCAUUUCUUAAAUAAAGCAUUAUACAUUGAGAGUUAUUUAUAGAUGCAGAGGCUACAUUUUUUCAAAGAUUACAUAUGUGAAUACGGAAGGAAAUGUGUCAAUCCGUUCGGCGCGGAUCUUGUCUUUGACAAGUGCAGAUUCUGUCUUUGAAAGCUUCAUUCAAUGUCGUUUUAUUUGAUUCUCAACACUCCCCCUCAAGUUGGUGCAUAGAUGUCUUGCAUACCCAACUUGUUUAGGAAUUUUGUAAAUGCCCUGCUUGAAAUGGCCUUCGUUAAAAUAUCUGCAAGUUGAUCUUCUGAUCGAAUUUUCGGCAGUUCUAAGAUUUUUUCAUCUAAUUUCUCCUUGAUGAAAAAUCUAUCUACCUCCACAUGUUUUGUUCGAUCGUGUUGAACUGGGUUAUGAGCAAUAUCUCGUGCAGCUUUGUUGUCACAGUGUAAUUGUAUUGGUUGUUGUGAUGGAUAGCCCAAAUCGUUUAAGAUAAAACUUAUCCAUUGCCCUUCACAUAUCCCAAGGGCCAUGCCUCGAUAUUCUGCUUCAGCGCUCGAACGGGCAACGACAUGUUGUUUCUUGCUUCUCCAUGUGACAAGGUUUCCUCCCACAAAGGUAAAGUAUCUUGAAGUAGAGCGUCUAUCACUAACUGACCCCGCCCAAUCUGCAUCAGUAUAAACUUCUAUGUUGCUGUAAUCUUCAUUUUUGGAAAAUAAGAUUCCUUUUCCUGGAUUUGUCUUCAGGUACCUCAAGAUCCGCAUUACUGCUUUCAUGUGUUGUUCUCUGGGAUUAUGCAUAAACUGGCUUACAACACUCAAUGCAUAAGCAAGAUCUGGCCUUGUGUGGGACAAGUACAUCAAUCUUCCAAUCAGCCUUUGAUAUCUUCCUUUGUCUACUGGAACUUGGUCUGAAGUAAUACAAAACUUCAAUCCUUCUUCUAUUGGGGUGUCAAUAGGCUGACAAGCUGUCAUUCCCGUUUCGUGCAAUAGAUCUAAGGCAUAUUUCCUUUGAGACAGAAAGAUUCCUCCCUUAGAUCGAGAAACCUCAAUUCCAAGAAAGUAUUUUAAGGCACCUAAAUCCUUUAUCUCAAACUCUCUUGACAAGUACUUCUGAAGAGCCUCUGUUUCUUCCUCGUCGUUGCCUGUAACUACCAUAUCAUCCACAUAGACAAUAAGGGCAGUGAUUUUACCUUGUCGUUUUUUUAAUGAAUAAGGUAUGAUCUGAAUUGCUUUGGUUAUACCCAAAACGAACCAUAGCCUUUGUGAAUUUCCCGAACAAUGCUCUUGGGGAUUGCUUCAACCCAUACAAUGAUUUCUUCAAUUUGCAUACUUUCUGACUGAGUCGUUCUAGUCCACUGCAUCCUGGUGGCAGAUCCAUAUAAAUUUCUUCAGACAGGUCUCCAUGGAGGAAAGCAUUCUUUACAUCGAACUGUUGCACUGGCCAAUCCAAGUUGACUGCUAAUGAUAAUAAGAUACGAAUAGUAUUAAUUUUUGCUACCGGUGCAAACGUAUCAAUAUAAUCAAUCUCGUAGGUUUGGGUGUAACCCUUAGUUACGAGUCUUGCUUUGUAUCGUUCAAUAGAGCCAUAUGCUUUGUAUUUUAUAGUGUAGAUCCAUCGACAACCCAUUGGUUUCUUUCCUGAUAGAAGAUCAACUAGUUCCCAUGUUUGAUUUUUCUGAAGAGAUCUCAUUUCAUCAUUCAUAGCCGCUUUCCACUUUGGAUCUUUUAAAGCUUCCUGAACACUGUUAGGAAUAGAUACAGCAGAUAAUUGAUUCACAGAUGACUGAUUUGAUUCUGACAAGCGAUGGUUAGACACAAAAUGACUCAUAGGGUAUUUGACUCUACUAGAGAAGUCAGGCUCAUAUGUGGGUUUAGGGAUACCUCUAUUUUGACGUUGGGGAAGAAUUCUUCUUAUUGGACUUGUGGUAGGAACAUCCUCUGCAGACGAUUGGUUAGGUAUUUCUUCAUGUGACUCAUUCUCGAUUGCAGUUGUGUUUGAGUUAUUGUGCUCCCCAAAUGUGUCUUCACAUAUCUCAGCCUGCGAAUCAUCACCAUUUGCUUUUCCAGUAUUUUGAAGGUUUACUAUCUCAAUGGAAGAUUGACUUUCUUCAGGUGGAAGAUAUGUAAGAGUAUGAAUUUCCUAUUCAUUAUACUCCCCCUGAAAUUCAGACUCUGACAAGUAGUAUAUGAUAUCUUCAUGAAAAACGACAUCCAUGGUGAUGUAUAUUUUUCUUGAUGGUGGAUGAUAGCAUCGAUAUCCCUUUUGAUGUAAGGCAUACCCUACAAACACACAACGUAGUGUUCGAGGAGAUAAUUUGUCUUGUUGUGGCAAAUGAACGAAGGCAACACAGCCAAACACAUGUGGGGGCAGAUUCGGCAUAUUUGGUGACAUAAUUGCAUCAUUCAGAACUUGGAAAGGAGUCUGGAAUCCAAGGGAGCUUGAAGGUGUUCGAUUGAUCAAGUAUGCUGCGGAUGCCAGUGCUUCUCCCCAAUAAGAUAAUGGCAUGUGGGCUUGGAUUAGUGAUGCUCGAACAACUUCUAGUAAAUGUCUAUUUUUUCGUUCAACAACGCCAUUUUGUUGGGGUGUCCCCACACAAGUGGUUUGAUGGACAGAUCCUUGUGAUUUCAGAAACUGUUGAAUUGCUGUGCUCAUAUACUCGCCUCCAUUAUCAGUAUGUAGAACUCGAAUUUGUGUCUGAAAUUGAGUAGUCACCAUCUUAUGAAAUCUUUGAAAUAAAGAGUUUACUUCGUCUUUCGAUUUCAUCAGAAAAAUCCAUGUCAUUCUGCUACAAUCAUCAAUAAAUGUAACAAACCAACGAGCACCUCCAAUUGUAGAAACUUUAGAUGACCCCCAUACAUCAGAAUGUACUACCAUAAAAGGAACUGGAUUUUUAUUUAAGGACAAUGGAAAAGUAGUUCGAUGGCUUUUUGAAAGUUCACAAACAUCACAUUUAAAGUUACAAACAUCAAAUUUCAAAAACAAACUAGGAAAUAAUUUUUUUAAGUAACCAAAUGACACAUGCCCUAAACAUCUAUGCCAUAACCAAAUUUCUGAUUUCCCUUUUUUAUGGAACUAUCUGCGACUAGUGCGGGGCUUAGCUUUCCAGUGUUUGUUGAUGACAUCUCCAAGUAGUACAAGUUGCCUCGUCUAAUACCAUAACCAAUCGUUUGCUUCGUUUGGAUGUCCUUAAACACACAAUGAUCAGGCCAAAAAAUUACAACACAUGAUAAGUAAGUGGUUAAUUGAGACACAAAUAAAAGAUUAUAAUCUAAAGAUGGAACAAUUAACACAGUGUCUAAAUUUAAUUCAUUUGUGAGUCAUAAAGAUCCUUCCCCAAUAACUGAGGUUGUGGUUCCAUUUGCAGUAGAAAUAUGUUUUUGUGAAGAUGGUUUCAAUUGAGAAACUUGUCGAGAAUCAAAAGUCAUAUGAUCAGUUGCCCCAGAAUCAAUUAUCCAUGUACUAUUAAUAACAGGUGUACGAGUUUUAAGGGCCUUACUUAGACUAACAGAGGUUGCGAUUUGCACUGAAGAUUCUUUUCUAAGAUCUGUAGUGGAUGUGGAUUCAGCUACUGCAGUUUUUGAUCCAUGCUUGGUGUUCUUCUUUCGAGUAUCCCACCAGUUAGGAUAUCCAAUGAUUUCAAAACAUUGUUCUUUCGUAUGACCCUUCUUUCUACAAUGAGUGCAAUGGAGUGAUGACUUGUCAACAAACUUCCUUUGAGGCUGCUGUCGUGCUAUCAUAGUAGACGUUUCUGAGUCGACCUUCUUGUUUAGUUUGCUUUGCCGUAUAUCUUCUCUUCGGAUCAGAGAAUAACAUUCUUCUAACUCUGGGAUAAUGUCUUUUCGUAGAAUUUCUCCACGAACUUGGUCAAAUUCUUCAUCUAGCCCAGCAAGAAAAAUGUGCACUCUCAAUCUUUCAACAGACCUUCUGUAUAUUACAACAUCUUCUGGAUCCUUCAUGACCACUUUAUCUCGGUGAUCAAGUUCUCGAAAUAUUUCGACCAAUUCUCCAUAGAAUUUAGAGAGUGGUUGUCCAUUUUGCUUAGUAGAGAAUGCCUUCUGGUUUAGAGUGAAAACUUGUAAUUCAUCGCUUCCAUCAUAGAAGGCUUUUGAUAAUGCAUCCCAGAUUUCGUAGGCUGUAGGAAUUCGUAAAUAUCGCUUCAUGAUCACCAGAGACAUGGAUAUGAGUAACCAUCUUUUUAUUUUUUGGUUCUCACUAUACCAUUUCUCAUAUUCCUUUGAAGAUUCCUCAAAUGGCUUUGUGCUGCUACGAAUAUAUGAGAGUUUUUCUCUUUCUGCAAGAUGCAUCUCCAUUAUUUGAGACCAAACAUCGUAGUUUGUCUCAGUCAGGAUAAUUCCAGCAUUAAAUACUCCAUCAGAUUGAACAGAUUGAAUGACAACAUGACUAGAUUCAGUUGGAGUUUUCUCCAUUUUUUUUGUUUUUCUUUUUUCUCUUUUUUUUUUGUUUUUUUUGUUUUUUUUGUUUUUUUUGUUUGUUUUCUUUUUUUUGUUUUUUUUCCGUCUAGAUUGAAAGAAAAAAAAAAUAACCUUUUUAGGUAACAAAACGACAGGUCGUUUGGCCACUGCUUGCCAAACUGACAUGUCGGUUAUGGUGGAAUAUAAACGACAUGUCGUUUUAAUCCUGUUGCACUUCUGGAGACUAAGCGUCACGUCGUUUUACCUCUAAUUUAAAAUCGACAUGUCGGUUUUAAUAUAACGAAAAAAGACACGUCGUUUUUUGACUGCUGCACUUCUGAAAUAAAAACGACAUGUCGGCUGACGUCUUCUUCAACCUCUGGAGCAUGUGAGAGCGCGUGAAUGAUGACAGAGGCGCGUGGUUGACUGGCCGUGGCUUCGGGUGGCGGGUGGGAGCGCGUGGGAAUGUGUUUAAAUGCGAAAUUUUUACAGUUUCUUCACUGAAAACUGAGAAAUUUGAUGGUGUUCUUGGGUUUUGAGGAACACACUCUCAGAAAAUUGCUGGGAUUGUUGAUAAAUUUGUAAACUCAAGUUUUUUACGUAUGGGUGGCUUGUUUCUUGAUCGGCAUGGAUAUCUGUAAUGGUAGGAAUGGGUUUAAGAAAGAAAAUGGUGGGAAAAAUGGUUGUGGGAGGAAUUUGGUUUCCUCUAUUUUUGUUACAAACAGAGCAGCGGAACUUGAAGAAACUUGAGCGUAUUCAUGGCUCUGAUACCAUGAAGAAACGUGUUUUCAUUUCUUAAAUAAAGCAUUAUACAUUGAGAGUUAUUUAUAGAUGCAGAGGCUACAUUUGUUCAAAGAUUACAUAUGUGAAUACGGAAGGAAAUGUGUCAAUCCGUUCGGCGCGGAUCUUGUAUUUGACAAGUGCAGAUUCUGUCUUUGAAAGCUUCAUUCAAUGCCGUUUUAUUUGAUUCUCAACAGGAAUGCCCAAUGACACUUACCCAAAAUAAUUUAAUCCGAAAUUGUAUCCCAAAUAGAUUACAGAGGUUUGAGGAAGUUGGAUACCCUUUAUUUGGGAGGGAAGGGAAAUUGCAGUGAUAUAUGGAAGCAAGGUGUUGCAAUCAAUAAAGAAAUUCAUAGGGUCAAUAUUCAAGGACUCUCCUCCAACUCAAACAUUUCUCAAAUAGAUUAUUUAAUCUGAAAUAGUAUCUCAAAUAGAUUAUAGAGGUUUGAGGAAGUUGAAUACCUUUUAUUUGGGGGGGAAGGGAAAUUGCGGUGAUAUAUGGAAGCAAGGUGUUGCAAUCAAUAAAGAAAUUCGUUGGUCAAUAUUCAGGACUCAUCCAAAGUGAUCGUUAAAGUCUAGAGGUCUGCUCUUCUCCAACUCAAACAUUUCUUCAAUGAUGAGAAUUAUUCAAAUUGUUGUCAGUGGGAAGGGGUUGAGUGCAACAACACCACUGGCAGAGUGAUUAAACUAGAUCUAGGAGCCACUAGGAAUCGGGAAUCAUCAGAGUGGCAUAUGAAUGCUUCUUUGUUUACUCCCUUUCAACAAUUAAAGUCUCUUCAUCUAAUUGGGAACAAUAUAGCCGAUUGUGUUGAAAAUGAAGGUCUUUAAUUUACUCUAUUUUAGUUCUUCCUCGUAAUUUCUUACAUUUAUCUUAUCCCUUUUGGCUUUUGUUUAAUUUGUACGUGAUACAAUAAAAUUAUUUUUUAUUUUUUGGCAGGUCUAGAGAGGCUAUCAAGGUUGAACAACUUUAAGUUUCUUUAUUUAGACCUUAACCACUUCAACAACAGCAUCUUUUCAUCUCUAGGUGGUCUUUCAUCACUCAGACAAUUAUCAUUGGCUACUAAUCGAUUGAAUGGAAGUGUUGAUAUUAAAGGUAAGUAAGCUUCAUCCCUUCUCCCGUGUCCCAUCUUUUGUGGAUCUUAUCUCAUUGACGGGCUGGAAGUAUUGAUACGAGAUCUAGCUAGACUCUUGCUAGUUUAGGCUUCAAGGCUUUGAAUAUUACAAAAAUAGGAUUAAGAAAAUAUCAAUAAAUGCAAAUUUCAAUGCUUCUCAUAAUCAGACACAAUUAAAUCUAAUUAUUUUGUAUGUCCUGUCUUCAAAAGAAAAGAAUUGUACACCAAAUGGAAAUCGACAUUAUUGUUUGCUUUUGAUUAGUGGAUCAAAAAUCGACUAAUUUUUGUUUAACAUAAAAAUAAAAAAGAGAAAAUAAGUUAUUUAAUUAACCCUGUUUUAAGUGUUGGCAUAAAUGCAGGACUGAAUUCCUUGAGUAACUUGGAGGAGCUGGACAUGAGCUUCAAUGCAAUCGAAAAUCUUGUGGUUCCUAAGGGUAUACAAAAUGUUCAAAUAUUAAUAAUUUGGAGGACAAUUUAAUAGAUUUGAUUAGGGAAUGCCCAAUGACACUUACCCAAAAUAAUUUAAUCCAAAAUUGUAUCCCAAACAGAUUUCAUAGGUUUGAGAAAGUUGAAUACCCUUUGUUUAGGGGGAAGCAGAAUUCGAAUGAUAGAUGGAAGCAAGGUGUUGCAAUCAAUAGGAUCACUACCGUCCCUUAAAACACUUUAUCUUUCGUCUACUAAUUUUACGGGAACAGUAGUUAAUCAAGGUAAGUAAAUCUUUUAUGUAGAAAAUAAUUGAAUUAAUAUAUAUAGCUAAAAUUUACUGUUUCUACUUCUUUCUAAAUAGAAUUGCACAAUUUCACCAACUUGGAAGAAUUGAUAUUGCUCGGGUCUCAUCUCCACGUAAGCCAGCUUCUGCAAAGCAUCGCAUCAUUCACAUCGUUAAAGCAUUUGUCAAUGCCAGUUUGUACGCUUACAGGUGCCGUACAUGGUCAAGGUAAAUUACGGGUAUCUGAAGCUUUUAUGAUAUUAAUUCGAUAAUAAUUAUUUCUUUUCAAGUUAAUUUUCUCCCAUAAAAUAAUAUAUAUUUUUUUAAAUUUUAUAUAUUUUCACUGUCCAAUAGUUCUAGCUUCUCUAAUUUGCAGGAUUCUUGAUUAAGGUUAAUGAAAUUUUAGUUCUGUUAUGUUAAGAAUAUUUUGAUCGCUAAGAAGAGUAAAGAAAAAUAAGUAAAUUAACCCAAAAAAAGAAAAGAACAGGAACAUAUUAUCCUUAUUACCUUGCAUUAUGUGAUCAAUAUCAAAAUAAUAACCAUUUCUUGUUUAUUGCUUGUAGAUUUUCGUAAAUUCAACAAUUUGGAACAUCUGUACAUGGGUGAUGUGCAGGUUGACGUCAACACCAGUUUUCUUCAAAUUGUCGGCGAAUCGAUGCCUUCUCUUAAGUUUUUAUCACUGACAGAUUCAAGUCUUAAUAAAAACACCAUUCUUGAUCAAGGUUAGUUAAUGAUUCUCUUUCUCCCUCUCGCGCAUCUUAACUAAAUUUAAUUGCGAAUAUCUGUAAUGCUAGCUAUUUAUAAACUUAAUGAAAGAUGAUAAGGAGCCAUAAUAAUGACAAAAAUAACUGUAAAAUAGUGCACUGUUGUAGUGUUGAUUGAAAAAUAAUGCUAAUUUUUUACUUAACACUAUAACGCUGUAUAAUUUUACAGUUAUUUUGUUGCCAUUACGUCAUAUUCUACUGUUCAACUAUCAGUGAUCAAACUUAAUUUUUAAUAUGUACUUUAAAGAUUUUAUGCAAUUAUUUAAGUUUUAUGCAAUUAUAUUUUUCAGGACUUUGUCGGUUAGUGCAUCUGCAAGAGUUAUACAUCAACGGUAAUGAUUUGAGAGGUAGCUUGCCAUGGUGCUUGGCAAAUUUGACUUCCCUUCGAGUAUUAGAUGUCUCUUACAAUCAACUAACUGAAAACAUCUCCUCAUCUCCCCUCAUGCAUCUAACAUCUAUCGAAGAGCUCAUACUUUCAAAUAAUCACUUCUUCCAAAUCCCUAUUUCACUUGAACCACUUUUCAAUCUCUCAAAACUCAAGACUUUCGAUGGUGAAAUAUGCGCAGAAACUGAGUCACAUUAUAAUUCUUUGACCCCAAAAUUCCAACUGACUUCUAUCUCACUGUCUGGUUACAUAGAUGGUGGCACAUUUCCCAAAUUCUUGUACCAUCAGCAUGACUUGAAGAAUGCUGAUCUCUCACACCUUAACUUGAGUGGACAAUUUCCAAAUUGGUUGGUAGAAAACAAUACGAACUUAGAGACGCUUCUUCUUGCCAACAACUCUCUUUUUGGAUCAUUUCGGAUGCCAAUUCAUUCCCACCAGAAAUUGGCAAGAUUGGAUGUCUCUAAAAAUUUCUUUCAAGGCCAUAUUCCGGUGGAAAUCGGAACAUAUCUGCCAUGUUUAAUGGAUUUAAACUUAUCUAGAAAUGCUUUCAACAGUAGCAUUCCCUCUUCAUUUGCUGAUAUGAAAAUGUUGGAAAGGUUGGACAUAUCCUACAAUCAGUUGACUGGUGAAAUCCCUGAGCGCAUGGCCACGGGUUGCUUCUCAUUGGAAAUUCUUGCAUUGUCAAACAACAGUUUGCAAGGUCAUAUAUUCUCUAAAAAAUUUAACUUGACAAAUUUGAUGACGUUGCAGUUGGAUGGUAAUAAUUUCAGUGGAGAGAUCCCAGAAAGCUUAUCUAAGUGUCGUUUCUUAAGAGGAUUAUAUCUAAGUGAUAAUCAUCUCUCUGGUAAGAUUCCAAGAUGGUUGGGUAAUUUGUCAGCUUUAGAAGAUAUUAUAAUGCCCAAUAACAAUCUUAAAGGACCAAUUCCAAUCGAGUUUUGUCAGCUUGAUUAUCUGAGGAUUUUAGACCUUUCAAACAAUAGUAUUUUCGGAACCUUACCAUCUUGUUUUAGUUCAGCAUAUAUCGAACAAGUUCAUUUGUCAAAAAACAAGAUAGAAGGACGGUUGGAAAGUAUAAUCCAUGACAGCCCCAAUUUGGUGACAUUAGAUCUCAGUUAUAACCGCUUACACGGAAGUAUUCCAAAUCUGAUUGACAGACUACCUCAGUUAAGCUACCUUCUUUUGGCUAAUAAUUAUAUUGAAGGUGAAAUACCAGUUCAAUUAUGCCAGUUGAAGGAAGUGCGGUUGAUUGAUCUUUCUCAUAAUAAUCUAUCUGGUCAUAUUCCUCCUUGCUUGGUUAACACUUCACUCAGUGAAGGUCAUCAUGAGGCAGUAGCUCCAACUUCUAGUUCGCAGGAUCAAUCGCCUGCCUUACUUCCAUCUGAGGCUCCAACUGGAUCUCCGAUGGGAAAGGAAGAAACUGUACAAUUCACAACAAAGAAUAUGUCCCACUAUUAUCAAGGAAGAAUUUUGACGAGUAUGUCUGGGAUUGAUCUUUCUUGUAACAAACUGACAGGUGAGAUUCCUACUCAAAUUGGAUAUCUUACUAGGAUUCAUGCACUAAAUCUAUCUCAUAACAAUUUGACGGGCACAAUCCCGACAACAUUUUCAAACCUGAAGCAAAUCGAAAGCUUGGACCUCUCCUACAACCUACUGCAUGGGAAAAUCCCUUCUCAGCUCACUGUGCUAAAUACAUUGGCGGUCUUCACAGUAGCAUACAAUAACUUAUCAGGCAAAAUUCCAGACAGAGUUGCACAAUUUUCAACUUUUGAGGAAGAUAGCUAUGAGGGGAAUCCUUUUCUUUGUGGAUGGCCACUGUCUAAAAGUUGCAAUGAUAGUGGAUUAUCAGCAGUGACACGAGAAGCUUACACUGAUAAUGAAGAAGGUGAUAGUUUAAUUGACAUGGACAGUUUCCUAAUCACUUUUACAGUAUCUUAUGGAAUUGUGAUAUUAGGAAUUAUUGGAGUUUUAUACAUAAACCCCUAUUGGCGACGAAGAUGGUUUUACCUUGUUGAAGUAUGUAUGAUCUCUUGCUACUAUUUUGUAGUAGAUAAUCUUAUUCCUAGAAGAUUCUAUGGUGGAUGGAUGUAAUUUCAUUUACUUUACAACUUAUAUGUAAUUUUUAAAGAAUUUUCUUUUGCAUGCAUGGAAUAGCAACUCAAUAAAAGUAUUUGAUGCAAAUUGUCCUAGAACAACUUAGUAAUUUCAUUGCUACUAUUUGGUUGUAUAUAUACAGUUAAUGAAAUUUUUAAUCAUUCGCAGUAGGAAUUUCUUUAGAUGGCGGCCAAAACUAACAGAUUUGGGGCUCUACUUCUACACAUCAUAACAGGCAAAAGGUCUCUCUUUUACACGAUCUGAAUGAAGAUUAACUUACGCCCUCUAGGCUCUGGAGUGUGUGUAAGUUCUCUAUUAAACUUGACGGUUGAGAUUUCAGGUCCAGAUGAAAGUUAAAUGCAGGCGACGAGACUUCACUUCAAGUAAACUGGGACAAACUGAGAGUGAUGGGUAGCUCAACUUAUGGAGGAUAACUUGGACUUGGAGUAACUAUCAGAUUUGCAACUCUUGUUAUAUGCUAGUGGGGAUUUAGGUAGCAAUUAUCGCCUUGAGAGUUACAGUAAUCGAUUCAUUUCCUCCUCCAUUUCUGAUGGUAACCCAGCUCUAUACAAGAACAAUCAGAGAAGGUUCAUUUAAGAAAUUUCACAACCCACAUUUUUUUUUUCCUUUUUGCCCUCUUCCUCACAAUAAAAACACCUAACACACCAAGCCGUGCACAAAAUAGUCCUAUUUUAUUCAAGUCAUGAAUCCAAAAACUAUCCCAGCUCACUUUGUUUAACCAGCAUAACUAAAUUGUGGGCAUAAAUGAACACACUUUCAGAAAGCUACACAAUACAAACUGGGUUUCACUUGCAGAAAGCUACACGAUAGACAAAAUCUAGCAGCUACAUAAUGGUAUCACUUUCAGCUGGUCAUGAAUGGUGUGCAUUCAGCAAUGCUCGAUAGACCAUGUCUAUGAAUUGAUUGUCCUAUUACAUAUAAAAUCUGGUCAGAUAUACAAGGAAAAAAAUAAUAAUUGAAAAUGCAUCACAAAAAAUAAGUCUCGCAUUAGUGUUUGCACUCUAAGCAUGAUUUGAAGACUGCGAUAAGUGAAAAAUAGUUCAAUCCACUGAUGAGCAUAAAUUUAUUUAAAUGUCAAUUUAGAUAUCAUAAAAAAGUAAACAGUAAUUCACAGUCACUUAAAAGAGUUGAUAAAAUGCGUGCCAUGAAUGCAUUUUUGUACAUAAGAAAUCCAAAGAGUAUUUCUGACAAUACAAAUAUGCUAGCUUUAAAUCUGCCGUCAAUAUGCAAUUAAGAAGAUUAUACCAGCUGCACGAUAAAGUUCCCCUAAUCUUAAUAACAGUAAACAUGAACAUGUCAGAUGCAAUUAUAGCUUCGAGCAUUUGCAUAACCAGAAAUCCUAACCUGAACAAGCACCAGAAGUGUCUCUCGGACUUUCUCCUUGCUGAUAAAUGGUCCGCUGUUUGAAGUAAGAGCAGGAGUAAGAGAUGGUGGAGGGGUUGGUGGUGGAAAAGGUUGAGGGACUGGGGCACCAUAUGGGCUGCAACACUCAGGGGAGGAUUAAGUGGCGGAGCUGUUGGUGUAGAUGAAGAGACAAGCUGCAUCAUCCGUGCAUAGGAGGAUGGAGGAGGAACAAAGAAUAAGGAAGGCUUUACAAGAUUAGGGGUAGGUGCUGAUAGAGGUGGAGAUGGUAUUUGCAAGGUUGGCACGAUAGGAGAAGCAACACUGGCGGGAUGAGAAGAUAAAGAAAUAGUUGUAUUGGACUGGUAAGGUUGUGCAGAGAUUGCUGCAUUAGAAGUAUUCCCUACAGUCAAAGCUGUCUGCAAUGAUAAGGACAGAUGUCAUAUACAAGGACAUCAUAGAAGUUGAACCUCACACAAAAAUGAAGUGAUAACAUAUGAAAAUAGUAUAUGACUUGCAGCAUUUUUGUGGUAAUGUUGCAUACUUAUGUAGAAACAUAUUAUUUCAAAGAAAACAUACACUGAAGAAGUUCACAAAAGCAGGAUCUUCAGGAACAUCAGCAGCAUUUGAGGGAGUUGACUCUAGAGGACCAUCCAUAACUGCCAUAGUUGGAACAGCUUCCAGUUCCUCAAACUCACUGCAGUUUAACAUAAAAGGAACUUGAUGACCAAUUUAAGUAAUAAUUAGAUGAUAUAAGAGGUUAGGGAAAAUGAUGAGUGGACCCUUAUGGAAGGUGAUUUCACCUUAGCUAAACACGAAAAUAAAAAGAAAUCACCUCGAGUGCAAUGCAAAGAAUUUUUUCUCUCUCUUCUCUAACUCCUCUUAUUCGAAAUUGCUCAUCAUUGUGCUGUUCUUCGAGUUUUCGCUAGAGUAGAGAAAGCUAUUCUCCCGUUAAGUGCAGAGGAAAGAGAAGGGAAAGGGCCUGGUAUGAUGCUAUUCUAUAGGAAGUGAGAAGGUGAAGGGUCGAAAUAUUUUGUAAUUUGGAGGUGGUGUUUGUUAGUGUGUGUGUACUUCUGAAUUUAUUACCUCUGUAGGAUCCAUAGAAAUUGCCUCUUGUUCAGCAUGCACUGUGCCUACGAGUAAGGCGAGCUUGCAUGGUAUCUAUUGUCUAUUUACUUGGAUAUUCAAACAGGACUACCAGUAACACAAAUCCCCAAACAAAACACUCUUUCAAGUGCAAGGAAAGAGUAACUUGGCCAUAUUUAUGGUUCAAGCACUACAAUAACUAAGAAUGUGAUGACUGUCCACAAACACUAUAUCAGUGCCUUUUGAACUACAUCACAUGCUCGAAGACUUUUUUUUUUAGUCAUACAUAAAUUAGCUAUAAAAUUAAGACCAUUAUACAACUAAAAAGAAAGAAAAAUUGUUUGCUACUACAUAUCAAUGUAAGAUGGCAGACUUCUUACUUAAACAGAUGAGAGGCUACAAAUAAAAAAUUUGUGCAAAUAAAAUAUAUGAUAAAGAGCAUAAUACUUUCUUGGGGGCUAAAAAUAAUAUACAACUUGUGAAAUAUAAAUUGAGCUACCAUUACCUUUUAGAUGUGGCAACUUUCGACUUUUGAGGCACCUUGGAAUAUGCAUUCAGAAUCCUGCAUUUGGAAGCCAAAUAAAUAAUGUUAAUAACAAUUUUACAAUAGAAAAAUUAAAAAUUGAUAAAUGGCAGUUGUAAUUUAUGUAUGCGUAAAGAUAGCUUCACAUCCAGGGUCCUCCCAUAAACAUGCUUGUAACAAGAAUUAGUUUGCCUCAACUGUUAGCAACUGCUAACAAUAUACAAUAGUAAAAAUCACUCUUAUGAAGUCAACAAUACUAGGCACCAAUAAGAGUAUGAUACAGCCAUUCUAAAAUGGAAGAGAAUACAACUGUUUUACAACUUUGUUGCAUCAGGAGAUAUGUUAGGAGGAUUAAUCCAGAUACCUUCCAACCCAAUUAGGAAAACUCGAGUCAGAAACAAGGAGCUGCAACCGAACCUUACAAUCUUGAAGGAAGAAGGAGACUUGGGGCAUUUUUCCAGAUAGGUGACUUACUAGAUCUCCUGCCAAGAGAAUAUCUAUUGCUUUGAACCUCCAUUGAAUUUUCUUUUCCCUUUUUCUGGUUUUGACUUGGAACUUUCCAGCAUCAUCUAUUUGAUCUUUUUUAAAGCGAAAAAAGCAAUCUAUGGGUUGUCAACAUCUUAUCACCCCCCCCCCCCGGCCCCCAAAAAAAAAUCAAUGAGUUGUCAAUAAAUAGCGCCUACUCAAAUGUUUUCCAAUGUAUAACAAUGUGCAAAUCGACCUAGUAGCCACAUUUUUCCCCGGUUUCAACCACCGUAUGCAACUUUUCUAACCUUCCUUCAUUGCCCACGUCUACAGAACUAUCAUAUAAAGACUACAUUAUUAUUGGGAUAGAGAAAAAAAUACAGACUAUAUUAUUAUUAUAUCUCAUUUUAUUAAUUAACUAGUGCAAGACUUAUUUAGUGUCAAAUCAAGAACUAAUUAGAAAAGACAACUCAUGAUAAUACAGACCUUAAAAAGCAAUAGCUAGGACCACCCCAUAUACUCCUAUUUUAGCCUUCAAUAUCCUGGUAAAAACACAAUUAAGUCUUGCAAAAGAACAUUCACAAGUAAAUUCAACAUUAAUUAAGAUUAAGUAUCUACUGCACCUUCAAUCAAUGACUGGGUGAAUAGCAUGGUCAACCAUCCAGUUCCUGUAGCCCUCCUUGUACCUAUGUUAGUUACAUUUUACAUAUUAAGCCAGGAAAAUGAAGGAUCACAGCCUGGUAAAGAAAGCCAUUAAUUAAUAGUUUUUGUUUAACAAGUUCUCGUUUAGAUCUUUCCUAUUCAAUGAAUCAAUGUAAUCCAAGGAGAACUCUUCCAUUUCAAGCAGUGUUAGAAGAUAAUUGGAAAGCCUAAAGAUAAUAUACAAGGACCAAGAUAUCAAUUAGGUCAAAUAGUGAAUGUCAAAUAUAAAAAAUAAAUAAAAGAAGUUGUACAUGAUCAUUUACUAUCAAGUUCUGUAAAACUGAAAAUACCAUUAUCCCUAUAGAGAUUCUCAAACAACUCUUUAGCAAAUUAUAAAAUAGUUAAAAAAAGAACGAAAGUUUAAAAAAAAAAAAUGUACAACAGCCAUAUCAGGAGAUGUUUUUCUUCUCAAUCUCAAUAUUUUCUAGCCGUAAAACAAUUGAAAAGCUUAACACCAAGUGAAUUAUUAAGAAUUCAUCAUUUAAAUUCCCAAAUCGCGAAAUGUUGGUGCAACUAGGAAAGUGCAAAUGCAAUCACUUUACUAACACAAGAAACAUCAAUAGUGAGAAGCCAACUUUGUAUCAAAUUUGAAACAGAUAGAUAGAGGUCAAAAAAAUUAUAAAGACACUCAAUUAAAAGCCUUUCAAACAGCUUUUGCAUGCAACAAGAACAAAUCAAAGGCGAUGUGAAUGUAUUGAAAGACUAAUUUACAAUCAUCUACAGGACAUAAAUAUCUUGGAUAACUACUCUCUAUACCUUACUGUCCCACUGAAAAUCAUCAAAUCCCUCCAAACAAAAAUGACAAAAUGGAUAAGAAUUGUGUGGUCAAACUUCAAUAACUUAGCAGCCACAGCAAAAACUUAUGUAGACACGCAAGCCACUCAAAAUAGUCAUAUUGUUUGCUUUCCAAACACAAGCCACUUUGUAAUGAAUAUUCAUAAAUUGCUACUACCAUGUUUGUUAAAACACGUGAAAACCACCAUCACUAACUAAAUGUAACUAAUGAUCAUCAUCACGUUCAUGGAAUCACAUGUCUGACAGUAUUAAUUAGUGCAAAUGGCAUGCUUCUUAAAACUCCUUAUUUAUCACAUGGGUGGCAUUCCAAUCAACCAAUGAUUCUGAUCUAGUCAGCAUAUUCAACCCACGAGCCAGUAAUACCUCCAUUGCUUCUUUAGAUUUCUCAACAAAAUUCCACAUUCUAACCAUACUUCUGAACUUGUUGCUCCCAUAGACUAAUACAAUAUAAAGAUUUCUUCCCACACCACCUCAGCCCUCACUCCUAAAAAACCAAUUUAAAUUCUCAUUGACUGUACAACCUAUAGUCCAUACCAAAUUGAAAAAUUUACAAUAUAGAACCUCAAAGAAUCUUCUUGCGUUCCAUUUUUUACGGCAAGAAAAUUGACUUUUACCACAUGCAAGUCAACAAAUAAAACAAUCAUGUCUUUGUGAGAUGCACAUUUUCAGACGAAUCUGAAGAACAAUGAAACCAUAAAAACCUAAUAUGAGAACACCGAGGACUCCAGAUAUCAUCUAUAGAAUCUUUGGUCCACCCUUGCAUGAUGAAAAAAAAUUGAAGGCUUCGUCACCAACUCCCCAGGUUGUUUUGUUCUCCUAUCUCCUAAAUGUAAAUGAAAGACAACCCGUUCUUUUUCCAAUCUUCAGGGGCACAGAACGACUCUAGUAUUAAAUAGUCAGUUUCUAUACAAAAAUAACUCCUUUGCACUUGGCACUGCACAUCUCAAAAUAAAAAGCAUGCAAGGAGGAGAAUAUAAUAGCAGUAAACAAGUUUUAUUAACCAAACUUCAAAGAUGCCACACAAGGCAAAAAAGAAAUCUGUACAAGCCAGAUCCCAAGAAUAAUAAUUCCAAUAUACAAUUCAUGAAAACAAUAACAAAAACCAUGUUCAUGAGGCCUCAGCAGAAGCAACAUGUAAUAACCAUACUCUAUUAUUUGAAACACAUUUCCAAGUUUGGUUAAGAUUCUAAACUAUUCUCUAUCUGUCAAUUAUUAACAUGUAAAACAUAAUAAUAUACACUUAAACUACUACAGUAGUAAAACCAGUAAAACAACAAUACCUGCUAAAAAGAUUUGCUACCUCUUCACAUUCACGAGCAUUGUAGAACCAAAUCCCAUUUACUUCUUGCGAUGCAUUCCGAUAUAACAAAUACGGAACCUGAACUUCAAACUCUAAAUCUCCCAAAAGAUUUUCCACUAAAUUAUCUGCACAUAUACAAGAUAUUGAAGCUUAUCAGUGCAAAAACAUAUACAAAAAGACAUGAAGGUUAGGAGACAUAACUAAAACUUAGCAACAACUGAUAAGCACAACAAGACAUGAAAUAUAACACUAGUUGUAAACAAGAUAGACACACGGUAUCUAAAUAAUUGUACCAACCCCCUCUCCUGAUUGUCAUAAAAUGGCCAAUAUUUAACGCUAGACAACAACAUUGCAAAUACUCUAGCCUCUAUAUUAUUGGCAUAUAAAUAUUUUCGGUUAGGUACAUUAUAUUCUUCGUUCUAAAACCUCAAUUAUUAGCUAGUACUGUGAUAAAAUGAUUCAUCACUGAAAUUAAAACUAGUUCACGUACAAAUAAUCAAAACUGAAAUAGAAACAACGACAAACCAACCUGUAUUACGUCGAUUCAUCACAACAAACUGAAAUCGAGGCUGUGUGUUCCUGAAAAUUGAAAAAAUAAUAAUUUCAUCAACUUCAUAUGUAAUACAAUCUCCAAAACACCGAAUAUCAAAUAAAAAAAUGGAAAGCAUACGAGGGAAAAUAAUCUUAUUUUAUGACCUUUUGACGACGAAGAGAGAUCCUUCAACAUCCUUACGACUCCAUUGGCUGAGAUCGAUGUUGAACUCGUAGAAGGUGACAUGAGCGGCCGUGAUGAGGAUCUCCUCAAUGAAUGGAUCAAUUCGCUGAAGAACCGUCAGGUUUAGGAGUUUUGUGCUCUGCUGGUCCAGAUUAGGCAUCAAUUUUCCGUUCUGCGACAUAUUUCAUAGUCCUUUUGGGCUCUGCCCCCAGCACAAGCCCCAUGGUUUUUCUGUGAGCUCUCUCUUUUGUAAAUAAAGUGUUCGAUGAGAUAGCCGAGAGAGAGUGAAAGAGUUGAACAGCCAAACAAGGUGAGGUGAACAGUUUCGGACCGAGACUCGAGAUUGAUCUUGCUUUAACUUCUUUUUAAACAUUUGGGAAAUAGCAUUUAUUUCUUUCAAUUUCUCUACUUUUUUUUUCCUUUAUGUCAUUUAGACCCCAAAAUUAGAUUUAUUAUAAUCAUAUUUUACCCAUACACUAUUAACCCAUUUUAUUUUUUAAAUUGUCAAAUAUUAAUGUAUUAAAAUAAUGUUAGAAAUCCCAAUUAUUAUCUCAAUGUUUCAAUCAUAACUAAUGUGAUAACUCAUCGGUAACUGCAACAUUAACUUAAUUAUUAAUGUUUAUCAUGAAAUGAUGAGAUUAUUAUUCAAGAAAAACUUAGUAAACAUCAAUGACUAAUAUAAUAUGACAAUUACAGCUGAAUAUUAGUACAAGAAUUAGGAUCCCUAAAGUUAGUGAAUGUAUUAUAAUAUAUGUGUGUUACACCACUUUAUGUCUCUCAAAUUUAAUUAAGUAAUUUUAUAUUCAAUGAAUCAAUGUAAUCUAAAGAGAACUCUUCCAUUUCAAACUGUGUUAGAAGAUAUUUGCAAAGCCUAAAGAUAAUAUACAAGGACCAAGAUAUACACAGAUUGUUUCUUUAUGGAAUUAAAGAGCUUUAUAGAUGUUAAAACUGUUUCAAACAAUUUUUCUUGUUUGGUUUAACUAAGGAAGAGCUUGUGGAAGAUUAAAAAUGAUGUUUCCUAUUCUCUGUAGGAAGCUUUUAGGAGAUAUUUUGGGCUUUUUUGAAAGGUUGAAUUGUCAAAAAUACCUUCAUGUUAUUGUUUGCUAAAAGAUGUUAUGGACAACUAAACAACCAACGACAUUUUGUUAAAAACUCUACUAGUGUAGGAUCUACUUAAAGAAGUUAUACCAAACAGACUCUUAGACUGAAUAACCCGAUCUUAAGUUUGUAAAAUUGGGCUCAGAAUCUUCACUAACAACCCCGCUUCGGUGAGAAAGCCCAAGCCUGUUACUUUGUAUAACCUUAUUCUGUAUGUUUGAUUGUAGGAACUGGCCAAUCAUACCGACGAGGUGAGUGUGCAGCAUGAGGUGCUUGACGGGAUGUUUACUUUCAAUGAUACAACUAAAGCUAGCCUCAACAUAUAUCAGGUGCCUGCUUGUUUUUGCCUUCUAGAUACUAAUAUUGUUUAGACGUGUAAUCUCUCUCUCCAUUGAACGCUAGCCAAGAGAAAUGUCUGAAUUAUCGAAACAAGAUGAAUUAUUUUUUGUUUAUCGCAGCAGACGAUCUAUGAGCAGAAUUUCUUACAACAAAAGAUGUGUGUCCACCGGCUUGUAUUUAGUCUCGUAAUGCAUUUUAUAUAUAUGCACGCGCACACAGUUUGAGAAGAAUCAGACCAUUAAUUUUCGUUUGAGCCAAUCAACAGAAUGUACAUUUCUUCUAUGAACUUGUAACCGAAACCGCAGUUUUUCAGGUUUGAUGCAUCUGGGAAAAUUUUCAGAUGGAAUAAAACCACCAUGCGCCAAGGUACCAAUGAUGUUUCUUCCAGCUUACGAGCACUUCAAAUAAACUUAGGUCAUAUUUACACAAGGGCGCACAUGAUAUCAAUCUAAUGGCAAUUAUAUCAUCUAAAAUCCAAGACCAAGAGUCUCCCAUUUUCCCGUUCCCUACUCUGUUCAUAUUAUCAUAACUUGAAGUUGCAAGGCAGCCGCAAUCUCCCAGAUCUUUGCUCCUUCCUCAUAGCAGUUAAUCAAACGAUAAACAGAGAUAUCCCAUGUCAACAAGGAGGUAAUCAUAAAAGAACAACAGAAUUGUUGCAAUAUAUUCAUAUGAAAUGUAAAACAAUUUUGAGAAAAAAUAUUGGGAAGAUAUUUUUUUUUUCAUAGAAGUUGCAAUCUUUACGUUAUAUACUAGUUUGACUAGACUAUACAAGGAAGCUAUAUGAAAUUAGAAAAAUAAGCUAUACUAGGAAAGAAUAAAUAUAUGUACAGAAAAUUAGGCUAUAAUCUCUGACUUUCAACAAAUUUAAUAUCAAUUUUCUUCAGGAAGUUGUCUCGCAAGGGGCGCAUCAGUAUUGCAACGUCUGCUGGGUCUUACAUUAUCCACAAAAAUAACUCGUCCAUCUAGUAACUGCAAGUACAUACUGUGAGAUGCUUAAACUCAACAAUAUAAGCAUGGUAAAUUAGAGAAAAAUGAUGCAAUUUUACCUUCCCAUUCAUGUCUGCCAAGGCUUUUUGGGCUUCCUCUUAUGUACUGAAAGUCACAUAUCCGUAACCUUUUGAUCUAUUCUUACCUUAUCCAUUAUUAUUGUAGCUGCAAAAAGAAAAGAAUCGGAUAUUACAAAAUAGUGAAGAGGGAAGAGGGGUUGAGACUUAAAACAGAAAUAGACCAAACCCUCAGUGACGUGGCCAAAUUGUGAAAAAGCAUCAGCUAACAUGCCUUUAGUGGUUGAGAAAGAUGCGCCUGCAAAGGAUGCCAGUUAAUUUUAUCAUAAUUAGAUGGUAAGAUUGCAAAUUCUGCAGCCAAAGGUAGUACGGAACUGAAUGAAGGAAAUCAAAUAUGAAUAUGUUGUCAAUCUCAAAAUAUUAAGAGUAGCAUAAGUAACUUGUGAAACAGUUAUAAGUUCAAGGGAAUUAGAUGAUGGUAUGGUUGAAUUUAUAAAUAUUUGAUAUUUAACAAGUUAGUGUGUACUAUGCAAUUGCAAAAUUUAAGUUCCACAGAAUCGGUUCCUUUAACAUGAUGCAUCACAUAAUAUUUUGUUUGCAAAAUAAAGAAGAAAGAUGACAUAAUAGAAACACUCACAGAGAGAGAAUACCUUUGACGAAAAGCUUAGAAGUGAAUCCUCUGUAAAAUACGAGUUGAGCUGCUGAAUUUUCGAGUUUGAAUGAGAGACUGCGGCAAUUCUGAAAAUGUUUUUUUCUCAUUAGCGCCGCCAUUUUUGUAAUAGAGGGUAAAGAAAUAAGUAACAGAGUAAGAGGUGAGCAGAAACGGCCCAAUUUAGUUAUAUGCCAUGCAUGCGAUCAAAAUUGAAUGGUUAAAUGGCAGCCACUAUGUUACAUCUUGUGUAAGUAACAAACCGCCUACAUGGAUCGUUGGAUUUGGGAAUAUGAAAUCCAAUGGAUAAUAUUGAAUUUAACGAAAAAUAGAUUACAGGUUGCAUUAGUCCAAGAUUAUUUCAAACAAACCAGCUGAUGAAAUAGCCGCUAAUCAAAUUUAAAAGGGAAAAAAAAUCAUAGGUUAUAGAUCUUAUUUCCAUCUUAAAUCUAUGUCUUUCAUGGUAACUCAAUGUGUAUUCUAAUUUAUAAUUUGGAUCUAUAUUAGAGCUAAUGCUUCCCUAAAUAACUAAGAAAAUUUUCUUUUCAUUGAUUAAAUAUCUAUUUCCAAGAUCUUGUAUAUGUAGGAUUUGAAAAGAGGGAGAAUAGUAGGGUUGAUAAUGAGAGAAGAUAGAGAUGUCCAUUCUCAAAUCUAAUAUUAAUGCUAUACUUAUGUUCCUAUACUAAAUAAAUUAUCCAAGGUUCGUGGUUAAUGAUAAGUUGCGAAAUUUUAAUUUCUAUUUAAAGUUUUGUCUAAUAUGGCUUUUCAUAAAGCUUAGAGAAAAGUAGAGCUUUUACAAAAAAACAUUUAAUUAGAAUUGUGAAUGAUAAAUUUUAUUAAAAUUUUUUAAAAAGUACUUUAAUAAAUAAGCUUUUAAAGUUAUAUAUAUUAUGAAAGAAAUGAAAUAAGAUUAUAUAAUAAAUUAAGAGUAUCUUAGAUAAUUGAACUUAAAAAAAAAACUCGCUAAGAGGAUUAAAAUUUGAGUUUUAAUAGUGGAUACAAAAUAGUUUAUUUAAUUCUCAAAAGCUCUACUCAAAAUAGUUUAUUUAAUUCUCAAAAAAUAUUUUUUUCAAUGAGUAAAUAAUACUAAACAUGCACUAAAGUGUUAGGACCAGAAGUUGUCCAAAUAAAAUCAUGAAAUUAUAUGCUGUUGGAUGGAUAUUUUUCAAAUUUGCUGUAGUUUUUUUUUCUUUUCUGCUGGGAAAUUGAAAUGAUGGCUACAACUUAAAUUAUGAAUGGAGUAAUCGGAGAAUAUUGAAACCCAUUUAAUUUGGAUCGUGCAUUGAGGGACGAAAGGAUAAAAAAUUUAAUUUUGAAAUUGCUGUUGGGUACGGUACAAUGACUUACCGUUGACAGCUUGUGCAACCGGAUUACAAUCGGUUAGUUCAAUAAUUUUAUAUCCCUAUUCAACCGCCACGUGCUGCUGUUACAUGGGUCAAUUACUCAUGUCAUUACUGUUACUUACAGCUGCUGUAACAUAACCGGACCCAAAUGGUUAAAUUCUGUUGUUUCCAAUAAUUUUAUGCUGUAUCUUCUUUAAUAAUAAAGAAAACUUGCAUUAAAAUUAAAAUUAGGGUAAUGCCUGAUUUUAUAAAUAGAUUGCAAUGUAAUUUUGAAAAAUAAAUUAAUAAUUUACGAAAUGUUUAUAACAUAAUUUAAUUUUUUUCAAAAAGGAAAAACAACAAAAGUAAAAAAUAGAGAAUGAGGGCUACAAACUUUGCAUCUUAAACGGCCGUUAGAUUAUUUGUAAAUGAAAGCAACGGUCAGAUAUUGGUGGAUUAUGGAAACAUGUAAUCAUAAGGACUACGAGUUUUUUUUUGUUACAUUAAUAUAUUACAAUCAAAAUUCUGUUGGUAUUUAGAACCAGAAUUUCAUUUGACUAUCUUUGAUAAUUCUAAGCUGGUACAGCCUAAAUUCUUAUUCUCAUAUAAUAUCAAAGAGAGAUAUAUAUUCUUCUCCUCUAUUAAUAAAGAGACAUUUUUACUUCUAUCCAAUUUAAAUAGAACAAGAAUUAAGUCAUUUUAAUAGUUAGGACUCAAAACUCAUACACGUUAGUUUGAGAGUGUGGGGUGUGACAAUGGGCCAAGAGACCAUUGACAAAUACAAAAGAGUGGCAGAAAUUAAUUCAAACCGCUACACACGCUAUUGCAACCAAAUUGAGGGCACAUUUUUGUUUAUUUUGUUGAAAAGUAGUCUGUAAAAUUAACUCAAACCGCUACAUACGCUAAUGCAACCCAAUUGAGGGCCCAUUUUUGUUUAUUUCGUUGAAAAGUAGUUUGCGCAAUUAAUUCAAACCGCUACACACACUAUUGCAUCUUUUGAAAAAGAAAAAUGGAAUAAUUUUUCAAAAUUAAUUUAGAGAAUAAGAUUUACUAAUAAUGAUGUUAGAAAUCUUAAUAUUUGAAUCUUAAUAUUAUCUAUAGAAAUCUUAAUAUUUGAAUCUUAAUAUUAUCUAUCACUCAUUUAUUAAAUAAUAAAUUUCAUAGUUUGUAAAAUUACUUAACCACUUGAUAAAUGUUAUAUUUGUUGGGACUAGAUUGGGACUUAAAUAUUAGAAUAUCUAGUAUUACAUAAAAAAAAUUAACAAUUUAUCUUCACACGACUAAUUGUUUUUACAUCACAACUAACCUUAAUUAUUUUAAAAGUUAUAGUAUUAUUAAAUUGCCCUAACUAGUUAUCAAAAGGUGAAAGCAUGUUUUAAAAAGAAAUUACUAAGAAACAUUUGUUUAAACGAAGGUUAAGGUUAUGAUCAAUUAAUUAAGAAGAAACUUACUAUCAAAGGUUAAGAUUAUGAACAAUUUAAGGAAGUUAUUGAGCAGAGAAAGGGACAGAAUGGAUGUUUGAAUUGCCGGUGACAAGAAUGCUUGUGUUGUGAAAAGAAAUCCGAUGGUUUGUAAAUGGGUUGAAUUUUUCGCUCGCUUCAAUGACUUGCUUAUGCCCAAUAUAUUACUUUGCACAGUAGUAUUUGGGAUCCUAACAAUCAACUCUUAAUUUGGUCCCAAUAUAUUACUUUAUGAAUGAUUAGUUAAUAACUAUCAUGUUAAAGCUUCUGUCAAGCAAACACCCAUUGAAUUUUUCGCUCGCUUCAAUGACUUACUUAUGCCCAAUAUAUUACUUUGCACAGUAGUAUUUGGGAUCCUAACAAUCAACUCUUAAUUUGGUCCCAAUUAGUAUAGUAAUCAUCUAUUGAGCGGUAAAAUUUUCUUGCUUUCAAUUUCCACUGUUAUUUUUUUUAAAUAAAAUAAUUUAUUUAAACUAGUCAUAGAAAUAAGAGAGAAAAGGGGUCAUUUCUUGACUCAAAGUCAAUUGUAAUUAUCAAAACUUGAGGGGACAUCGCAUGCCUAAAUUCCACACACCCUAAAACGGUUUGAUUUGCUUUCAGGCGUUCAUGAAUUUCCAUGAAAGAGCCUGCCUUUCGUCUCUUUCGGGACAGUGACUACAAUAAUGGAAAAAAUUAUAAUUCUCGUUAGAUUGUAACCAAAUUAUUAUCCCUAAUUUUUUUAAGUUAAAUAUAAUUAAAUUCAUGCUUAAGUAUUUAGUAAUUAGAGAGAGAUAGAGAGGAUUGAGGGCCAAUGUUUCGCGAUUUGGGGUCAAUUUAAAGUCAACUAACGUGUAAAACACGUGUAUGCAUAGAAAACGCUUAGAUUAUUUGUGUUCCCAAGUGCAAGAAAUUAAGAAAAGAAAAUUUGAUUUCCUUUCAUGAACUUCCAAGAAAGAAAGAAGACCCUUCACCUUGUUCGUGACAACAAAUGAAUGAAUGAUGUUGAUAUGACAAAUACAAGCGCUAUUACAGGGAACAGCAUAAGAUCGAGACUUGAUAAAGGGUUUGUUAAAUUACAUGUUAUUUUCUUUUGACUUGAAUGAUGUUGAAGAAAAAAAUAAAAUAACAUUGUAAUCAGGGUGAUGUGUGGAAUAUAGUGAAAUAAAUAAAUAGAGAAGAGAAAUUCGUUGAUCAAUAUUCAAGAACUCAUCCAAAGUGAUCGUCAAAGUCUAGAGGUUCGGUAUGAUUAGCAUUUAUUUUUAUUUUUUUUUGGCUUAGCAUCAUAUAUAGUCACCUGUCGUGUGAUCUAGGACAUGUUUAGAAAUCCUUUUAUUUUAACUUCCGUAUUCUUAUUAUUUAAUUAGUUAUUGGGUUUUUAAGUAUUUGAGUAUUGAUCACAUGUCUCCUAAUCUAAAAAUAUGUUUUUAAGAGUACAAAUAACAAACUAGGAUUUUAACAGCCUUUUAUACUAAACCCUAAAAAUACAUGAAUUUAUCAAAAUAAGUAAAUUAAUUUAAAUUGGUAUGGCAUAUUAGAAGUUUUACCAGCCGAAACAAAUUAAAAAAAUAUUACACUUAAAUCAAAUAUUGACAAAAAUAGAUAACAAUCUAAUGAGAAUCUUAACUAGACAUUUUUACUUCUAUCCAAUUUAACUGGAUAAAUUGACAAAUAUUGACAAAAAUAGAUAACUCAUACACGCUAGUUUGAGAGUGUGGGGUGUGACAAUGGGUCAAAAGACCAUUGACAGGUAUAAAAGAGUGGUCGCAAUUAAUUCAAACCGCUACACACGCUAUUGCGUCUUUUAAAAAAGAAAAAUGGAAUAGUUUUCCAAAAUUAAUUCAGAGAAGAAGAUUUACUAAUAAUGAUGUUAGAAAUCUUAAUAUUUGAAUCUUAAUAUUAUGUAUCACUCAUUUAUUAAAUAAUAGAUUUCAUAGUUUGUAAAUUUACUUAACCACUUGAUAAAUGUUAUAUUUGUUGGGACUAAAUUGGGACUUAGAUGUUGGAAUAUCAAGUAUUGCAUAAAAAUAAAAAAUAAAAACUUAACAAUUUAUCUUCACAUGACUAAUUGUUUUUACAUCACAACUAACCUUAGUUAUUUUUUAAAGUUAUAGUAUUAUUAAAUUGCCCUAACUGGUUAUCAAAAGAUGAAAGCAUGUUAAAAUAAGAAAUUACUAAGAAACAUGUGCUUAAACAGAGGUUAAGGCUACGAACAAUUAAGAAGAAACAACUUACAAUCAAAGGUUAAGAUUAUGAACAAAUUAAGGAAGGUAUUGAGCAGAUAAAGGGACGAAAUCAUUGUCUGAAUUGCCGGUGACAAGAAUGCUUGUGUUGUGAAAAGAAACCUGAUGGUUUGUAAAUGGGUUGAAUUUUUUAUUCGGUCGCUCCAACUGACUUACUAAUGCCAAAUUUAUUACUUUGCACAGUAGUGUUUAGGAUCCUCAAGAUCAACUCUUAAUUUGGUCCCAAUUAGUGUAGAAAUCAUCUAUUGAGCAAUAGAAUAAGAAUUUUUCUAGUCAUGAAAUUCAAUAUAUAAUAUAUCCUUGACACACAUCGAUUAUAACUUAACUGUUAGAAUUCAUAACAUUACUCUACUCUCAAGGGGAGUUCUCUUAACAUAUUAUGUUAGGUUGCCUACAUUCAAAAUAUGUUAGGCUGCUCUUUGAAAACAAUAUUCCUUUUUCCGUAACUUUGAAUUGAUCCAAUAGCUCUUGAAAAGCACAUAAUAAUCAUUAUAAAUUUAAUCAAAGACUAAGCAAGUCUUCUUUGCAUUUGAUCACUGGCAUUUCAGUUAAGUUUGUCAUUUACUUAAAUUUUUCUUGCUUUCAAUUUCCACUGUUGUUUUUUUUAAUAAAAUAAUUUAUUUAAACUAGUAAUAGAAAUAAGAGAGAAAGGGGUUUUCUUGACUCAAAGUCAAUUAUAAUCAUCAAAACUUGAGCGGACAUUGCAUGCCUAAAUUCCACGCACCCUAAAACGGUUUGAUUUGCUUUCACGCGUUCAUGAUUUUCCAUGAAAGAUAGUGCCUGUCGUCUCUUUCCGGACAGUGACUACAGUCAUGGAAAAAUUAUGUUAAAGUGACGAAUACAAAACGUUAUUACAUGCAAGAAUAAGUUUUUGGAGCCGAGACUUGAGGGAGGUUCUAUCUAAUUCUAAAGAUUGUAACCAAAUCAUUAUCCCCAAUUUUUUUCAGUUAAAUAAAAUAAAAUUUAUGCUUAAGUAUAAAUAAUUUUUUUAAGUUAAAUAUAAAAUAAAAUUCAUGAACUUCCUAGAAAGAAAGAAGACCCUUCACCUUCUUCACGACAACAAAUGAUGUUGAUAUGACAAAUACAAGCGCUAUUACAGGGAACAGCAUGAGACCGAGACUUGAUAAAUAUUAAAUAUAUAAAAUAAGUGGAGCAAACAAACAGAAUAAUAGAUUUUUAUAAUAUUCUUCAUAAAAAUCCAAGUUUUGAGCUGGCCCAUAAGCUUAUCUAGUGAAGUCUGGGUAUCCGCAUUGCCCAAGGUUCCGCUUGAAUCCAGGCUGUGCUGAUAUUUAUGACAUCCCAUAUGGACGGAGAGGAAAUAUAUUCAGUUGACUGAAUUAAAUAAAAAUAUAUUACAAUCAUAUUAUAUAUUAGCAGCAAAAAUAAAAAGAAAUGAAGAAAAACGCUGUGUGGUUCAAAAAGAGUGUGGGUGAGUGAGUUAAUUUUCAUAUUAUUAGUAGUAAAAGGGUGGUGGAGUGAGGGAUGUUUGGAGCAAGAGAGGUCUGCUCUCCUCCAACUCAAACAUUUCUUCGAUGAUGAUCACCGUCUUCAAAACUGGGUAGACGAUGAGAAUUAUUCAGAUUGUUGUCAGUGGGAAGGGGUUGAGUGCAAUAACACCACUGGCAGAGUGAUUGAAUUAUAUCUAGGAGCCACUAGGAAUCGGGAAUCAGCAGAGUGGCAUAUGAAUGCUUCUCUGUUUACUCCCUUUCAACAAUUAGAGUCUCUUGAUUUAAGUUUGAACAAUAUAGCCGGUUGUGUUGAAAAUGAAGGUCCUUAAUUUACUUUAUUUUAAUUCUUCCUAUAAAUUUCUUACAUUUAUCUGAUCCCUUUUGGCUUUUGUUUAAUUUGUACGUGAUACAAUAAAAUUAUUUUUUAUUUUUUGGCAGGUCUAGAUAGGUUAUCAAGGUUGAACAACUUGAAGUUUCUUUUUUUAGACUUUAACUGCUUCAACAACAACAUCUUUUCAUCUCUAGGUGGUCUUUCAUCACUCAGGAUCUUAUCAUUGUUUCUUAAUAGAUUGAAUGGAAGUGUUGACAUUAAAGGUAAAGUAAGCUUCAUCCCUUCUCCCGUGUCCCAUCUUUUGUGGAUCUUAUUUCAUCGACCAGCUGGAAGUAUUGAUACGAGAUCUUGCUAGUGCAAGCUUCAAGGCUUUGAGUGCUACAAAAAUAGGUCUAAGAAAUUAUCAAUACAUAACGUUAUUACAUACAAUAAUAGUUCUAAAGAUUGUAACAAAAUCAUUAUCCCCAAUUUUUUUAAGUUAAAUAAAAUAAAAUUCAUGCUUAAGUAUAAAUAAUACUUUGGACAUUCUUGAUAUUUGUCCUUUUAAGAUAAACAGCAACCCAAUUAUCUAUUUGUUUGUCUGUUUUUUUUUUUUCAAUAACAGUUUGUUAGCAUAAAUAUUUACCUGUGAAGUCGAGGAGGAGAAAAUGUUAGAAAAAAUAAAAAGAAAAAAAAUUAAGGGGGAUAGAAUUAGAUUUUCUUUUUUGAGCAAAGAACAUACGUAAAAAGAUAUUAAAUCUAUUAAGUCUAAUUGUCUAUAACGGUAAAUUGCAUAACGAAUAAUUUAUUAGCGUAAAAUAAAUUUUAUUAGAUUCUGAUUAUUUGUUUGAUUUCUUUUCUCUCUGGACUCAACUUAUUUUGUUUAUUUGAUUUGAUUUUAUUUUUUUUUUAAAGAAACUUAUUGUUUAUCAAUACUGAAUGGCUUAAGAUUGAUGUCUUGAUAAUAGAUGGGGCAAUAUUGCAUUUUUAAUGCAGUAGACUUUGAAGUUAUCAUUGACAAGCUUAGAUGAAUUACUAGGACCAUAAUACAAAUGUCACAGGCAUCGAAGGCACUUACCAAGUUUUGAGUACAUUCCUGUUCCUAUCUAAUAGUUUUUAAUUUCUUUAAUUUAAGACCCCAUUCAUUAAUAUUUUCUUUAUUGUGAAGUUAAUUUUUUUAUCUGAAAUUAAAUUUUUUUUUUAAAUUGUUGACUUAUAGUUUACCUUUGUGUUAAAUGUUGGCAAAAUUAUUUUGUCCAAACCAUUUUUUUUGUCCUGAACGUCCAACUAAAAACUGAAUCAAGGGUUAAGUUGUAAGGUUUCAGUUCGUCCGUUAUAUUAAUUUAUUGUUUUAAUAUUAUGCAGUACAAAUAGGUGUAUAAGUCCAGAGGCGGAUGCAGCACAUGACCAGUGGGGGCUUGAGCCCCCACUGGCCAAAAAAAAAAAUUAAAAAUAAAAGAAUUUUUAAAAUUUUUUAAUUAGCCUCAUUAAAUUUAUUAAAAUAGUCACUAUAAAAUAUAAAUCCCAUAAAAUUUAAACUUUGAUUUUUAAAAAAUAUAAAAAUAUAUAUUUUAAUUAAAAAUAAUGAUAGCCCACUACUCAAAAAUUUUCUAUUCUAAAAAAUAUGGUUAAUUCUUCCAGUUUAUAUAAUAAUAGUAGAACGAACAGUUUCAGUAAUAAAACUCAUGAAGAAUCAUCUUUGGAAUCGGAUGGGAUACGUGAUAGUUUGAUUGUUUAUAUAGGAAAUAAUAAAUUUAAUAAUAUUGAUAAUGAGCCUAUUGCAUAACAUUUUAAAAAUAUAAAAAUGCGUAGAGACUAAUUAUAAAUAUUUUAUAUAUUCAAAAUUUUAAUUUUUUAUAUUUUACUAUUAUCUAAUUUAGCCCCCGGUAAAUUAUUUUUUUAGAUCCGCCACUGUAUAAGUCCAUCAUUUAAAUGCAAAAUGAAACCACAUCAAUAUAGAAAUUAAAAGAAAAUGAAUUCUCACAACCAUACGGUGAGAUUCAAACUCUCUAUCUCCGAGGAUUUCUUAAAGUUAUUCUUAAAUUACACUUAAAUGGUUAAAUUUAAUAAAUAAAGGUUUAAUUCUUUUCUCGCACAUUGUAGAAGCAAAUUUUCUCCUCUGUUGAAAAUUCUAAAUAUUUUUUUAAAUUAGGUUUCAACUAUGACAUGUCAGGACAGAUUUGAUACAUUUCUAAUGCAACCGAUAUAACAACACAACUUUGUGAUUUUUACUAUUCAGGAGAAGAAGAACACAACCUGUAUAACCCAACCGUUUAUAUACAAACAUCGAAUCGCUUUUUAAAAUUAAAUUGGGAAAAUUGGGGAUAUAAUCGUUUUUCAUAUAUAUACAUUUUUUCCUUACAAAUUAAAUUCAUGGUUGUUAGCUAAAUAUACCCGCUUAAAGCCACUCAGUCGAACCCUUUGAGAGCUGCUUUAAAUUUUUCGGAUUAGCCAUAUUCUUUUCACUGAGAUUUAACAUAAAAAAAAGGAGAAAAUAAGUUAUUUAAUUAACUCUAUUUUUAAGUGUUGGCAUAAAUACAGGACUCGAUUCCUUGAGUAACUUGGAGAUGCUGGACAUGAGCGACAAUGCAAUCGACAAUCUAGUGGUUCCUAAAGGUAUACAAAAUGUUCAAAUAUUUAUAAUUUGGAGGACAAUUUAAUUGAUUUGAUAAGGGAAUGCCCAAUGACACUUAUCCAAAAUAAUUUAAUCCGAAAUUGUAUCCCAAAUAGAUUACAGAGGCUUGAGGAAGUUGAAUACCCUUGGCUUAGGGGGAACGGAAACUGCAAUUAUAGAUGGAAGUAAGGUGUUGCAAUCAAUAGGAUCACUACCGUCCCUCAAAACACUUUACCUUUCGUGUACUAAUUUUACGGGAACAGUAGUUAAUCAAGGUAAGUAAAUCUUUUAUGUCGAAAAUAAUUGAAUUAAUAUAUAUAGCUAAAAUUUAUUGUUUUUACUUCUUUCUAAAUAGAAUUGCACAAUUUCACCAACUUGGAAGAAUUGAUAUUGUACAAGUCUGAUCUCCAUGUAAGCCAACUUCUGCAAGCAUCAUUCACUUCGUUAAAGAAUCUGUCAAUGCAUUAUUGUGUACUCAAGGGUGCCCUACAUGGUCAAGGUAAAUUACGGGUAUCCGAAGCUUUUAUGAUAUUAAUUUGAUAAUAAUUCUUUCUUUUCAAGUUAAUUUUUUCCCCUAAAAUAAGAUUUUUUUUCUUUUAAAUUUUAUAUAUUUUCAUUGUCCAAUAGUUCUAGCUUCUCUUAAUUGCAGGAUUCUUGAUUAAGGUUAAUGAAAUUUUAGUUCUAUUAUGUUAAGAAUAUUUCGAUCGCUUAGAAGAGUAAAGAAAAAUUAGUAAAUUAACCAAAACAAAAGGAUCAGAUUAUCCUUAUUCCCUUGCAUUAUGUGAUCAAUAUCAAAAUUAUAACCAUUUCUUGUUUAUUGCUUGUAGAUUUUCGUAAAUUCAAGAAUUUGGAACAUCUGCACAUGGGUGGGGCGCAGGUUGACGUCAACACCAGUUUUCUUCAAAUUGUCGGUGAAUCGAUGCCUUCACUUAAGUUUUUAUCACUGAUAAACUCUAGUAAAAAUAUUUGAACUAAUAAUAUCAGACAGCUGGCCUUUCUUUUCCUUGAGAUACUGAUUCGGAGUACUAAUAAUUUUUUACAAGUAAAGUUCCAUUAAAAUAGCAUAAGCCAUGACAAACACGUAUUGUUUAAUGGGCAUCCGUGAGACAAAGGAAUUGAUUAACCCAAAAGAUCAUAUGUACGGACACAACGUUUUAAUUAUUAACUUGUUUAAGUUUCUAAUCAACCUCUCUAAUCAAUCACAGCAAUUUUUCUUUUCCUCUAUCUCAAUCACUAAUUUCUUAAAGUGUAUACAAUUUUAGGAUGUUUGUAUUCUGAGAAGUUACACCAGCAGCAACCAAUUAUUUCGAAUGGAUCAGACUCAUCACGUAGAAAUAUUUAUUGUGGAUAUGAGGGAUAUUUUAAUAUAAUCUUAUUCCCACUCUCAUAUGACCGUGUAUAUUUAUAUGAAGAUUUAUUUCUUUGUUUUUUCAAUAAUAACGUGUAACAAUUGGAGUUUAAUUGAGUGGUUUUCAACUAAAUUUUAUUUAAUUGGCCACUCAAUUUUAAAUUUCAGGAGAGUUGAAAAUUUAAAAAUUAGAUUAAACUUUACUCAUUCUUUACCUUUCUAAAAGAAGAAAAAAGUACUGAUUUUUAAACAAUUGGCCGUUACAGUCUAUAAAGUUUUGAUUUGCUUUUUUAUAUAAUCGCUUUUAUUAAAAGAAGAAAAAAAUAUCGAUUUUUAAACAAUUGGCCAUUAUGAUAUAUAAACUUUUGAUUGCUUAUAUAUAAUCUCUUUUAUUAUUCCCCUAAAAUAUUGUCGAUAAUAAAAAAAAAAAAAAAAGCAGUCGGCCUAUGUAGCAAUGCAUAUGUGGUAGUAUAUGCAAAAUAAUAAUUUAUAUAAAAUUAACCCACAAAAAAAAUGAUUGAUGUGAAUAUAGAGUAUAAUUUCAUAUUCAUACACUUUUGAUUUUGUUAGGGCAUAUACUAUAUUGAUAUGAGCAUAGGACAUUGUUUACUAAAUAAAAUUAUUAAUAGUUUUAGUCUUCUAGAAUCCCCUGAUAGUGCUCUUAAUCAAAUUAUAAUAUAAGUCAUUGCUUUUUCUUUUUUAUUUUACCAUUUUAUUCUAUUCACCAGAUGCAUUUUUAGUAAUUAUUUUCUAUGUACAUGGUAGUGUUUGAUUUAUUAAUAUUAAAGAAGUUAUCAAUCACUUUUAAGUUUUUAAGUGUUUUUAUUAGGUGUCAAUUUGUAUUGGCAUGUCAAGUAGAUUUUUUAUUUAUGUUUUGUUAAAUUUAUAUAGACAAGAAUCUGGAUUGUUUUGACACUUUUUAAUUGCUUUUUUUUAAAUCACUUGUUAACAUAUUUUAAAAAUAUUUGUACUAUUAGUUACUCAAAUUCUAAUCGAUUUCGGUCUAAAUUAGGAAAUAAUUUUAAAAUAUAUAAAACAUAAUAUAGAUUUAUAGAAUAAUCUGAGAAUAAAGAAGUCGAAAAUUGUCAUUUAUACAAUUAAACUACUCUUUUAUUAUUCACCAUUUUUAUAAAUAUUAUCAAACUAAAAGAUCUCAUUUAAUAGUCAUAUGGUCUUGUCUGAGCGAGAUUCGAUUCCUAAAUAAUAAUAAUAAUAAUAACAAUAUUUUAAGCAAUGUCUUUUUAACAGCAGUUCAAUCAUCUAAAUACAUCACUAACGAAGAAUAUAAUACAUAUUAUAUACAUAUUUAGAUCACACAAAACACGUUAUCAUCUAAAUCUCACUUUUUCUCCAAUAUGUAAUAAAUUCAUGGAAAAUUUUUGAGUGUUCAUAGUGUAUGCUCCCACUCUAACGCAACUCUCUCUCUCUCUCUCUCUUCUUUUUCACCUGAAAGCUUGUCUAAUUUGGUUACAUUCAUGCAUGCUUACAUAAUUAGGCUCUAAUGGAUCAUAGUGUUGCAAAUUAUUAUUUUAAUGAUACGAUCGAUAUAAGCCGUGACUUUAUUUAAGAAAAAUGCUUGUUUGAGUGCUAAGGAAAGAUAGCAGUUAAUGGUGGGCUGAGAAUAUUAAUAAACAGAAAUCAGCAACAAGAAAAGAGAAAAGAAUCACGUCUGCUGACCCAAAAAAGGGAAAUAAAAUGAUAAAAUCACUGUGCGCAACAAUGAUUGACACAAGAACUUUACUCUUCCAAGCAUUGGUCCUUUUCAUGUCUUUGCCUGCCAAUUUUAGCAAAAUGUUUAAAAGGAAAGAAGUGUUUGUGAAGAGAUUCUCUCUUUAUUAUUCUCCUCUGUGACACUGACACACAACACAAGUGAGCAAAUUAAAACCGAGAAUGUUUCUUUUCGCAGUGCUUAAAGCAAAUUAAAAGCGUGGUGACAUCUGCUCCUCAGCCUCUGUGCUGAAAGAGUUUAAAAAAUAAAGCUGAUCAAAGUGUGUAUGUGUGAGUGUAGGUGGAGUGCAUGGGAUCAGCAUAUAUGUGAUUUUGUGUUCAUCUGCAGUAUAGAAUGUGAUUCUUUUUUCCUAUCACUUUCUUCUAUGCAAGGAUCGUAAAAUGCUGUUCGGUAUGAUCAGCUGCUGGUACUUUUGAGCUUGCAGCAGCUUCCAAUGAUUUUAUUUCCAUCAAAUGACAGCAUAAUUUGCAUCAGCAAAUCCGAGAUGACAUGCCAGUUUUUGGGCUGUUCCAUUUCUAGAUAUAACAUCCAAACUUGAAUAUGUAUCUCAUUUGAACAUGUGUGAUACUGGAAUGGACACACGAGGAGUUGGAAUUUAAAUGAGGUAUCAUAUGCUUUUCUUGAAAGAAAUAACCAAUUCAGUAACGGCCUAGACAACUCUAGCCACUUCAAAUUGUCGGUUAAUUAAUGAUUCUCUUUCUCCCUCUCUCUCGCAUCUUAACUAAAUUUAAUUGAGAAUAUCUACAAUGCUAGCUAUUUAUAAACUUAAUGAAAGAUGAUAAGGAGCCAUUAUAAUGACAAACACAACUGUAAAAUAGUGCGUUGUUGUAGUGUUGAUUGAAAAAUAAUGCUAAUGUUUUACCUAACAACACUAUAACGCCGUAUAAUUUUUAAUAUGUACUUUAAACUAUCAGUACUCAAACUUAAUUUUUAAUAUGUACUUUAAAGAUUUUAUGCAAUUAUUUAAGUUUUAUGCAAUUAUAUUUUUCAGGACUUUGUCGGUUAGUGCAUCUGCAAGAGUUAUACAUCAGCAGUAAUGAUUUGAGAGGUAGCUUGCCAUGGUGCUUGGUAAACAUGACAUCCCUCCAAGUGUUAGAUGCCUCUUCCAAUCAACUUAUUGGAAACAUCUCCCCAGGCCUUUGUGAGUUGGUGCUUCUGAGAGAGUUAUACAUUCAUAACAAUGAUUUAAGAGGUAGCUUGCCUUUGUGCUUGGCAAAUUUGACUUCCCUUCGAGUAUUAGAUGUCUCUUACAAUCAACUUACUGAAAACAUCUCCUCAUCUCCCAUCAUGCAUCUAAUAUCUAUUGAAAAGCUCAUACUUUCAAAUAAUCACUUCUUCCAAAUCCCUAUUUCACUUGAACCACUUUUCAAUCUCUCAAAACUCAAGACUUUCGAUGGUGAAAUAUGCGCAGAAACUGAGUCACAUUAUAAUUCUUUGACCCCAAAAUUCCAACUGACUUCUAUCUCACUGUCUGGUUACAUAGAUGGUGGCACAUUUCCCAAAUUCUUGUUCCAUCAACAUGACUUGAAGAAUGCUGAUCUCUCACACCUUAACUUGAGUGGACAAUUUCCAAAUUGGUUGCUAGAAAACAAUACAAACUUGGAGACGCUUCUUCUUGCCAAUAACUCUCUUUUUGGAUCAUUUCGAAUGCCAAUUCAUUCCCACCAGAAUUUAGCAAUAUUGGAUGUCUCCAACAAUUUCUUUCAAGGCCAUAUCCCGGUAGAAAUCGGAACAUAUCUGCCAGUCUUAAUGGGUUUAAACUUAUCUAGAAAUGCUUUCAACGGUAGCAUUCCCUCUUCAUUUGCUGAUAUGAAAAUGUUGGGAAGGUUGGACAUAUCGCACAAUCAGUUGACUGGUGAAAUCCCAGAGCGCAUGGCCACGGGUUGCUUCUCAUUAGAAAUUCUUGCAUUGUCAAACAACAGUUUGCAAGGUCAUAUAUUCUCUAAAAAAUUUAGCUUGACAAAUUUGAUGACGUUGCAGUUGGAUGGUAAUAAAUUCGCUGGAGAGAUCCCAGAAAGCUUAUCUAAGUGCUAUUUGUUAGAAGGAUUAUAUCUGAGUGAUAAUCAUCUCACUGGUGAGAUUCCAAGAUGGUUGGGUAAUUUGUCAGCUUUGGAAGAUAUUAUAAUGCCCAAUAACAAUCUUGGAGGGCCAAUUCCAAUCGAGUUUUGUCAGCUUGAUUCUCUGAAGAUUUUAGACCUUUCAAACAAUAGUAUUUUCGGAACCUUACCAUCUUGUCUUAGUCCAGGAUCUAUUGAACAACUUCAUUUGUCAAAAAACAAGAUAGAAGGACGAUUGGAAAGUAUAAUCCAUGACAGCCCUUAUUUGGUGACAUUAGAUCUUAGUUAUAACAGCUUACACGGAAGUAUUCCAAAUCGGAUUGACAGACUACCUAAGUUAAACUACCUUCUUUUGGCUAAUAAUUAUAUUGAAGGCGAAAUACCAGUUCAAUUAUGCCAUUUGAAGGAAGUGCGGUUGAUUGAUCUUUCUCAUAAUAAUCUAUCUGGUCAUAUUCCUCCUUGCUUGGUUAACACUUCACUCAGUGAAGGUCAUCAUGAGGCAGUAGCUCCAACUCCAAGUGGAUCUCCGAUGGGAAAGGAAGAAACUGUUCAGUUCACAACAAAGAAUAUGUCCUACUAUUAUCAAGGAAGAAUUUUGACGAGUAUGUCUGGGAUUGAUCUUUCUUGUAACAAACUGACAGGUGAGAUUCCUACUCAAAUUGGAUAUCUUACUAGGAUUCAUGCACUAAAUCUAUCUCAUAACAAUUUGACGGGCACAAUCCCGACAACAUUUUCAAACCUGAAGCAAAUCGAAAGCUUGGACCUCUCCUACAACCUACUGCAUGGGAAAAUCCCUUCUCAGCUCACUGUGCUAAAUACAUUGGCGGUCUUCACGGUAGCAUACAAUAACUUAUCAGGAAAAAUUCCAGAUAGAGUUGCACAAUUUUCAACUUUUGAGGAAGAUAGCUAUGCGGGGAAUCCUUUUCUUUGUGGAUGGCCACUGUCUAAAAGUUGCAAUGAUAGUGGAUUAUCAGCAGUGACACGAGAAGCUUACACUGAUAAUGAAGAAGGUGAUAGUUUAAUUGACAUGGACAGUUUCCUAAUCACUUUUACAGUAUCUUAUGGAAUUGUGAUAUUAGGAAUUAUUGGAGUUUUAUACAUAAACCCCUAUUGGCGACGAAGAUGGUUUUACCUUGUUGAAGUAUGUAUGAUCUCUUGCUACUAUUUUGUAGUAGAUAAUCUUAUUCCUAGAAGAUUCUAUGGUGGAUGGAUGUAAUUUCAUUUACUUUACAACUUAUAUGUAAUUUUUAAAGAAUUUUCUUUUGCAUGCAUGGAAUAGCAACUCAAUAAAAGUAUUUGAUGCAAAUUGUCCAAGAACAACUUAGUAAUUUCAUUGCUACUAUUCGGUUGUAUAUAUACAGUUAAUGAAAUUUUUAAUCAUUCGCAGUAGGAAUUUCUUUAAAUGGCGGCCAAAACUAACAGAUUUGGGGCUCUACCUCUACACAUCAUAACAGGCAAAAGGUCUCUCUUUUACACUAUCUGAAUGAAGAUUAGCUUACGCCCCCUGGAGUUCUCUAUUAAACUUGACGGUUGAGAUUUCAGGUCCAGAUGAAAGUGAAAUGCAGGCGACGAGACUACACUUUAAGUAAACUGGGACAAACUUAAAAUAAAAAAAAUUGUAGUCCAGGGUGAGAGUGAUGGGUAGCUCAACUUAUGGAGGAUAAUUAGGACUUGGAAUAACUAUCAGAUUUGCAACUCUUGUUAUAUGCUAGUGGGGAUUUAGGUAGCAAUUUUUUUUUUUUUCCUUUUUGCCCUCUUCCUCACAAUAAACACACCUAACACACCAAGCCGUGCCCAAAAUAAUCCUAUUUUAUUCAUGUCAUGAAUCCAAAAACUAUCCCAGCUCACUUUGUUUAACCAGCAUAACUAAAUUGUGGGUAUAAAUGAACACACUUUCGAAGCCUGUAACUUAUAAUAAGCUCAAACCCAAAAAUGACAUUUAAAUCCUGCAAGUGUUUUUCAUCAUCCCUAACAAAAAGAAACAAGAAUAAUUAUAUACCAAUAGUUUUUCCAUAAAAAAUACUGAUACCAAUAGUUUUUCCAUAAAAAAUACUGAUUUGAGUUGAAACACUCUACAAACUGGAUUUUAUACACUUGCAGAAAGCUACGCGAUAGACAAAAUCUAGCAGCUACAUAAUGGUAUCACUUUCAGCUGGUCAUGAAUGGUGUGCAUUCAGCAGUGCUCGAUAGACCAUGUCUAUGAAUUGAUUGUCCUAUUACAUAUAAAAGCUGGUCAGAUAUACAAGGAAAAAAAUAAUAAUUGAAAAUGCAUCACAAAAAAUAAGUGUCUCGCAUUAGUGUUUGCACUCUAAGCAUGGCAAAGUGGUGCGGGUUCAUGAUUUUGAAGACUGGGAUAAGUGAAAAAUAGUUCAAUCCACUGAUGAACAUAAAUUUAUUUACAUGUCAAUUUAGAUAUCAUAAAAAAGUAAACUGUAAUUCACAGUCACUUAAAAGAGUUGAUAAAAUGCAUGCCAUGAAUGCAUUUUUGUACAUAAGAAAUCCAAAGAGUAUUUCUGACAAUACAAAUAUGCUAGCUUUAAAUCUGCUGUCAAUAUGCAAUUAAGAAGAUUAUAUCAGCUGCAUGAUAAAGUUCCCCUAAUCUUAAUAACAGUAAACAUGAACAUGUCAGAUGCAAUUAUAGCUUCGAGCAUUUGCAUAACCAGAAAUCCUAACCUGAACAAGCACCAGAAGUGUCUCUCGGACUUUCUCCUUGUUGAUAAAUGGUCCGCUGUUUGAAGUAAGAGCAGGAGUAAGAGAUGGUGGAGGGGUUGGUAGUGGAAAAGGUUGAAGCAUUGGGGCACCAUAUGGGCGUUGCAGACUCAGGGGAGGAUUAAGUGGCGGAGCUGUUGGUGUAGAUGAAGAGACAAGCUGCAUCAUCUGUGCAUAGGAGGAUGGAGGAGGAACAAAGAAUAAGGAAGGCUUUACAAGAUUAGGGGUAGGUGCUGACAGAGGUGGAGAUGGUAUUUGCAAGGUUGGCACGAUAAGAGAAGCAACACUGGCGGGAUGAGAAGGUAAAGAAAUAGUUGUAUUGGACUGGUAAGGUUGUGCAGAGAUUGCUGCAUUAGAAGUAUUCCCCACAGUCAAAGCUGUCUGCAAUGAUAAGGACAGAUGUCAUAUACAAGGACAUGAUAGAAGAUGAACCUCACACAAAAAUGAAGUGAUAACAUAUGAAAAUAGUAUGACUUGCUGCAGUUUUGUGGUAAUGUUGCAUACUUAUGCAGAAACAUAUUAUUUCAAAGAAAACAUACACUGAAGUAGUUCACAAAAGCAGGAUCUUCAGGAACAUCAGCAGCAUUUGAGGGAGUUGACUCUAGAGGGACCAUCCAUAACUGCCAUAGUUGGAACAGCUUCCAGUUCCUCAAACUCACUGCAGUUUAACAUAAAAGGAACUUGAUGACCAAUUUAAGUAAUAAUUAGAUGAUAUAAGAGGUUAGGGAAAAUGAUGAGUGGACCCUUAUGGAAGGUGAUUUCACCUUAACUAAACACGAAAAUAAAAAGAAAUCAAAGCUGAAUCCUCGAGUGCAAUGCAAAGAAUUUUUUCUCGCUCUUCUCUAACUCCUCUUAUUCGAAAUUGCUCAUCAUUGUGCUGUUCUUAGAGUUUUCACUAGAGUAGAGAAAGCUAUUCUCCCGUUAAGUACAGAGGAAAGAGAAGGGCAAGGGCCUGGUAUGAUGCUAUUCUAUAGGAAGUGAGAAGGUGAAGGGUUAAAAUAUUUUGUAAUUUGGAGGUGGUGUUUGUUAGUGUGUGUGUACUUCUGAAUUUAUUACCUCUUUAGGAUCCAUAGAAAUUGCCUCUUGUUCAGCAUACACUGUGCCUACGAGUAAGACGAGCUUGCAUGGUAUCUAUUGUCUAUUUACUUGGAUAUUCAAACAUGACUACCAGCAACCAAACACAAAUCCCCAAACAAAACACUCUUUCAAGUGCAAGGAAAGAGUAACUUGGGCAUAUUUAUAGUUCAAGCACUACAAUAACUAAGAAUGUGAUGACUGUCCACAAACACUAUAUUAGUGCCUUUUGAACUACAUUACAUGCUCGAAGACUUUUUUUUUAGUCAUACAUAAAUUAGCUAUAAAAUUAAGACCGUUAUACAACUAAAAAGAAAGAAAAAUUGUUUGCUACUACAUAUCAAAACUGGUAAUAGCAAUGUAAGAUGGCAGACUUCUUACUUAAACAGAUGAGAGGCUACAAAUAAAAAAUUUGUGCAAAUAAAAUAUAUGAUAAAGAGCAUAAUACUUUCUUGGGGGCUAAAAAUAAUAUACAACUUGUGAAAUAUAAAUUGAGCUACCAUUACCUUUUAGAUGUGGCAACUUUCGACUUUUGAGGCACCUUGGAAUAUGCAUUCAGAAUCCUGCAUUUGGAAGCCAAAUAAAUAAUGUUAAUAACAAUUUUACAAUAGAAAAAUUAAAAAUUGAUAAAUGGCAGUUGUAAUUUAUGUAUGCGUAAAGAUAGCUUCACAUCCAGGGUCCUCCCAUAAACAUGCUUGUAACAAGAAUUAGUUUGUCCAACUGUUAGCAACUGCUAACAAUGUACAAUAGUAAAAAUCACUCUCAUGAACUCAACAAUACUAGGCACCAAUAAGAGUAUGAUACAGCCAUUCUAAAAUGGAAGAGAAUACAACUGUUUUACAACUAUGUUGCAUCAGGAAUUAUGUUAGGAGGAUUAAUCCAGAUACCUUCCAACCCAAUUAGGAAAACUCGAGUCAGAAACCAGGAGCCACAACCGAACCUUACAAUCUUGAAGGAAGAAGGAGACUUGGGGCAUUUUUCCAGAUAGGUGACUUACUAGAUCUCCUGCCAAGAGAAUAUCUAUUGCUUUGAACCUCCAUUGAAAUUUCUUUUCCCUUUUUCUUGUUUUGGCUUGGAACUUUCCAGCAUCAUCUAUUUGAUCUUUUUUAAAGCUAAAAAAGCAAUCUAUGGGUUGUGAACAUCUUAUCACCACCCCCCCCCCCCGGGCCCCCCAAAAAAAAAUCAAUGAGUUGUCAAUAAAUAGCGCCUACUCAAAUGUUUUCCAAUGGAUGACAAUGUGCAAAUCGACCUAGCAGCCACAUUUUUCCCCCCUUUCAACCACCAUUAGGCAACUUUUUUAACCUUUCUUCAUUGCCCACGUCUACAGAACUAUCAUAUAAAGACUACAUUAUUAUUGGGAUAGAGAAAAAUAUACAGACUGUAUUAUUAUAUCUCAUUUUAUUAAUUAACUAGUGCAAGACUUAUUUAGUGUCAAAUCAAGAACUAAUUGGAAAAGACAACUCAUGAUAAUACAGACCUUAAAAAGCAAUAGCUAGCAACACCCCAUAUACUCCUAUUUUAGCCUUUAAUAUCCUGGUAAAAACACAAUUAAGUCUUGCAAAAGAACAUUCACAAGUAAAUUCAACAUUAAUUAAGAUUAAGUAUCUACUGCACCUUCAAUCAAUGACUGGGUGAAUAGCAUGGUCAACCAUCUAGUUCCUGUAGCCCUCCUUGUACCUAUGUUGGUUACAUUUUACAUAUUAAGCCACGAAAAUGAAGGAUCACAGCCUGGUAAAGAAAGCCAUUAAUUAAUAGUGUUUGUUUAAAAAGUUCUCGUUUAGAUCUUUCCUAUUCAAUGAAUCAAUGUCAUCCAUGGAGAACUCUUCCAUUUCAAGCAGUGUUAGAAGAUAAUUGGAAAGCCUAAAGAUAGUAUACAAGGACCAAGAUAUCGAUUAGGUCAAAUAGUGAAUGUCAAAUAUAAAAAAUAAAUAAAAGAAGUUGUACAUGAUCAUUUACUAUCAAGUUCUGUAAAAUUGAAAAUACCAUUAUCUCUGUAGAGAUUCUCAAACAACUCUUUAGCAAAUUAUAAAAUAGUUAAAAAAAGAACAAAAGUUUUUUUUUAAAAAAAGAACAUCCAUAUCAGGAGAUGUUUUUCUUCUCAAUCUCAAUAUUUUCUAGCCGUGAAGCAAUUGAAAAGCUUAACACCAAGUGAAUUAUUAAGAAUUCAUCAUUUAAAUUCCCAAAUCGCAAAAUGUUGGUGCAACUAGGAAAGUGCAAAUGCAAUCACUUAACUAACACAAGAAACACCAAUAGUGAGAGCCCACUUUGUAUCAAAUUUGAAACAGAUAGAGGUCAAAAAAAUUAUACACUCAAUUAAAAGCCUUUCAAACAGCUUUUGCAUGGAACAAGAACAAAUCAAAGGCGAUGUGAAUGUAUUCAAAGACUAAUUUACAAUGAUCUACAGGACAUAAAUAUCUUGGAUACCUACUCUCUAUACCUUACUGUCCCACUAGAAAUCAUCAAAUCCCUCCAAACAAAAAUGACAAAAUGGAUAAGAAUUGUGUCGUUAAACUUCAAUAACUUAGCAGCCACAGCAAAAACUUAUGUAGGCACGCAAGCCAUUCAAAAUAGUCAUAUUGUUUGCUUUCCAAACAAAAGCCACUUUGUAAUGAAUAUUCAUAAAUUGCUACUAUCAUGUUUGUUAAAACACGUGAAAACCACCAUAACUAACUAAAUGUAACUGAUGAUCAUCAUCAAGUUCAUGGAAUCACAUAUCUGACAGUAUUAAUUAGUGCAAAUGGCAUGCUUCUUAAAACUCCGUAUUUAUCACAUGGGCGCCAUUCCAAUCAACCAAUGAUUCUGAUCUAGUCGGCAUAUUCAACCCACGAGCGAGUAAUACCUCCUAUUGCUUCUUUACAUUUCUCAACGAAAUUCCACAUUCUAACCAUACUUCUGAACUUGUUGCUCCCAUAGACUAAUACAAUAUAAAGAUUUCUUCCCACACCACCUCAGCCCACACUCCUGAAAAACCAAUUUAAAUUCUCAUUGGCUGUACAACCUAUAGUCCAUACCAAAUUGAAAAAUUUACAAAUAUAGAACCUCAAAGAAUCUUCUUGCAUUCCAUUUUUUACGGCAAGAAAUUUGACUUUUACCACAUGCAAGUCAACAAAUAAAAAAAUCAUGUCUUUGUGAGAUGCACAUUUUCAGACGAAUCUAAAGAGCAAUGAAACCGUAAAAACCGAAUAUGAGAACACCGAGGACUCCAGAUAUCACCUAUAGAAUCUUUGGUCCACACUUGCACGAUGAAAAUGAUGAAAAACAAUUGAAGGCUUCAUCACCAGCUCCCCAGGUUGUUUUGUUCUCCUAUCUCCUAAAUAUAAAGGAAACGCAACCCGUUCUUUUUUCCAAUCUUAAGGGGCACAAAACGACUCUGGUAUAAAAUAGUCAGUUUCUAUACAAAAAUAACUCCUUUGCACUUGGCAUUGCACAUCUCGAAAUAAAAAGCAUGCUAGAAAGAGAAUAUAAUAGCAUUAAACAAGUUUUAUUAACCAAACUUCAAAGAUGCCACACAAGGCAAAAAUGGAAUCUGUACAAGCCAGAUUCCAAGAAUAAUAAUUCCAAUAUACAAUUCAGGAAAACAAUAACUAAAACUAGGUUCACGAGGCCUCGGCAGAAGCAACAUGUAAUAACCAUACUCUAUUAUUUGAAACACAUUUCUAAGUUUGGUUAAGAUUCUAAACUAUUCUCUGUGUCAAUUAUUAACAUGUAAAACAUAAUAAUAUACACUUAAACUACUACACAAACUACUACACUAGUAAAACCAGUAAAACAACAAUACCUGCUGAAAAGAUUUGCUACCUCUUCACAUUCACGAGCAUUGUAGAACCAAAUCCCAUUUACUUCUUGGGAUGCAUUUCGAUAUAACAAAUACGGAACCUGAACUUCAAACUCAAAAUCUCCCAAAAGAUUUUCCACUAAAUUAUCUGCACAUAUACAAGAUAUUGAAGCUUAUGAGUGCAAAAACAUAUACAAAAAGACAUGAAGGUUAGAAGACAUAACUAAAACUUAGCAACAACUGAUAAGCACAACAAGACAUGAAAUAUAACACUAGUUGUAAACAAGAUAGACACAUGGUAUCUAAAAAAUUGUACCAACCCCCUCUCCUGAUUGUCAUAAAACGGCCAAUAUUUAACCCUAGACAACAAAAUUGCAAAUACUCUAGCCUCUAUAUUAUUGGCAUAUAAAUAUUUUAGGUUAGGUACGUUAUAUUCUUCGUUCUAAAACCUCAAUUAUUAGCUAGUACUGUGAUAAAAUGAUUCAUCACUGAAAUUAAAACUAGUUCACGUACAAAUAAUCAAAACUGAAAUAGAAACAACGACAAACCAACCUGUAUUACGUCGAUUCAUUACAACAAACUGAAAUCGAGGCUGUGUGUUCCUGAAAAUUGAAAAAAUAAUAAUUUCACCAACUUCAUAUGUGAUACAAUCUCCAAAACACCGAAUAUCAAAUGAAAAAAUGGAAAGCAUAAGAGAGAAAAGAAUCUAAUUUUAUUGACCUUUUGACGACGAAGAGAGAUCCUUCAACAUCCCUACGACUCCAUUGGCUGAGGUCGAUGUUGAACUCGUAGAAGGUGACAUGAGCGGCCGUGAUGAGGAUCUCCUCAAUGAAUGGAUCGAAUCGCUGAAGAACUGUCAGGUUUAGGAGUUUUGUGCUCUGCUGGUCCAGAUUAGGCAUCAAUUUUCCGUUCUGCGACAUUUUUUAUAGUCGUUUUGGGCUCUGCCCCGAUCACUAGCCCUCAUGUUUUUCUGUGAGCUCUCUCUCUUUUGUAAAUAAAGUGUUUGAUGAGAGCGCCGAGAGAGAGUGAAAGAGUUGAACAGCCAAACAAGGUGAGGUGAACAGUUUCGGACUGAGACUCGAGAUUGGUCAAGCUUUAACUUCUUUC
rnacentral:lncRNA from 1 species